CUCCGACUACCUGUUCUUCCUCGAACUUUCCCAUAAUGACCUGCUUCCACAAGGGCUCAUUUUUUGCUGCAAACCUCCAACACUAUUUGCCAGGAAGAGCCUCGUUAAAGACAAAUAAGUCUCUAAUGCCAAACUCUUCUCUUUUCUCAUCCAUGCAAGGAAUCAACUAUCUCACCAAAUGAGACUUAUUCUCAAAGGCUUCACUCCCUGAAGAACGCCCCUUCAAUCUUCUCCUUCCUUGUUGGGAUCAUGGAUGAAAAUGUUGUCGAUAUUCAGCGAUAUUUCCAUGAAAUAUCGUGCUGCGGUGGAGCCCAACAUGAUAUCAAGAAGGAUAUAUUGAUUGGUGGAUAUUUCAGUUUUUUUCCAGAAUUGUUGGCGAUGUUUCCAAAUUUAUCGAUUUUAUCCUGAUUUAUUGGGAUUUUUUGGUGAAAUUAUCGCUGCUUUGACCGGUCAACAUGGGCCAACACCAUUCAAAUCCAGUCAAAUGCCCAAAAAUGAAUUGAGAGGAAUUGAAUCCCGGUUUGCAUGCCAAGUUCCCAAGUAGUUAACCAACUGGGCAGUUUAGUCCUUUUGUAACAAUUUAAAUAUAAAUCAUAUUAUUCUUUAUAGGAUUUAGCUUUGAUAUAUAUAUAUAUAUAUAUGGAAAAACAAGAUAAUAAAAUGUUAAUUUUAAUUAUUUUAUUUUUAAAUUUCUUUUAAUUGGUUGUUAAGAAUAAAAAACUAUAAAUCAUGACAUGAUACAUAUAUCAUCAUUUUAUUUUACACCAUUGAAUAUAUUUGAAUUAAAUAGAUCGUUAUUUUAAUGUUAAAUAUAUUUUCAAGUUGGAUAUAUAAUUAUCAAAUAUCAUAAUAUUAUUAUUGAAUAAUAUUUAAAAUAUAGUUUAAUAAUAAAUCUAUAUUUACAAAAUUCAUAUUUCUUAUCAAUGCAUAAGAUAUUAUUUUCGAAUAUGACAAAUUAUAUCAGAUAUAUCAAUUUUUUCAAAAAAAUAAUUUCAAAAUGUCUAUUAUUAUUUGUUUUAUCAUUGAGUUUUUCCAACAUUUCCACGAGUUUUGAUCAAUUUUUACUCACCGAUAUUUUAUGUUAAAAUAUCCACCAAUAGUUACCAAUAUAUCUGUCAAAACUGAUAUUUUCAUCCUUGGUUGGGAUAAAAGGCAUGCUGAGUUGAAUUGACUGUGUAUAUAUAAGAUUCCUUGUUUUUUUUGCAUUUAUGAUUAGAUGAUUUGCUGCAUCUACUAUCUACUAUCUACUAUUUAAUGUAUGUUAAAUUCUGUGAGACAUUGUAAAAUCUCAUAGUAAAAAAGUGGAAAAAGUAAAGUAAAUGAGAAUCACAUUUCUGUUAUCAUUUUCCUUUUGUCACCAGAGGAUUUGGGAUUAGUUGUUAUGCUAUGUAAUCCACAAUAAACCAUGCGUCCCACUAUUGAUUAUUGAGGGGGCUAUAAAUCAGCUCAAUGCUGAUGGUAAUAUUACAUACUUCUAGUAGUAAAUAUUAUGCAAAAUGAAUGAACUAUUGAGGUCAUUGGAUCUUGGGUGCAUGGAUUUUCUAGUGUGGAUUCUCAAACCUCUCCAUAUAAGACUUCCAAUUUUUUUCAUACCUCUUUCUUUGGCUAUUUUCCCAAGCAACAUGUGGAAUAAGGUCUGUUAUUUUAUAAUUUGUUAAUAUGUAGUCCUCAUUUUUUGUCUUUAUUUUGUUCACAGGUAUAAUUUCCUUGAUAAAUCUGUUGGCAUAUCAUCCUUGUUAGAGAUUACUAGUGAUUCCUUGGUGGAUAACAUUUCUCAGAUUAUUGAAACACGGGUGCCACUGCAUGUUCCUGGGGUUGAAGGAUUAAUUAUUCCUAGUCAAACACGUGGUCAUGUUUUGAAAGUGAUUGAUGGCAAUACUGCUCUAGUACGGUGGGAGGUAAAUAGGCAGAAGUUUUCACCUUUAUGACUUAUUAUUUGUUUAUUUCUGUAUGUUGAUUCCUUUGUUCUUCUUGGCAAGGAGAUUUGUUCAUACUAUGCAUUUAAAUAUUCUUGAGUGCAUUUAUAGAAAUUAAAAGGUACUCUUUGAUGUGAGUACUCUAGUGCAUUGCAUUUCUUCUUUGGUCUUCAAUAUUUUGUUAUUCUUCUACCUUCCUUGUGUAGUUGUGGGUUGGGGGGUGGUUGGGGUUGUUUGUGGAAGGCAUGCAAUGAUUCUGUAGAGAUGCUCAUGCAAAUAGUUAUAGGAUCCAUCCUGCUGAAUGGUCUAGGAUUUUGUUCAUAUUUUUAUGGUAUUAUGUUGUAUGAUGUUGAAAUCUGAGCCCCUCUUAAAGUUUAUUGAUUGUUUCCCUGUGAAUCGGGUCAAGGGAAAUUUGUAUAAGAUACUUUCUGAUUUACAUGAAGUCGUUGAUUUCAUUGUGUCAAUUGUGCAUCAUGGUGCAAUCUAUCCUUUUAAACUAAGUUUUAUGUCAUCUAUUGAUAUAAGCAAUUCUGUUUUUUGCUAGUUUUUUGUGUUGACCAGAAAUGUUCUGUGAUUUCACAAAGAAUGAUAUUGGUUUCAUCUCUUUUCCUUCUGGCAGCUUUGUUCAUGUAUUAAUGAAUAAGAUGGAUUUUACACCAUCUUGCAUGUGAUUUUUUUUUUUUUUUUUUUAAAUUAUUUUUUCAGCACUUCAUUUUUGUCCUGCCAUGUUGAAUUCUGUGUUUAAAAGUUAUGGACUUUUCCUUGGUAAAUCAUACCUGGAAGUUUUAACUGGAAUAGGGGAGGUUCUUUCCCUUCCAGAUUAUUUAUUCAGUUAUUCCACAUCUCAAAAUGUGUUUCUAUUAUUGGUUCAACAUGUGUAUUUUUAUUGGUGAAGGUGACCUCAGUAGGACAAUGCUUGGUUGUGAUGAUUUGAGUCACUAACUCAGCUCAUACACUUUUAAUAUAUUAUGAAAGUCAUUACUCUAGCAACACAAAGUGUGAUAUGCUUAUUAUUGAGUGUUCCAUUUGAAUUUUUUUAAACAAUCCUCUUUAUUUCAUAAUGUGAAUCGUUUUUUUGUAGUACACACAAUCUGGGGUGUUGGUGUUGCUUCUGCGUUUAGCCCAGAGGUUGUAUUUAGAUUGCAAUGAAGAAGUCCUUGUUACCCUGGAUCUGCUCUGUCGACUGGUAUCCUUUAACACGGUAAUAUGUUAUUGAAGUUCCUUUUGGCAUUAUUUUCUCACUUGUCAAUUUCUUGGAUCAAUGCUUUAAUCUCAUCACUUGCCCCCAACUCCACACAAGCACAGAUACACAAGUGUGAUACGGAGCUUGCAGUUGAACAAUUUAUUCUGCUUAAUGUUGCUUCUGUAUUGAUUUAUGCGAUUAAUACUCCAUAAAUUAUUGAGCUAUAACUUCCCUUAACAUUUGCAUGAUAACUUUAUAUUUAUCAACUUUAUGCUGCUUAUGGGGCCAUGGGGCCUAAUAUAUCUUACUCUACCAGUGGAUUUGAUUUGGAUUAAGAUUAGUUAUUUUUUGGAUGUAUCAUCCUCUUAUAAAUGUUGAGAACUAUCCUAGAGCUACAUGAUUGCACUCUGAGUGUUUUAUAUGGAAGUGUGCAAUGGACUGCAUUUGAUGGUUGCUCAAAUGACCAAAACAGCUUAAAAUCUCAAAUAACAUUCCUUAAAUGUUUAAUUCCAGUCUUCUUAUUAACUUGUCAUAUGCACCUAUCACAAAAAAAAAAAAAAAAUGUAAAACUGUCAUACAUUACUUAGCUUGAUUAUAAUAGACUUGCAGCCUAAUUUUUAUGUUAUAAUUAUUCCUUUCCUAUUGGAUAACAUGGUGUUGCCAUGGGGUGAACAACCUCCUUCCUCUAAUUCUAGUUUUCCAUAUUGAGCUAACACACAUUAAUUCAAUCUGUUAUGCCCCUUGUUUUCAUCUAUUUUCUCAUCUGUAACCAAGUUGACUUGGAAAGACUCAAUUGAAGGAAGUCAUCUUCUUAAAUUGCCAUUUCCCUUGCAUUCUAAAUGAGACUUGUAGCUUGUCUAUUCAAAUGGAAUCAAGUUUUUGAAACUUUUAUUUCUGUUACCAUUGAUCCUUGUGCCAAUUGUGCUGCCACUGUGCCUCAGUUUCUGGUGUGUUAAAUUGGCUACUGUCCUCAACUUCUCUUUCCCAAAGUUUUUUUUCUUUAAUUCCUGGAUGAGUUUCUUCUCAUUGUAAUUAAUCAGCUUUAAAUGCAUUUAUGUCACCUUCAUUAACUGCUGUGUGCUAGAACUAGAUCCUGCAUUACUUGGAUCCAAGUUUAAAGUAUAACAGGCUGCAUACUUCAACUAAUCUCAAGCUGUUUGAUCUUGACACUUGAGACCCUUUUUGCUUAGGUUUCUCCUGGAUGCUAUGAAUGCUCCAGUAAGCUCAACUUCUUGCAGUUGUCUUCAUUUUUGUAGGUGUUUCUAUUAACCAUUUCCCACCACUUACACAAAAAAAAAAAAAAAAACAAAAAAACAAUUAUAUCUGCCAACUUGUGAAAGAUAAUCUGCUCUAGCUAACCAGGCCCCUGGUGGGAAGCUGCAUAAAGUGUUGACUGUCAAGCCAUUCAUUUGGUAAAGUAUUCAACCUUUUAACUGUUCCUAGGGGAGCAGAUUGUCACAAGAUGUUUCAAAUGAGCCUCCCCAUGGGUUUAUAUAGAGCCCGGGAAGCUUUUGGAGACUCCUACACUUAGCCAUUAGUAGGGAGAGUGUGGAAGGUUCUAGAGAUGCCUAAAGAAGUCCACACAUCUUUACACUAUGGUGGAAGGCAUGAGAGGAGUCCAAGGCUUUCUAGAGAAUUCUAGAGAUCUCUUGUAUAUUCUUGUACAUAGGCUUGUACAUAGAAUUGUGUAGGGUGUUCUAGAAUAUUCUUGAUUUGUAAGGAACCUUCCAAGGUUCCAGAGAGUUCCAUUGGUGCCUAUAAAUAGGUGAGACCUCAUUUGGCCAAGGUACCAAGCAAGUGAGUUCCCAAAGCACUUGUAAAGCUUUCUUUUUUUUUUUUUUUUUUGAUAGAUAAACAACCAAAUAUAUUAGAAAAGGCUAAAAAGCCGCACGUAUACAGGGGGUAUACUGAACAGCCCUACACAAGGCUGAAGAAAACAAAAAAAAAAAAGAGGGAAAAAACCUCACCCACCCUCAUGUGGUCCCAAGCCACUCCAAAAAACCUAAAAGAGAGUAGGUUUCCUCACCAUUGUACACCCUAGCCCAACUCCACAAGUUACAUACAAAAGAAUUUUUGAAUUUCUGAAUAUCUAAAGACCCUCCCCUAAAAGCUAACCUAUUCCUUUCCUUCCAAACCGUCCAAAAUAUGCACACCGGAAUGGAAUUCCAUAUCUUUUUUCUUUUUUUCCCCACAAAGGAACCCCUCCAACUAAGUAACACCUCUAUAACUGUCUCUGGGAACACCCAUUGAACUCCAAAAAUGGCAAGGGUAAUCUCCCAAAUAGUUUUAACCAUUGUACAAUGUAAGAGAAUAUGAUUCGCACUUUCCUCUUCAUAGCCGUAUAAGAAGCACCGAUUAGGGAGCUGCCACCCCCUUCUCUGAAGCUUAUCCAAAGUAAGGAUCUUCCCCCACGAGGCUUCCCAAGCAAAAAAAGACACUUUUGUUGGAACCUUAUCCAUCCAAAUGCGCCUAUUCGGGAAAACCCCGGCUGAAGAGCCACUCAAAAUUUUGUAGGCCCCCUUGGCUCCAAAAACUCCAUUGCCUUCCCUCUUCCAUCUCACUGAGUCCUCUUCAAGAGAAAUCCUGAAGUCCUUCAGAAGAUUCAGCAUAUCUCCUAUCUGAUCCAUCUCCCAAUCAUUGAAAUCUCUAGCCAACCUGAGAUUCCAACCUCCUUGACCCAUACUAGAAUCCCACACUUCACAAACUUUGGCAUUCUUGUGACCCGCCAAAGUAAACAACUGCGGAUAAGAUUGAGCAAGCGCCUCAUUGCCACACCACUUAUCCGUCCAAAACAUAACUCUAUUCCCCUUCCCAACCUUAAAAAUAAUGCUCUCCCAGCACCAAUCCGCCUCCUUCAUAAUCUCUUUCCACAAACCCACCCCAAAAGGCCCACACACUUCCUUAGUCUUCCACCCGCAUCCCUCUUGACCAUAUUUCACCCCUAUCACUGUUUUCCAAAGGUUAUCCUUCUCAUAGGCAUAUCUCCAAACCCAUUUGCCCAGCAAGGCUUUGUUCAACAAGUCUAUCUUUCGGAUGCCUUAACCCUCCUCCUCCUCCUUAGGGCUGCAGACCACCUUCCAAUUAAUCAAGUGAACUUUCCCCUCCAAGCUUCCCCCCCCCCACAAGAAGUCUCUUUGAAUUUUUUCAAUCCUUUUUGCCACAGCCUUAGGAAUGCGAAUAAGGGAGAGAAGAUAGAUGGGUAUGCUGGCCAAAGUGCUCUUGAUAAGAGGUAUUCUUCCCCCCUUCGAAAUAUAUUGCCUUUUCCACUGGGCUAAUCUUCUUCUCAUUCUCUCUUUCACCCCAUCCCAAGAAGAAGAGGUUUUAUGGUGGGCUCCAAGGGGCAGCCCCAAGUAAACAGUGGGUAAAGCCCCCAAUCUGCAUCCUAGCUCAGCCGCCAACUCCUCCAGCUCAUCCACUUCCCCCACAGGAAUUAGAACACUCUUAGCCAGAUUAAUUCUGAGGCCGGAGGCCGCCUCAAACCACGCCAAAAUCCAGCUUAGAUUGGUAAGUUGCUCACUUCUAGCUUUGCAAAAGAUGAGUGUGUCGUCAGCGAAGAGAAGGUGAGAGACAGCCAGCUCUUCCCCCCCUCUCCCCCUCAGUCUACAGCCUGAAAUGAAGCCCUCCUCACCAACCCGUCUAAUAAGAGUGCUAAGCACUUCCAUACCCAAGACAAAAAGGUAUGGAGAGAGGGGGUCUCCUUGCCUCAACCCCUUUGAAUUCGAAAAGAAGCCAGCUGGAACCCCAUUGAUUAAUAUGGAGAAUUUGGCAGUAGAAAUACACCACCACAUCCAAUCCAUCCAGCGGGACCCAAAGCCCAUCUUCCGAAGAACCUUCAUAAGAAACUUCCAGUUGAUGCUAUCAUAGGCUUUUUCAAUGUCCAACUUGCAUUUUAACCCUUUCUCUUUUCUUUUAUACCAAUAAUCAAUCACCUCAUUAGCUACUAAAGAAGCAUCCAAAAUCUGUCUCCCUCUCACAAAGGCAUUCUGGUCAACUGAGACCACCCUAUCCAGCACUUUCUUUAGCCUAUUUGCUAGGACUUUGGCUAAAAGUUUAUACAAACCCCCAAGCAAGCUGAUUGGCCUGAAGUCCCUCAAGUCUUCGGCUCCUCCUUUCUUAGGAAUAAGGACCAAAAAAGUGGUAUUGAGAGACUUGGCAAAGGACCCAUGCGCAAAGAAUUCCUUAAACAGAUCCACCACCUCCUCCUUCACAAAAUCCCAACAACCUUGCCAAAAGGCUACUGAAAAACCAUCCGAGCCAGGAGCUUUGUCACCCCUCAUCUCCAUCAAAGCGAAAUGGAUUUCCUCCACAGAGAAAGGCACCUCCAGAUCAUCAGCAUCCCUGGGACUAAGUUGGUUGAGCUGCAGCCCCUCAAUAUCCGCUCUCCACCCCUGCUCUUCUGAGAGUAAUUUCUGGAAUUCAUUCACUAUCCCACCUCUUGAUCCUCGGUCAACAACUCCCCAUUAAUCAUAAUCCUGUCCAGGGAGUUAUUCCUACGGUGGGCAUUUGCCAUACGGUGAAAAUAACCCGUAUUCCUAUCCCCUUCCUUGAGCCACAGCUCCCUAGAUUUCUGCCUCCAAUGAACUUCUUCCAUUUGCACCCAUUUAUGGAAGGCAUCCUUGGCUUCUUUUUUCUGCUCAGCUUCAGCUAAAGUCAAGCUCCUUACACUCUCCACUCCAUCCCAAUACUCCAGAUACUGAAGGGCAGAAUUUUUGUUGACUUUCAGCCUUCCAAACACCUCCCUAUUCCAAACUUUAAUAUUAUGUUUCAAAACCUUCAUCUUAUAGGCCAAUCUGAAAUUGGCCCUUCCUCUCACCUCAAUCCCUUGCCACCACCCUCGGAGAAGGUCAAUGAACCCAUCCACUUUCAGCCACAUAUUCUCGAAUCUAAACGGAGUGGGGCCCCUCCUUAUCCCCCCACCCAUCAGCAAGAUAGGAAAAUGAUCAGAAGUGGGUCUAUGCAUUCUGCAUUGGGCUACCCCACUGAACAUAUCUAGCCACUGCUGAGUCACCAGAAACCUAUCUAGUCUAGCCCAGGAUUGGUUAUUCCUGCCCCCAUUCCAAGUGGCAAUACCCCCUUGCAUAGGGAGAUCAAUGAGUUCUAAAUCAUCAAUAGUUUGGGCAAAACUUCUCAUGGCACCAGACAACCUUCCCUGUCUACUCCUUUCUCGCUGGGACAAUAUGACAUUGAAGUCCCCCCCUAAGCACCAGGGAUCUUCCCACAAGCCUCUGAUCGCCCCUAGCUCUUCCCACAGACAAUCUCUAUCUUCUUUGGAGAAAGGCCCAUACACACCAGUAAAAAUCCAGGACAUCCCAUCUUCCACAUUCCUAAACCUACAGGAGACUGAAAACUUUCCUACCUCCGUCUCCAUCACCUCCAAAGACCUUUUGUCCCAACACACCAGAAUCCUUCUCGCAGAGCCCAAGGCGUCUAAAGCCACCCAAUUAGACCACCUUCCAGAACCCAAACUUCUCACCAACCCCUCCGACAAAGUCUGAAUUUUGGUCUCCUGAAUACAAAAAAGGUCCACCCUCUGACUUCUGAUAACUGCCUUAAUAACCCUUCUUUUGGAGUUGUCAUUGGCUCCACGAACAUUCCAACUUAUGAUUCUUAGCUUCAUUUAAAUUCCGUAAUUUGGCACCCCCUUACUUGCACACUACCAUUUUGCUUUUUCCCCCUUUCAUAGUUGAUGGAACACUCUAAUCUUUUCAACUCUCUCUCAAAUUUGGAUUUCUCCAGAAAGGUUUUGCUAUGGACACUUUCCCUUCUCUUACGAAUUUUAACCAGGAAUUCCAUCAUGUCCUUUUCCAGACCUUCUGUUGAAAACCCCAAGAAUUUACUAAGCUUGGCCAGAUCACUCUUCUCCCAGCUUAGCUCCCCUCCUGCCUUAUUACCAUGUGGCACGAUUUGAUCAGAUCCCAAUUCCUUUCCAUUAUCAUCAAUUCUGCUCUUGCUGGCCUCCACCAAAUCCCAGCAUUCGACAUUCUCACUCAAGGGUGGCUCCAUGCCCAUGAGCAUUUGAAGCGGAUUUUCAACCUCGUCACGCUUCUCUUCAAGCCCAGAAAGGUCGCAAUACUCCCCCACUGGAGUCCGACCGAAAAAAGAAAGAGGGGAAGAAGGAGGCACAGGGAUCAAGCAAUCGGACUGAAAAGGGACCAUAUCAUACCUCGUCACUUCCUCCACAAGGGCGAGAUCAGUCUUCGAUCGCUCUAUGUGGAGGAGCUCUGCCUCACUCAGCCAACGCAUCCCAUCCUUCUCCCAAAACAGGGACAUAUCAGAGAGUGGGCUUCCCGCGUGGCUUGGGCCGCAACUCUGGGCCUCAGCAAGUUGGUCACUGGGCACCUUCAUUGGAUUUUGACCAUCAGCUAUCAGUCCCGCCUCCACCGUGGGCUUCCAAGCCUCGAUCCGUCUAAGGUCCUCCUUUUCCUUUGGCCCAAAAGAGCCCAUAGAGGAGGAGGAAGGAUUAGAGCCCUUAGACCCACGAGGCUUCACCAAAAAGCCCAACUCUACAGGUCCACUCUGCACGAUCUCUGCUCCCUGGGGCUUUAACUGCGGCCCAUUAAGCCCACGAUAGCACUCCAUGGGGCGCCCCGACCCAUAGGUCAGUCUUCGCGUCACAUCCGCAGAUUGCGUCUGCACCUCAAGCCUCGAGCCCCCUUCGGCCUCCCUCACGCGCUUGCCCUCGCGUGGCUGGGGCUCACCCUUUACCUCUCCCUCUGUUACAAGGGAUUUUCCUUUCCCACCCGUCGGCAACACACGCAGCGUCGGCCUGGUCUCCCACCACAAGGUUAGGGAAUAGCACAUAUUCUCAACCCAUAUUUCCACCAUAUUAGGAGUUUUCUCCUCGACUCUCCUUACCCGAAUUCUAGCCCACUGUAGCUCCUCCAUCCUCUCCGUUUUAACAUCUAUGCCCAAAAAACCCCCGCCCACCUCUCCUAUCUUGCUCAAAAUGUCCCGAUUCCAUAAAGAAAUGGGAAGACCCACUAUCCUUACCCAGGCCUCUCUUUCUUUCUCUUCCUCCAUCAAACAUCCCGACAUUGGGCUCCAUUUCUCCAGUUGUAUGACGAAGCCACCGACUGAUAUUUCCGCCAUAUCUAGGGCUUUCACAGCUUCUGUUAUCAACUCAAAUUCCAAUAAUGCCUUGCCAUCUUCCAAUUUGGCCAAGCCUAAAUUGCCCUUUAGCCCCCAUAAUUUUGCCAUUUGGGUCCCCCAACUUCUUAAGUCUUCCCCCCCUCCUCUCAUUGGGUUCUAGCAACCGACAAGGCAGUGGGCUAGCUUCUCCAAGUUCACCCAUAAGGCACUGUUAUCCACUUUCACCCUAGCCACCUCUUCUCCGGUGCUGUGGUUCUGCUUUACCACCUCCGCAAAGGACUUUCCCCUCAUGGGUGACCAACAUUUAUCCUUGUCCUUCUGUCUCGCUUGCCGGCCUGAAAAUGACUCCAUCUCUCGCAGCGCCUCCACCAAGAGAGUCCAGCCCCCUUUUGCUCCUCUGCCCCUGGGAACAAAGAUAUUAAACCUCUUUUUUUCCCGAUCUAUAACCCCCAGUCGAAGGAAACAUCCCCCUUUGUUUUCGCCGCGCACUAAAGAGAAAUAUCUCCCAUUCUCUUGCCAGCGUUUCUCCCAAUGGCCAGUCCUCAUGUCCUUUGAGCAAAAGACCAGGCCUUCAAUGAGUGGCCCCAAACUUGCCGGCCCCAGCUUAAUCCAAGAAGAGACACCUCCUUUUCUCUCCAUUAUGAAGAUAUGCGUCCUGCCCUUCUUCUUCUCUGUCUCGACCUCAAAGGUUUUUGACUCAACCCCAAAACUCCUUUUCCGACCCCCUACAUGGAGGUAACCCUCUGAGACCCCAUUCGCGCCUUGGAACCAGCUCUCUUCACCGUCUCUCUCACGCACUCUCUCUCUAGGUCUUUCUCUCUCCUCCAUCUAACUAGAGUUGACUUAUAGCUUUCUUUGAGAAAUAAAAGCUUCCUUUGAGUAAGGCUAACUUAGCAAGAUCAAGGGUUUGGCUUGUCUAAGUGCCGCACGAGCUUAGGAAAAGACUAAGUUCGUGACAAGAUGCUGUCAAACAUAUGUGGAAAUGGUGAAGGAUAAAUAUUCUUGUUCUUACCUGCUACCAUAUGGAUGCCUUCUGCCAUAAUUAUCUUCUUUAUGGUUGACCUGGCAAAUGGGUUGGAGAUUCUUUUUUACCCCUAAUAUAUAGAUAACUUGAUUUUCUUGUGACAAUUUUGUCUAACCAAAGUGGAAUUUAUGAUGUCUAGGCUGUUUCUUUUGCUUUGAUGGACAUUGGAAACUCCCUGCAUGUUCAAGCAACUCGCAUGAAUGCACACAUGGAAAUGCAGUAAUAUACUGAUUCAAACUCUUUAUCUCUUCCUUCCAGACAAGUUCAUUUUUUAUUGAUUUUUUUAUUUUUACUUCAGUGGCUUUUAGUUAUCUUUAGUUUUUCAUAUCCAUUCCUUGUUAUGACUGCAGGGUUAAUAUGGUGGAGAUCAUUUGCACUUUGAUAAGAAAUUUAUCCCCUAAUUGGAGCAGUUCUUCAAUGAUGGCCAUGGGUGUCAGCAUUUUAGAAAAAAUGUUAAAAUGGUAAAAUUUCAUUGGGUGGAUUAUGUGCAUUAGUAGGCGUUUGUUUACUAAUUGUGGGUUUGACAUUUUUAUGAUGAUGGAAUCUAGUCAUGGCUUUUGAAAGAAUUGUUUUGUAUCUAGAUAUGUGGUGGUUCUUUGCUAUAUUAAAUUUUACAUUUUGCAGUUAGUCUUUUGUGGUGGUUACAAUAACACAAUGGGUGUAACAUGCUUGGAUUUUCCUGUUAGUUUGGUGAAGUUAUAUAUUAUUGAUUAUUGUAUUUUUACUAACCUAUGGCUUGUGAAGAGUUUUUGGUAGGACUUGUUGGUUCUUUGUUCUUGAUUCACAAUACUACCGAGAGAGAGAGAGAGAGAGAGAGAGAGAGAGAGAGAAAGAGGGGGGGGGGGUGCGCAGCAAUAGGGAGUUGAACUUUUGCCUACUUUUAUGGCCCUAAAUUUAAUUUUCUAAGAUCUUAAUUUCUCAAUUAAUUGAUUUAACUUAGUAUUUAGAAAUAUAAAAAAGUACAGAAAAUUAACAAUUACAUACAACAAGACACCAGAUAUACAUGGAAAACCACUUAUAGAGCCUCAACCAAAACCUUUGCAGGUAUAAAAACUAUGAGUUUAUUGAUCAUAGAACAAGUUCUACUAAAUGUGAAAGAAAAGUACAUAGUUUUACUUGGUGUGGAGGCUACCAAUCCUCAAUAGAUUUACAUUGACCAACACCUACGUUUCUUCUUCAUGUCCUUGAUGCAACAUUCCCUUGUGCUCCUUAGUAGAUCAACUCAACUCAGUGCUGAGGCUAAAGAGAAUUGAAGCGCCUACCAUUAAAGAUCGUUCUUUUUCUAGGACUCUCUUGACAACUUCUAGAGAAUCAGCUUUAGGUAUUUGGUAGGAAAUCACUAAGUUUUGUGGUCAAGUUGUAUUAGGAUACCACUUGAUAUGAAAAAUAGAAGUUUUCUUUUUGGAAUUUUAAAAAUAAUUUUUCUGAACAAAAAGUCUGGGGAGCUUAAAUGUCCUCUAGUGGAGUGCUUAAGUGCCCUUCAGGACACUCGAGCAUCACUAGUUGGAUAUUCAAAUGUCCUAUCCUAAUUUCCUUAAUUUUGCCCCAUAAGUUGGCUUUGACACUCUAAUCAGUGUUCAUUCAUUCUUAGUGUACUUUUUAGUCCUUUCUCAACUUAAAUUGAACUUCAAUUUGCCAUUACUUUGACCUAAAUUUAAAGUCAAAACUUACUUACCUGUGCCUCCAUCUUGAAAGUCUUUAAUUUGUUUUUGAGGAGGAUACGUCUUAUUGGAAAUUAGACAGUUCUGAAUCAAUGCAUUUUUGAAACCAAAUUGUCAAUCUAACUAUUACAUAUGGUGCUUUUAGUUAACCCAAAACUUUCUCUUCCCUUGUUUAAAGGUUUAUUUUCUUAUUCCUUUUGUGUGUGAUGUUUUUAGUAUGUUUUGUUUUAUGACUUCUUUUUGUUUUGUUGCUCCAGUUCUCCAUCUCAUGUUACAGCCGUGGCUCUGAAGGCAAACAUAUUUGAUUUGGCUUCUAAGACAAGUACAUUUGAAACUCUCUUUACUGGUUCAACAAGGUGAAAUUCUACAGUUGUAUAUUAAACUAUCCAACUACAUUUCUGAGAAAUUAGGAAAACUACAUACUUGUUUAGGUUAAAAAGCUUUUAUUUAAAUUAUCAGAUGUGUAGACCUUUUACUUAUUCAUUUGUAUGUUUUGUGAAGCUGAUUUUCUAUGGUCAUCUUUUCUUAUUCAGGCAUCAUAUUAGAAGAUUCUGAUUAUAGUAAUUACAUGGAAAUUAAACUUACCACGCAUUGUUUUCUUUUUCUUUUACUGCUUCUCUCUCUCUCUCUCUCUCACACACACACAGACACACACACACACACACACACACACACACACAUACAGAGAGAGGGAGAGAGAGUUAAUAGCAGCAAAAGGCUGUACCAACCUUAAGAGCCAAAAAGCCUUUCAAUGGAGAAAGAGAAGGUGUGUGGGUGUGCACAAAUGCACUCCUCAGGUCCCUAUAAGUACUAUUUGUUAAUGGGUAUGCAUACUGUUUCUAGCUAUUCUGCUUUAGAGGCUUUUUUUUCAUUUUUGCUGUUUCCAUAACAAAUCAACUCAUCUCUGCAUUAAUCUGCUGCUUAAUUCUUGUGUCUUUGUACUGGAUACUGUGUUGACUAGAUGUUUUGUGCCACAUAUGCAGGUGGAGCUGUAUUAUAGUUUGAUUUCCAUUGAUGAACUGUUCAUCUAAUUAUUCUUUGUCCCUGUUUAUCUCUUACAGUGGAUCAUGGUUGCUAUCUGGGAAACUUGCAAAAAUGCUCUUAAUUGACUGUGAGCAAAAUGACAACUGCUGCCAGUUGACAAUUUCAGGUAUAUUAAAUAAUAUCUUCCUGAAUUUUGUUGUUACCCUGUUAUCUUUUCUUUUGCAUUUUUAUUUGUUUGCUAACCAUUAUUAAGGCCUUUUUGUAUACCAGUGGCUUCCUUUUUAUUUUUAUUUUCUUAUUAUUAAUGGUUUUUUUCAUUGCAAUACACCUUUUAUCUGUAAUAAUUCUGCAUGGUUGUCAGCAUUUUUCGUAUUUGCUAUGUUCUCAGAAUUUUCACCAGUUUUUCUAGUGGGAAGUUUCUUCGCCAAAUACCUGUUCAGACUAUAUCCACCUUCCAAAGAACUUGUGACCAGUAGGGCACAUGAUCCUAGAUCUUGUUGUUGAUUGGUUAUUGCUAACCAGAACCGGCAGAUUCUAGGCAUGUUUUAAACAAUGAAGGUGCUAAAGCAAUAAAUCAGGCAACACUAGUAAAAACUCAAAGAAGAUUGAAAUGGUUUGACAGUGUGCCUGCAUAUAUUUGGGAAAGGACUAAGCCCACUUACUGUGAGGAUUGGGAUUAUAAAGUCUCUUUCUAAUAAAGCCUCUGAUGGCUUGCUGUUUUGCAUUGAGAACUGCUCCCAGAUGGGGGGAGACUUGGGGUAUGAGGAACCCCCAGGAAUUUGGUUCUAACUUUCUCUGUUUAGACAUGCUUUAAUAUUUAUAUUUAUGUACUGUUAUCCUAAUUUGCGUAGUUUUGAAUCUUGCAGUGCUGGAUUUUACCAAACAGCUUGUGGAAACUGGAGAAGAAAAUGAUUUUGCCCUGGCUCUUGUUGUUUUCUCCCUCCAGUAUGUUUUAGUCAAUCAUGAGUACUGGAAAUACAAGGUGAAGCAUGUUCGCUGGAAAGUAACAUUGAAGGUGCAUAUUGCUUUCCCACUGCUUCUACAAAUUUGUUCCUAUCCUGCUUUAUUUUAACUUUAGAAAUGUUUAUAACAUUGUGAAAUGUUGGAAAUUAUUGAUUUGCUUUGAUUUGCGUUUUUAUUGUUAGUGACAAGCUUAAGCAUUGAAAUGAAGAAGAUAAAAGCAAAGGCAAGGGAAGUGAAUUGACUAAGACUGCUACAGCAUAAAAAAAUCACAAACAGUGUUAAAGUUUUCAAUACCAGAGGAUUUCUUUUUUAUUAUUUCUGGAAUAUGGAUAUUAAAGAUGAAUUUUUUCUUAGAAAUUAGUUUUGUUUAUAAAUGGAAUAAUGCUUUAUGGGCUGUUUUUUGUGCGCUCUGGCUAAUUAAAGUUUAUAGUUUUGAUUUAUUGUAGUGAACAUUGAGCCUCGUUUAUUGUUAUCCUAUCAUGUGUACUUUUUCCCACUAAUAAGAAUCAUCUUUCUAUAAUCAAAUGAUAAAUGAAGCCUAUCAAAUAAAAUCAGAUGAUAAAUGAAGCAGAUUUCACAUGCAUGCAUGUGAGUGAAGGUGAGAACUGUAUUAUUCUGAUUAUUCUCUUAUUUCUCAAACCAAAUGCUACUCCUGUGGAUGGGAUCAUAUGGCAUUGUAAUCUUUAGCUCCAUUUUAUCUUUUUUACUUUUGUUAGUUAUUGGCUUGGCUGCCAAAUGCUAUAAAAGAAUCUAGUGAGAAAGUCGGCAACUUUUAUGAAUGAGAAAGUAACCUUAGUUGUCAUGUAUUACGUGCAUGGUAAACAUUCCUGAUGUUUGCACAUUUCCAACCCAAUGUAGCUUCAUAGACUACUUAUUUGGAUCUGAUGGGGUUUAUGAUGUCUGAAAUCUGGUUCUAGACUGGGUAAGUAGGUUUUAUGCACUCUUUUUGUUGAUUCACCUCAAAAUUUUCACAUCUCUAUUUUCUGAUCUUUCCAUACAACUACUGAAAUUGACGAGUUUUUCUUUUGGCCUUGUGGUGAUUUGAAAGUGAUGGUUAUGGAUGCAGUAAUGCUAGAUCUACCAAUUCCUUUGAUGUUAUUUGUUUUUCAGGUGCUUGAAGUAAUGAAAAAAUGCAUCAUGACAAUCCCAUACUCUCAGAAAGUGGGUGAGAUUGUCCAGGAUAUUUUACUCCGUGAUUCUUCUAUCCACAAUGCACUCUUUCGAAUUAUUUGUACAACUAAACAGGCCUUGGAGGUCAGCUAUCUUUGGAUUCUUCCUUUCCUGUUGAUUGUAUAACUAUCAGAAACCAUUGUUUUCCCUCUUAAAGUGCAGAUUAUUUUUUUAACAGAAACUCUACAUGAGCCGUCUUUGUGAAGCAAUGGAGAUUGAAGGAUUAGAACUUGCAAUAUGUUCUGUUUUUGACAUUCUUUUCACUAUGCUAUCCAAGCUUUCAAAGGUAUCUUCUGGAAGUGCUGAGGUUUAAAUUUGUGUUCUUAUGGUAGGCUAAAUUUGAAGGAAUAUUCAAGUUGGAAUAUGUUAUAUUUUUUGGUUUAAUGUUAAGUGGAUGCGGCAUGCCAGAUGUACAUCUUGUCAUGACCGUUAGUUUCACACAAUGAACCUUUAUAUUUGAUUGAACAUAUGGAUUGCUCUAACGAGUAGUGCAAAAAGUCGGUUUUCAUGCUCUCUCUUCCAGCCCCCCUCCCCCCUCUUUUCCUUUCUCUUUAUCUCUCCACCUUCUCUCUCUCUCUCUCCCUCCACCAUUGUUGUUUGAGAGUCUCAAUUUCACUCCAUGCUUUCAGACACCCAUGUUAUUUUUGGAUAUUUAUCUGCUGAUAGUAUGCAUCCAUGGCAUAAUGUACUGUGGUAGAUUUUGUUAUAUAUUUUGUGAGGAACUAAAAAUGUUACUAUUCUGCUGUGUUAAUUUUUCAGGAUAUUACAUCAAGCCUGCCUGUUUUUGACCAAGCAGUGCUGUCAACUACAACCAAACCCAUUUCUGUUAUUGCAGCUGUGAUAUCCUUGAUAUCAUACUUCCACAAUCCUGUAUGGGCUUUUUCCACAUUCAAAUUGCAAAUUAUCGUGCUUGAAUUAUGACUUUCUUUUAAUUUCCUUUUCAGUUAGCACCUACUUGCCUUUGUUGAUAUAAUUAGUUUGGUUUUCUGCAUGUUUUUAUGUUUCUGCAGAGCCUAAAUUGUUCAUUGUUUGUUGUUUUUUUUUCUCUUUUCAUGCUUCUGCAUCCAUUUAAAAAUGUUUGGACAAGGUAAAAUAAUAUUUUUACUUAAUGUCAUUUUAUUAAUAAGAAAUCAAUUUGUGGGCUGCAUUAACAAAUGCAGACUUAGUAUUUUAGGAAUUACUAAAAGUUUUUUGAUGAUUUGGAAGCACUGGCAGAGCCAGUAGGGGCUUAGGGGGGGAAGUGCAACACCCCCACCCACCCCUCUAAAACUGAAAAAGAAUAUAUCAAUAAGAUGUAACCUCAAGACAAACUGUUAGUAAAGAAAAUCUAUAGAGUCCAUAAAAAUUAAGGACCUAAAAAAAUGUUUCUCAAACCAUAUAUAACUCUUAAACAAAUAUGCUUACCUUUUCAAUUUCUUUUUUAUCUUUUUAAUUUGUUUUAUCAUUCAGUUAUUGUGAGUAAAAAAUCUUGAGAUUUCAAUUAAAUAUUAAAUUUUUCUAGGACCUUUAUGGUAAAAGGAUUGAUGAAAUUACCAACUUUUUUUUUAAUAAAAAUUGUAAUUGCUAUUUUUAAAACUCUUUUAAAACUUUUAUUUAUCUUUUUAAAAUAGAGACAUUAAUAAAGACCUACAUUUAUAAAUUUUAUUGUUGAAAUUGUCAAAUUCUUUAAUUAAAAGUUCUAACUACUUUUCGAAAAGCUCUAUUAAAUUUUUUUGCUGAUUUCCUUUUUAAAAUUACUAAAAUUCAUAAGAUUUAUAUUUAUAAUAUUUUUCUAAAAUUGUUUUUGAUCAAAUUUAAUUUUUUUUUUAUACUAAAAUUGCUUAUUAUUUUGAUUACUUGCAAUUGGUAUACGACAAAUGUAUUUACUAUUUACUUUUCUUUAAAUUAUUCUCUAUUAAUAUCUUACUGUAAUUACUUGUUUCAUGUAUAACAUAUGUGCUUAAUAUGUUUUACUAUGUUUAAACAUGUAAUUAUUGAUUGAUAAGGAGGUUAUCAUUUGAGAGUUCCAAAACAUGAAAAUAUGAAAAUAGGUAAAAAAAAAUGUUGUAUUAAUUAUUAGUUUAAAGUUUUUGUUAGAUUUAUCAUGGAUUAGGUUGCCCUUCCUGAAUUUAAUUCUUGGUUCCGCCGCCAUUUGUAAGUGAUUCUUAAUGCAUUGCUUCUGUUCCAAUGUGUGGGUGUUAUUGUACGUGAUCAUGUCAUUGUUUAUAGAAAUUACAGAGGCUGUUUCUGUGGGUGGUUUGGUGGGUGCUUGUAUAGGAGAAUGCCGAAUGAUAUCUAUCCUUAAAUAUUUAUAUUUCUUCAUGCAUCACUGGACUUAAGUUGCAACCAUCAACUUUAAAUAGAGUGAACAACAUGAUGUGCAAUGGUAACUAGGUUUGUCGGUUGCUGAUUGUGGAGUUAUGAGAAAUAUAAAUUGUACACAUGUUAUAUGUUUGUGAUGCUGAUAGACUAUACAAAUGGUAAAUUCAUGUAAAUUUUCAUGUACAUUAUGUAGUUGUCUCCGAUAUUGGGGUUCUUGUACAUGCCUCUGUUGAGCCCGACGAAGAUGGUCUAAUAUAUCUUUGUAGUUCUUUCUUUUCUGGUUUCCAUACACAGUAGUUCGGAUGGAACUUCAUUGACUUGAGUUUCUUUCUAAAAGCCUAUUGUGUUUCUGUGCAGAGAAUACAAGUGGGUGCUAGUAGAGUACUAUCUAUGUUAUUCAUUAUAGCAGAUUCUUCACAACCAUAUUUAUUUGGGAAUAGAUGCUUUGGUUUGGAUGAUAAACAGGUAUGGUAUUUUGGUCUUUGAGCUUAUUCUUUAAGUUUUCUUGUUCUUUGAUUGACUACUUUGUUUUCAGAUUACAGAUUUAAGGCAUUCUAUUGAUAAGAUUCUAAGUGACCAGUCUUCUUGGAAUGAAGAUCUCUUUGUUGCUACAGUCAAAUUGCUUACUUCUGCUGCACUUCAUCAGGUUUGUUUUUUCAUAUGCCAUCUCUUAAGACUGCUGCUUAAAUUUUCCAAAUAAAUUGAGAUUGCAAGUAUUCUUUCUGAUUUUUCAGUGACCGGCUCUUGAAUAUGAUGUCAAAUAAUAUUCUGGUGAUAUUAGCUCAGAGAAAACAUUAAUUUUUGGGCCACAAAUAUGUAUUAGUUUGUGUUUAUGAUAUUCUUAAUGAGGUUUCAACCUUUGCGGAUUCACAAAAGCAAUGAUAGCUUCAGGUUUCUGAAGUAAACAUUAUUCUGUUAGUACUAUGUAUGGUUCUCUAGUUUUGGGCUUCUAUUUUUGUAGGCUUUAUACAGUUUGUUUGCUUGUGUGAGUUUUUUUUGUGAGAAUACUAAAUGAUCCAAGGGCAACUUGGUUCAAUCCUUUAACUUGAAAGCACAAUGCAGCCAAGCUCAGCCUUCUUAUGGCAUGCAUCUGUUCCUGUUUGAGGACCACUUAGAUUGUCUUUUCCUCUCAACCUUAUGUUUGUUAAGUGAAUAAUGUUAUUAAUUUCUACUUCCAGUCAUUGUUUCCAUACUAAUGGUUUCUUAGCGCAGCCUGCUUUUCUUGUUGCCAUAAUUGCUGCCAAAGACAAUCUAGGUUUGAAGCAGCCAGUAAAUGAAGCUUCCUUUGGAACACUGGGGUCUGUCAAACCAAGUUUGGUGGAUGCACUCUUGCAAGUUAUUGAAAGAUCUGAUGAUCUUAUCAAUAGGUAUAUUGUCUAAUGAGUAUGGCCUAUUUGUUAGUAUUUCAUUGUAAUUGUGCUUCAUCUGAUUUUGUGAAUGUUUGUUUGGUGUGCUUAAUCUAGUUUCUCUAUCUGAAAGGUUACAUAUUUUAAUUUGGUGAAUUUCCUUUAUUUCCAGCAAUCCCCGUUUACUACUGAAUGUGCUUAACUUACUGAAAGCAUUGUGGCAAGGGGCUGCUCAAUAUGCAGAUAUUUUGGAAUGGCUGAAAAACUCUGAAAAGUUCUGGAAACUAUUUUGCAACUCCAUUUCUCUAAUUGCUAGAAUGAAAGCUCCCCUGCCUGAAAAUCUUACUGAAAUGGAGGCUCUAAGCUUGGCAUACAAAUACCAGUGUCAAACAGCUGUAUUGGAAAUAAUGGCAGAAGACUUGUUCCUGCAGAAGAAGUUACUGCAUGCUGAAUUUCUUGUAAAACUUGCUGCUGAAUCAUCAAAGGAAAAGACAGGAACCACAGUUGGUUUGGAAAAAUCAAGAUCUGAAAAUUUACACCAUCUUAAGGAUGUUUUGUCAUCCUGGUGUGAGAAUUCAGUGUUGGUUGACCUGAUCAAGUCAUAUGCAUCUUGUCAAUAUGACACUGAAAUAUAUCUCCGUGCAAAGGUGAAUUUUAUCUCGUCUUUUCUUUAUAGCUAUAAAUGCUACUAGUAACAAUAACUAAACACUAUUGCUGUUCGGAUGAGUCUCUGCUAUUCCCUUUCUUGGGUUAAUCACUUUUGAUCAUAUAAAAACUGCAUUACAUAGAAUCGAAUAAUUUGAUCUUUAACUUAACAUCAGAAUGCUGAAACCAACUUCAUGGUUAUUCGAUAUAGUGUACAUUAAUGCCAGAAUACUCCUUUAUUUAAAUGCAUUAACUGGUAGUCUGUAAGGCUUGAUGAUUAUAAUUGAAUGGAAAAAAUGGACUCUCAUUGCUGACCCAGGUUGUUGAGAUUAAGGGUUGUGAUGAGGAUGAGCAGAUGGCUCUUGUAUUUUGUUUUGAAGCUGAUAGGCUGAAAGUACCCAUGCACUUUCAUGAUACCAAACCAUCCAUGUCAGGUUCCAGAUUCCAAUCAUUUCCUUUGAAUUCCUCCCUAGCUGAUAUGUAUUGGCCCCCUUAUUGUUUUUCCUUUUGCUUGCUGGAUUAGACUUCUGUUUUCUAGUAAAUUGGUGCUUGUAUCACUGUAUGUGCACAAAACAGCCACUUAUGGGUGCUGCUUUUUUUAGCUACAACCACAAAGGAAGAACUUUCUUUUUACUUUCAUCCCUAGCACCAGUUCUUCUUCCCUAUGGGUCAAAUAGUUUCCAUCCAUCUGCCCCAUUAUUUGUGCAAGGUCUUGACAUUUGGUUGCCAUUUCUGAUGUUUUAUAUAUUUCACUACUAAUUUUGUUAUAUAAGAUGGUCCAUUUUUAGUUGGCCAUUGUGAACUAUUUCUCAUGGAAUAUUGUUGAAGUGUUUCAAGUUACUGGGAAAUAUAUAUUAAACUGUUUUUCUAAUGUCUAGAAUUAACGCUAUUUAUUAGAUUCAUUCAAACAAAUGUUGUCAAGUUCUAGCCUAGGAAGUCACUAGGCUUGUCUGGGAUCUUUUCCAUGACUGGGUGAGUGGGUGCCUACUAGGUGCUCUCUUAGGGUUCUCUGUGCCUCUCUUUACUUAGCAAGCACACUGCAUUCUUUAUUGAUGAGCAUUGUUGUGGAUUAUUGCUAGUUGUUUCCUCUUGACUAUUGUCUUUUCCAUAUUCUAAAAGUAAUAAUCAUAUCUAGUGAUGAACAACUUUGUAGAUUGCUGCCAGUUUAUUCAUUGUGCAUGUGAUGGGAAAAUUAGCAACAGGUGAUGCGGGGAGUUUGUCUGUCUCAUUACUUGAAAAGCUACAUAGUAUGAAUAAAAAGGUGUAAUCCUAUCUCUAAUCUGUUACUUUGUUAUUUCCUGUAACUUCUCUCUGUUGAUUUUGACAAUACUCUUUUGAAGUCACAUCUUAUCUUACUCCAGCAUUUGGUUGUAUUUCUGCUUGCAGCUGGGCAAUCAGCCUGCUUUCUCUGAAUUGUUAUCUCAAUAUUCCCAGCGGGGUUACAGGUACAAUGUACAUAAUAUUUUCAUGUUCUAGUGCAGUAUUUUAUUUUGGUGUGUCACUUCUAAAUAAGACACCCAUGAGUUCACCCAAAUCAACAACUAGGCCUUUGAAAAAGUACUAUCUCAAAUCCCCAUGUGGUCUUCAUCCCCCUCCAUGCGAAGUAUAUUCUACCCCUGAUUGAAAUUUCCUUUUCCUUUUCCUUUUAAAGCUGUCAUAAAACAGUAUUUCCUUUUGCUUAUAGUGAUCUAAGUCAAUGAUUUUGCAUUAAAUCCUGAGGCUAGGUGAGUGAUAUAUGAUCCAUUGCUUUGUAAAGCAGCACAUGGAAAAUAGUCAGCUUAAUGGUUAUAAAGUAUGAUUAUAUCCAUGAUCCACUGACUAGUGGAAUUACCUUUUGUUAUCUAGAGUUGUUUCUGUUAUUCUCUCAUGUCAUAUUGUUUCUUGUGCACCUAGCAGUCACGUGUGUAUUUAAUUUUAUUUUUGUAUAUUAUUUGCCUUUUGUUGCUGAUGAUAGACAUUGUUGCAGCUUAUAUUCCUCAUGCUUAAUUUCUAUUUGUCAUGUGCUACCCUGCAAAGUUGUUUGGCACUCUGCCAUAUGCUUGGACUGACAAAUUGUCAAAGCUUUUUUUGUUGAUAAGUGACAAAUUAUCUAGGCAUUCAUCUGGCAUAAUGCUUAUACAGUGGAUUCUGUUUGUUUAUUCAGCCUCAUUAGUCUGUGUAUUCAUUUUGUUGCAUCUGCUGGUGCCUUAGUAAAUUAUUUUAGUUCUCAGGAAGGAAAUGCUUUUCCUGGUAGUAAUUUUUAAAACAACUUUUCAUUUUGUGCUGUUGGCAAAUCAUCGUUUCUUUUUAAUUUCAGUGAAGGGAAGGAGCUGAAUAUUUUAAUACUCAGUGAUCUUUAUUAUCAUCUUCAAGGAGAGCUUAAAGGCCGUAAAAUUGAUCCUGGGCCAUUCAAAGAACUUGCCCAGUAUCUACUGGAUUCACAAUUUUUGCAAAAUUAUCGACAUGAGUAUGAUGGUGACCUUUUUGCACCUGCUAAAGAUGUUCACUUGUUUGACACCAGUCAUUUACAAGCAGAUUUAGGAUUAGCUAUGUGGGAUCAUUCACAGUGGAAAGCAACUAAAGAAAUUGCAGAAACAAUGUUGCUUUGCAUGAAGGAAGCUAACUCAAUGGUGUUGCUCACUGGAUCAAAGCUUUGUUCAUUGAAAGCAUUGAUAACCAUCUUGACCAUGUAUGAAGAAGAUGUAAGUUCUCAGAUUGGAUUUAGCUCUUUGUAUGCUGGUCAUAUUUUGAACUUAUCAGUCUGAAGGACCAUAAGCAUUUUUGUUUUUUCUGAAUGUCUUAUUAUUAUAUAAUAUUGAUUUAAGGUCCUUGUGCAGUUAAGUGAGAGAAAGACUACAAUAGGUGGGGCGAUCCCUGAGCAACUCAUUCUAUCGUGCAUAGAUCAUGUGUGCCAAUGUUUCCAUGGCACACUAGAAUCAUUAGCUCCAGUUCUCGAUGCUCCUGAAGAUAUGCUUGAUUUCCUUGCAGCCCAAGCUGAACUACUUCUCCGUCUCAUUAGAUUUGUAAACAAAAGUCUGCCUUUACCUGUUUGUGUACUUGUUUUAAAAACCUCAGGUCAUGGCCUUAAAGUGUUGGGUAACUUUAAGCCAUCUGUUCCUGAGGUUAGAACAACAAUGAAGCUCUUACUCAUGUUGCUUCUCUCAUCACUUGAGUUCAGCUCUCUCAGUUCACUUUUAGGUGGGUUGUCAGAUAAGAAAUCUGUUGAAGACUUAGCUGAAGCAUCUAGUGUGAGUUUGGGGCUAUUACCUAUUCUCUGCAACUGCAUCGGAACUGCUGAGAAUUGUGUCCUCUCCCUGACAACUAUUGACUUAAUACUGAAAGGCUUCUUGACACCUAACACUUGGUUCCCCAUCAUACAAGAACAUCUCCAGUUGCAGCAUAUUGUUCUGAAACUUCAAGAUAAAAGCUCUCUUGCUUCCAUUCCCAUAAUUUUGAGAUUUCUUUUGACCCUUGCACGUGUGAGAGGAGGUGCUGAGAUGCUUCUUACUGCUGGCUUUUUCUCAUCUCUGAGAGUGUUGUUUGCUGACUUAUCAGCUGGUAGGCCAUUUUCAGUUAUUCAAAAUGGUACAAGUCACUCCAACUCAUCUGAGAAUUUUGAAAAGCCUCAGCAUGUUUGGGGUCUAGGCUUGGCUGUAGUCACAGCAAUUAUUCAUUCUUUGGGAGGCAGUUCCUUGUGUGUCAAUACUGUUGAGAAUGUAAUUCCUUACUUCUUCUCUGAGAAAGCUUAUUUGAUAUCAUAUUAUCUUAAUGCACCAGACUUCCCAUCUGAUGAUCAUGACAAGAAAAGAGCUCGGGCUCAAAGGACAAGGACAUCUCUUGCUGCUCUUAAGGAAACAGAGCAUACUCUAAUGUUAAUGUGCGUGCUAGCAAAGCACUGGAACUCAUGGGUUAAGGCUGUGAAAGAAAUGGAUACAGAGCUAAGGGAGAGAAGUAUUCAUCUUUUGGCCUUCAUUAGCCGGGGAACUCAACGCCAUGGAGAAUCACCCAGCAGGAUUCCACCUCUCUUGUGUCCUCCUAUGCUCAAAGAGGAUUUUGAUUUUUACAAGAAACCAGCAUUUGUUAACAGCCAAAAUGGAUGGUUUGCUCUUUCUCCUCGUGGUUGUUUAUCAAAAUCUAAGUUCUCAUCUGUCUCAAUCAAGUCAACUGCUCUUGUAGUCAAGGAUCAAUCAUCUGAAAAUUUAGAUGUUUCUCAGACACACUUCUCAGAUAUAGUAGCCUUGCAGAUCUAUAGAAUUACAUUUCUUCUAUUGAAAUUUCUCUGUUUACAAGCUGAGGGUGCUGCUAGGAGGGCCGAGGAAGUGGGAUUUGUAGAUCUUGCUCAUUUUCCUGAACUUCCAAUGCCUGAGAUUUUGCACGGCUUACAGGUACAAUGAUAGCAUUUAUUCUUGUACUAGGAUUAUGUCCACCCUACUAAAUUAUGGGAUGUUUAUAGAUUUGUUAGUGUUUUACAUUUGAAGCCUGGCUUACCAGCACCUCCUCAGGGCAAAAACAUCUGGUCUUCCAAAUUUUAAUCCAAGAAAUGAUUGAAAGUCAGUAAAUGGAUUAAGGAUUAAACCUUUAUUGUUAGUCUUAUGUUGAGUUCUUAUUCCUCUGAUGCAGGAUCAAGCCAUUGCCAUUGUCACUGAACUCUGUGAGGCCAACAAAUUAAAGAAGAUCGAGCCUGAAGUCCAGAGCACAUGCCUCUUAUUACUGCAAAUAAUGGAAAUGGCCUUGUACUUGGAACAAUGCGUUUCACAGAUUUGUGGAAUCAGACCUGUUUUAGGACGCGUUGAGGAUUUUUCCAAGGAAGUCGUCCUGUUAAUUAGAGGUAACACCAUAAUUUUCAUUCUGCUAACUUCUAACAAUCAUAAUAAUGUAAUUUUCAAACUCCCAUGCCUCAACAUGAUCUUAAAAUCUUGAUUGUUUUUGGAUGUUUUGCAGCAACGGAAGGACAUUCCUUUUUGAAAGCAGCAGUAAAGUCCUUGAAGCAGAUUAUAUCACUUGUGUAUCCUGGACUAUUACAAACUGAGGGCCUCUUGUGAGCUGUCAGGUGCCCCUGUAGAUCUAGGUGAACUCUGUAGCUUUAAAAACUCAUGUAAAAUGUGUAAAGAUUCCUUUUCCCUUUAUGAAUUUUGGACCCUUUCCCAGCCUUUCUUUUUGUGAUUCCAAUUCAUAAAGAGCUCUUUUCCACAACGAGCAUAUGCCCUCCAGUGGGGUCUGUAAGCUCUCUAGCCACCCAUGAAUCCAUUUCCAGUUGGAGACAUCUUUCUUCAGUCAAACCACUUGCACAGCUUUGUUUUUUUGUAAUAAUUAUUUCCCCUCCAUUAAGGCCCAUGUUUCAUCUUUAAACAAAUCCAAAAUUUCAAAUUGCCCCUUUCUUUGUUUGUUUGCAGGAGCUAGGAUUUCGAUCUCAAUCACUGCCCUGUGUGUAUACUUUUUGUUCUGGUUGAAUAGAAUUCUCAUGAAAAACCUUGGCAUGAAGGAUGAUUUUAAAAAUAAAGAAAUAAAAAAAGACAGCUCCAAUAUUCAAACAGAGCUUCCUCAUAAGUCAAUUGAAUUUUAUUGUUUGAUAAUAUAAGUAGGAGCCCAAUUUCUAAAUUGCUUCGAUAAGAAUGUAUAUAAGUGGAAUAUUGGGUUCAUGAGAUGGGUCCCGAGUAUGGCACCCAUGUCUCCAAUCUGAACUAAAUUGGGCCUAGAUAGCACGUGAUCGACAAACAACAGUCAGUACCUUUAAUUGUAACCGUACAACGACGUCGUUUUCAUUAUCUGGAUCUAAUCCACGUAGGCACCGAAUAAUCCAAAAGCAUAUACCACGUGCCCAUAUAUAUAUAUGCUACCGCCUCAUCCGCAACUAACCAGAGUUAAAAAAAAAAAGGUUGACCAUAGUUGCUGUAAUAAUCCACCUUUCUUAAUCUUAAUAUAUGGACACGUGUCCAAACCCAACGGCCACGAUUCGCCCCCUGCAGAUAUUGCCAAUGGAAGGCCACUAUAUAAUGAAUCUCACCUUCUCCAACAGACCAGGUUGCUCUAGACGCAGUUUUAGAGAGGGAGAGAGAGAGAGAAUCGUAGCUCAGCAAAAAUGACGAACCCUAGGGUCUUCUUCGAUGUCUCCAUCGGCGGUGCUCCCGCCGGUAGGAUUGUGAUGGAGUUGUACGCUGACACAACUCCACGAACCGCCGAGAACUUCCGCGCCCUCUGCACCGGCGAGAAAGGCGUCGGCCGGAGCGGCAAGCCUCUGCACUUCAAAGGCUCAAUCUUCCACAGAGUGAUCCCAAGUUUCAUGUGCCAGGGCGGCGACUUCACCAGGGGCGACGGCACCGGCGGCGAGUCCAUCUACGGUGCCAAGUUCGAGGACGAGAACUUCAUCAAGAAGCACACCGGUCCCGGCAUACUGUCGAUGGCGAACGCCGGUCCUGGAACAAACGGAUCGCAGUUCUUCAUAUGUACGGAUAAGACGGAGUGGCUGGAUGGGAAGCACGUGGUGUUCGGCCAGGUGGUAGAGGGGAUGGAUGUGGUGAAGGCCGUUGAGAAGGUAGGCUCAGGCUCCGGAAGGACCGCCAAGACCGUGAAGAUCGAGGACUGUGGUCAGCUCUCUUGAAAUGCUGUUCCUCAUCCCCUACUCUCUUUACUAUUUCUGCGGUAUUAGCCUGUCUCGUCUAGCCUCUGAGUCCUGGUUGUCACCUUACGUUUCAUGUGUCUGUCCCUGUCGUUUGGUAGGUUGCACAAACCUCCAUAUCUCUAUGUAUUGCAGUGAACUCCUCAAUAAGCUAGUGCAUUUGGUCUACUUGUAACAAAACUCUCGUCUUGUCUUGUCUUCUCUCGCAUGAUCCAAAAUAAAAAUUUUAGAAAAAUGAAGCAAAUGAAAAUAAAACAAAAAUGGAGGCGAAAAUCCUUUUGGAGGAUCAGGCCAUCAAAUCAAGGCGGAAAGGAUAAAUGUGGCGCACCACCUGCGAUGGUGGACCCACACGGAUAAAUCUUUACACAAAGUCUGAGACAUGGUUAAAGACUUAAAAUCAACCACAAGGCCUGUAUUUCAUGGGAAGCUUCCUCUAAUCCCUUGACAAAGAACAAAGGAUAAGUAAAAAGAAUGGAGAAGGAAGCUUCAUUUGGUUUUGGUUUUGGUAUUUGGAUUUUCCAUCAGAUUAGAUGUUUUAGAUUGGAUUUUAGGUCAUAGUUGUAUACCUACAAAACUAUUCUUCGGGUCAAAGCCAGAAACUUUCAAGCAGAUUUUCUAGUCGAAUAAAACAAACACUUUCUUAAUUCUUAAUCAUUAAGUUCUCGUUUGAAAGUUGAAAAGAACAAAAUGGGGUAGUAGAAGAAAAUGUAGAGAAAAAAAAAAAAAAAACCCUUUUUCUUUUUCUUUUCAAUUACAUGGGAGAUUUUUUUUUUUUUAAUAUAUUUAUUUUAAGUUUUGGGUUAAAAGAACCGAAGGACGCACUCACGGGGAUAAAAAGAGUAACGUCUGGAACAAGCGACAUCAUUUGACAACAAAUCAAGCCAUCGUAUAAAUUUAACAUAAUUAUUACUUUUUUUUUUUCAAAAACAUAAAAUAUAAAAAUAAAUACAUAAAAUAUAAAAUUAAUAAAUUAUUUAAAAUAAAAAAAUUUAGACUCGAUAAUAAUUUUAGAAAAUAUUUAUAAUAUUUAAAAAAUUAUUAUUUAAAUAUUAAAAACGUUUUUUAAAAUACUCUUAUUUUUUUCAAUAAUAAUAAAAUUAAAUAAAUAAAUAAAUUAAAAUGAAAACCUUUAAAUUUUUUUCUUUUAAAAAAAAAAUUAAAGACAGACAUUACUCACCCAUUUUUUUUUUCUUUUUUUUUUUUUUUUGUUUUUGCAUUCGUUGGCAUCCUGGUUGUCCCAUUAUGGCUCUAGAAUCCUAAUCUUCUAUGAAAUUACAUAUUUGACCCUAUAUUUGGUCUAUUGUUACAAUCUGUUAAGGGUGUUUUUGACAUUCCACCGGGAGCAGACUCCACAUUGCCACGUGGGCGUUAAACAGUGAACGACAAGGGAUCCGGUAGCAACAUAGUUAAGCGACGCCGCGAAGGAGGCGAUCCCGCCCUAGCCCAACCUGCAUCACUGUACGGACGCGAGAAACUUCCGAACAAGACGACGAUGACGACGACUGCCACUGCGUGUGUUUGGUGAAGAGAGAGAGGGCGCUUCCGCCAUUUGAGAUCCCCAUCCACACACGCACACUCUCUCUUUCUCUGUCUGUCUGUCUGUCUGUCUCUCUCUCUCUCUCUGUAUCUGCUAAUUCUGAACCCGCCGGCCGACGUUACUGCGGUUUUGGCGGGAAUUCUUAUCGGAUUUUCAGCUUCUUAUUUUUGGAGAACUGUGGUUGUCGGUGAUCUCAACUAUUUGAAUUGGUGGGGUUUUGGGGAGUGGGAGAAAGAAAUGGGGGUGUCGGACAAUACGAGAGGAUUGAUACUGGCAAUGGCGUCGAGCGCUUUCAUUGGCUCCAGCUUCAUCUUGAAGAAGAAGGGUCUCAAGCGCGCUGCUGAUUCCGGUACACGCGCAGGUGAGCUUGAUUGUGAUUAUGUAAUUCAAUUGUGAUAUCAGUUGUUCUAUGUGUCUAUGAUGUUGGAUUUUAUCAUACGAAUUUCUAAUCUACCUUCCCGGAGCUCAUUCACUGGGGAAUUGGAGGAAAAUGAAAAUGUUGUUGCUCCCUUCAUUAUUAUCAGUAAGAUGGGGAAAGACGAGGAAGGAAAUGAAAAUUGGAAUCUACAUAAUUCUAAACUCACUGAUUUGAAGGCAAAUAUUGUGUUCAUAUUUACUGUUUUCUUGUUCAGGGGCACAAUCUGGUUUAUUAAUCGGGUCCAUUAUGUCAAUUAGAAAUACUAGUGUGUAUCUGGGUAAUUCUUCCGCUUCAAAAAAUAAAGGAAAAGUGGAAAAAAAAAAGUGUUCCUUCUGAGCAAGCUGAAGCUAGGAUUGGUUUCUAUCGAUAUAGAAGUACCCUAAGACAAUUGAAACCUUAUUUUCAUUUUAGAGAAAUGCUGGAUAAUUAAAACUACCCAAAACUUGAAUCUUAAAUUUUUGUGAUGGUUCAAGAUUUCAUGAUGGUGGGAGGGUUCCAUUUUGGCCACUCUCAGUACCAUAUACAAUAAGGUCAUAUCUGCCUUUCUAAAUCAAUUGACACAUGAAUAAGUUUUGCACUUAGUAUGUUGGUUUAAAAUUAAUUACUUUGUUUAUGAACCGAAUGGAUCAUUUUAUUUGAAUGCUGCAUGCUUCUUUUUGUUCAUAUAAUGAACUUUCAUUUUUUAAUAAUGUAGGAGUUGGAGGUUACACUUACUUGCUUGAGCCUCUUUGGUGGGCAGGAAUGGUUUUGAGUAAGUAUAUUGAACAUCACUGCUAGUUAAUUCUUUUUUCCCUUCCAAUUAUCAUAUCACUUAAAUGAUAAUGAUACUUCCGGUGCACUGUGUUUGCCACUAUAUCUCUGUAGCUGGUUUUUUGUUUCUUACUUGUAUACUUCCGGUAUACUAUGUUCACCACUUUAGUUUGACACUCUUUAUAUAUAUAUAUAUAUAUACACACACAUACUCUCUUAUUUGCCUAUCAAGAAAAAAAAUUCUCUGAAAUGAUAGUCGGUCAAUGUAUAUUAAUCUUGGAUUGUGAAAUUUCUUGUCAAAUAGUGAUUGUUGGAGAGGUUGCAAACUUUGUUGCCUACGUUUAUGCUCCAGCAGUUCUGGUGACCCCCCUUGGUGCGUUGAGUAUAAUUAUUAGGUAAUAAUGCAGGUGCUUCAAAGGUCUUGUUUGUGCUAAAUUAUUAAAAUAAAAGUGGAAUUUUCUUUUUCUCUUUUAUUUUAGAACUAACAUGUUUGAUAUAUGUGAAUAGUGCCAUUUUGGCGCAUUUCAUGUUGAAGGAACGGCUACAGAAAAUGGGUGUUCUGGGAUGUGUUUCAUGCAUUGUGGGAUCAGUAGUGAUUGUAAUCCAUGCACCUCAAGAACACACUCCAAAUUCGGUACAAGAAAUCUGGGCUCUGGCAACUCAACCAGGUUCCGGGUUUAGACAUUUCUUUUUAUCUUAAGUUCUACUCUUUUUUUUCACCUUAUUAGUUGAAGAAAUAACUAAUGCUUUUGUUGCUUUUCUUUUUCUGUUGACAGCAUUUCUAAUAUAUGUAGCAGCUACAUUAUCCGCAGUAUUGGCUUUGAUCUUGUAUUUUGAACCUCGAUAUGGACAGACAAAUAUACUGGUUUACUUGGGCAUUUGUUCAUUAAUGGGUUCACUUACGGUAAUUAUGUUGCCUUUUUAAGUCUCCAAGUAGCUAGGGGCACUCUGUUUUUUGGAGGUUUAUGGCUUUUCAUUUCAUUGUAACAUUUGCUACUCUGUUCGGUGCUCAGUCUUUGGAACAUUUCUCUUGCUGUUCUGCAGGUUGUAAGCAUAAAGGCUAUUGGAAUUGCUAUAAAGCUUACUCUGGAGGGGAUAAGUCAAGUUGCUUAUCCUCAAACUUGGUUUUUCCUUACUGUUGCAGCAGUCUGUGUCAUCACGCAGUUAAACUAUCUGAAUAAGGCAAGUCUAGCAUUAUCAAUGCUGGAAGUGUUAUGAUUUUAAUAAUGUUUAUUUCUAUUCUUUAGUAAGUCAUUGCUUUCUUGUUUUUGAGUAUUUGACCUAUGGUUCAAAGUUACAGUAUUUUCACUGACUUAGUAGGUCCCAAGGCAGAUUAUAUUGAGCUAUAUGUGCAAUAUGUUAGUUAAAAGCUCAAAAACUUAUAAAAAGAGUAGUGAAAAUUCUUAGAAAAAUAAUUACAAUUUGAUUGACUCGACAACUAAUAGCAAAGAAACCAUCUAUCAUAUUUGAUUGAUUCAAUAGUUAUAAAAGCAUCUGUUAUCCCAGUUUUACACCCAAUACUGAUUUUUGAUUACUGUUAUAUCAACACAUUGAAAUUUUAACUUGCUGAAAAAAAAAUUAGUUUGUGCUGUCAAAAAAAGAAGAUAAAAAAUAGAAAGAAAUGUGUUUAAUAACAACUUGAUAAUUGUCUGAAAAUAAGUAAUUAUGAAUUUCUUGUUCAUAAUAAUUUGUUGAAGUGUUUUUUCUUGUUCCUAGUCAAGGAUUGAGACAUUUUCCUUGAUUAAUGUGGAGAUUCUAUGAGAAAUGCAAAGAUUCUCGGGAUUUUUACCCCCUCUCAUUUGCAUUGGAUCCAAAUUGAGUUGUUACAUCAAGUUUUAUCAUGAGUGAGCCAAGAUGAGUGAUUCGUAUUCGAGUUAGGACUAAAUUGCUAUUGAACUACACAAUACUCAAUUUGCGUCUUAGACUAGCUGCAGUCUUAUCAGAGAAUCAUGACUUGACUGUCUCUCUAUAAGACAUUAAUUCUCAACUUAGCAUAUUAUUUUUCAUUAAACCUUGACAAUCAUGCCUUAAAAUGCCUAUCUGCUAUGUUGCAUGCUUACCCGCACUAUUUAACACAUGAAAAAUCAUAUAUCAUGUUUUGAGAUUUUGGGUUAGUUACAUUGAUUAUAUAAGGUAUAGAUGAUUUCAAUGUGUCCAAAGUCAAAAAAAUACUUGGGAUGCAUCUCAUGCUUGCUAGUUAGCGUAUUGCUGUAUUUAAAAUAUUUUCCUUGGAUUUUGGACAUGUUUUGGAAACUUACAACAAGUGAACAAUUAGGUCAAAGAACCCUAUGCAUUGUUGCAGGCAAUAGUCAUUCCCAGGAGACUACUAUAUGCCAUAUAUGAUGUAUUGUUGUAUAGAGGAUUGCAAUCUCUAGCACUGCCAAAUCUCCUGAAACUUAACAAAGCAAAAAACUUCCAAUCCAUUUGCUUCUUGCUUGCCCAUCCAAUUUAAUUCAAUUUUUGUACCCUGUUGAUUAUAUUGCAAGCCUGUAGGGCUUUACAGAAGAUUGAUGCAUUUUGGUUUUCAACUUCCAGUUUUCAAUACCACCAUGUUAAUUAAAUAUAUUUCUCAAGCUUACAAUAUUUUGAACCUAGAAGUGCUUGAUGACCAUCAUGAUACUUCAUUUGCAAUAGUCAUAAUUAAAAUUUUAUCUAGGAAUCUGCAAAACUUUUCAGUCAUUGUGAUUGAACUUUCCCUAGCUCCCUUAAUGUUGACAAAAAUCUGAAAGCUGUGAUUCCACUUUAUUGAGCUGAGAUGUGUAACUUACACAAGCUUGAAUGAUUAUGUUGUGUGCCAUUUCUCCUAAUUGGUUUGUUAGCUAUUUGGUGAAUGUAGUUUAAGUGAACAGGCUCUUGCAAUUCUCGUGUUGGCUGAUGUUUAUAGCUUCUUUGUUCCAGGCGCUGGAUACAUUUAAUGCAGCAAUUGUUUCUCCAAUUUAUUAUGUCAUGUUCACAACUCUGACUAUAAGUGCAAGUGCAAUAAUGUUCAAGGUAGAUUGCUGAAUCUAUUUACUUGGUGUUGUUUCUGAAGCUGCAUUAUCGGGUUCUUAUGAUUACAAGAAAUAAUGAGCAUAAAUCUUAUUCUUUGCAUGUGCUCUGCAGGAUUGGUCAGGUCAGAAUGCAAGCAGCAUAGCUUCAGAGAUAUGUGGAUUCAUCACUGUCCUUUCAGGAACAAUCAUACUGCAUGCAACAAGGGAACAGGAACCAGCUACUGCAUCAGGUACAAAUUGACCAAUUUAUUUUUAUUAUUAUUAUUAUUUUUAUCUUACAGACCCAAGAUUUUAGUCCCAAGGAUUGUCCUUUGUUAGUCCAAAUAUUUAUCCUCCAAAUACAGAUCAGCCUAAUUCUUACGCAUCUAUCUGUUAGAUCUGUAAGCCAUUCUCAUAAAGCAGUUAUGAACAUAAGUUACAAAUGAGGUAGCAGAGUGCAGCACAAUUUCAAGCUGAGUUCAUUGUCAAAUUAGCCUGUUGACUAAAAUAUCGAUGCUGAGUUCAUUCUUUCAACCUGCUUGGUCCAAUUCAGGUUGCAAAACUACUUUCCUUUUGAUGGGAACCGUAGUACUGAUAAAAGAAAUUGAAAAAUUACAAAAUUCCAUACAAGGACAGUUCCUUAUUUUCUUUUGAGAAGGAAAUUAAUGAAGGAUUUUUAACCACAUAAGCAUGCCUUUGGGAUGACUAUACCAUGCAUAUCUCACUAGAAAUGCUAUCUAAUGGAGAAGAAACUGCAAGUUUGUGCCGUAUUUUUUUUGGUCUUUUUACCUGAGGUCUUAGUUGGUGUGGCUGUUCUGAUUUUAGUUGGGCAUUUUCUUCUCCUCCUUAUUCUUUUCUUUUUUCGUCUUUCCCCCCCCUUUUUGUGGAACUGUCCAUAAAUGUUUUCCUUGAAAGAAUGAUACGUGGUUUGUUUAGAUAUGAGUUCUCUUCGCUUUGUUCUUUUAUUUCUUAAAUGAUUUUUUGGGCUGAGGCAAGGGCCUUUUCAGGUAUUGAAUAAUUUCUCAGAUUGGCCUGGGGAAUUAUGCCCAGAGAAUAUUCAUACAAGUAUUUCCUCCAAAAGAUGGGGGUAAAGACACUUGUCUCAUUUCUUUCUCCAUCUUUGCUUACCAGGCAGUUCUGGUUCAAGCCUGAGUAUUAAACCAGGGCUAGAUUCUGGCUAGUUGUGGAUUCACCUCCAUGUUGUCCAGCUAGUGAACAUUAUCGUCAAUCCAAGUCAUAUGAAAAGAUGGACACAGCCAUCUAAGCCCACUUUAUUCUGGAAGUUUGGAAAUAGAAUGAUCAUUAUACUGAAUGGUCUUCAGAUUGGAUGAUAGGCAGACUCUUUGACACAGAUGGUCUAGCUGAAAUAACAGAAUCAUUAGUGAGUUUUGUACUAGUUUUUUUUUUGUUGAUCAAACUACUUGUAGAACUGGCGUCUAUGAAAUCAUAAGGUACACUUGUGCAUUUAACUCCAGAGAGAGAGAGAGAGCCUUUCCUCCUUUUAACAUAGUUGAGCUUUACUCGAAUGUGCUAAUCCUUUGAAUCUGAUUAUUCUUCCGGUGAAUAAUGCAAUUUAUUAGGUUGUACACACCUUGCAAUUUAUUAGGUUGGAAGGUGGAGAAGAAGAGUUUCUGUCUGUUGCUUGUAAGGUUUUUGUACUUUGGUUUGUUUUGCAAGGGGCCUUGGUGAAGCAAGGUUAUGUGGAUAUUGGACAAGGUUAUGGUUUGGGAGCCUGCUUCUUUGUCUCACAGGGCUUUGUCUUUGUCUAGGGCCCCUUGUUGUGGGAUGGUUGGUUGUCUCUUUGUCUAGUGCUCCUUUUUUUGUGCUUUUAAUAUAUUUGCUUUUACCUAUAAAAAAAACUAUUCAAUUAUACUUACAUUGCUAACACCUUUCCUAUUCAAUGCAGGAACCAUAACAUGGUAUCUAAGUGGGGAUGCAAUGAAGGGUGUUGAAGAUGAACAUUUUAUCACUUUACACCAUUCUGAUUAUUUUGAGCAAUGAAUUUUUGCUUUGAAAUGGAUGGACAAAGAAAAUGAUCCCCGGCAAUGAAGCAACACAAUGCUGUGAUGUAGCAUUACACUAGUGCAUUUGCAGGGUGAAAGAGUUCCUCUCUUUCUCUUCACAAACUUGGAGAUUCAGGAUUUUUCCAGACGAUUUCUUUUCUAUGCAACCCUGUUGACAAGCUGCAGGGCAAGAUGGUUGGAAGAUGGGAAUUGCCAAACCAUUUGAAAUUAGGAAAGGAGGCUGCAGUUCCCUAUCAUUCAUGGCUGGUCCGAUAAUUGCCUUCAAAUUUGUACAUAUUUAUCCACAUGCUUCCAUUCAAUGAUAAUUUGAGUAUAGGGUUUAUUCUUUAGUUGAAUUGUAGUAGUACAUAGAUUAUUACUGACUCGUUUUGUCAAUCACUAAAUCAUCGGUGUGGAUACAUACUCUUGUAGAGUUGAAAAAGAUCAAUUGUAUGAACACUGAUCUGCAGAAACAUGGAAUCAUCUUUGCUUGUGUGUGCUUUCAUGGUGUGAUUUCAAGUUCAGUCUUCAUGUUUAGUCAUCAGUAGUUGCCUUGAAAACAGUUUUCUAAUUAAUGAAACAUAUUUGAUAAUUUUUUACCAAAAGCAUUUUUUGGAAACAUAUUAUUUUCUAUACCAAAUGGGGUUGCCUUGGUUUGUGAUUGUGCCUGAUGGACUAUAGAGAAAGCAUCGAGUUCCUGACUGCCCAUGAAUUCUAUUGCCUUAACGUUUAAGUUAAGUCUGUUUGAACUUUGAAGAGACUUUUGGCCUUGCAUGGUUGCCCAUGAUUGAUCAGCCAAAUUUGUGUUCUUUGAUAUAAAUUUGCAAGUCUAAUGACUAGUUUGGAAGUGAAUAUUGUAAAAUGCUGAAAUGGUGUUUAGGUUAAUAUAUUUUUAUCAUGAAGAGAUAAUAUUUAGAAAUCAACUAAAAUAUGUUUUUUAAAGUAUUUUUUUAUUAUAAAAUACAUGAAAAAUUUUAUUUUUAGAAUUUAAAGAUAAUAAUCUAGUUAUUUUUUUCUCCCUAAAUCACCUUUUUAAGAUGUCCAUCCCUUUAUUACCAAGCAAGAAUAUUCUUACAAUAAUAUUCAUUUUUUAACAUACCUUACAAAUUUUUUAUUCGCAAAAUUAUAUUCUUUUUUUUAAAAAGAUAAAAACGAUUUCUUCUUUAUAUAGAUAGAUAUAAGAUUUAUGAGACAAUUACUUAAAAGUACAUUUUGUGCAAUGACCUUUCCUAUAUGAUAGAAAAGGAUCCCAUGAUCUUGAAUCGAUAUUACUUGGGGAUGGCAAAUCCCAAGCUUGUCUAUGAAGAUCGGAUCAAUAAAAAAAUUAGAUGCAUAAUCUUUUAAUAAAUUUUAUCAUAUUUUCUCUUCUCAAAAAGGAAAAUAACUUUUCAGAUUUGUGAUAAGAAGCUCUUUUAGAUUACUUCUCCGUAUCAUGACAAUCACUUUUCCUUAGUCCAGGUGCUUCCUAAUACGGUACGGCCUUCCACUUCCUAUAAAAGCUCCGCUCUCCAUACACCAUCCAUCAAACAUACUUCAACAAGAGUUAACUUUCUCGCUUAUUGUAAUUAAAAUACCAGCGUCCAUCACAACCGUUGAUCGUGCUUACAACGUAAAGUAAACUCUGAUUAGGAAACCACCAAGCCUCAUCACCACCGUCGGGUUGAGCUUGAUCCAUCGAAAUCCAACCGUCGGAUCACGUCCCCGUUUCUCUAUAUAAGGCCCCACCUCCGCUGCCAACAGACGCAAACCUCAACCUAGCGAUUUUGCGAUAGAGAGAGAAAGGGAGAGAGUUUUAGAGAGAAACAAUGGCGGCAACAGUGUCUCCGUGGGGGAAGGCCGGCGCGUGGGCCCUAGAUUCAGAGGAGCAUGAAGACGAGCUUCUACAACAGCAACGAGAUGAUAAAGUUAAUGGAGAAUUUUCCGGCGGUGAGGGACGGCAGGCGCCGGAGGCUUCGGCAGAUUUUCCGACUUUGGCAACGGCGGCCGCUACGAAAUCCAAGAAGAAGAAAGGUCAGACCUUGUCGCUGUCGGAGUUUUCGGCCUUCGGCGCUGGGAAAUCGGCUCAGCCAAGCCAAACCAAGGGGCUGACUCAUGAGGAUUUGAUGAUGCUGCCUACUGGGCCGCGGCAGCGGAGCGCGGAGGAGCUGGACCGUGGCCGACUCGGCGGAGGGUUCAGGUCGUACGGUUCGAAUGGUUCGUAUGAAGGCGGGCGGAGUCGGUAUGGGGGCGGCGAGGAUUCGGCGAACCCUAGAUGGGGUCCUAGGGGUUCGGAGGAGAGGAGACAGGGAGGCUUUGGGAGGGAUUCGAGCAGGGAAUUGGCGCCUUCUAGGGCUGAUGAGAUCGACGAUUGGGGUGCGGCGAAGAAAUCGACGGUGGGCAAUGGGUUUGAGAGGAGGGAUAGAGGAGGGUUCUUUGAUUCGCAGUCUCGAGCAGAUGAAUCGGCCAGUUGGGUGUCGAAUAAAAGCUUCACUCCGUCGGAGGGACGAAGAUUUGGCGGCGGCGGCGGCUUUGAGAGUCUCAGAGAGAGAAGAGGGGGUUUUGAUUCUGCCUCGGAUGGUGGUGGUGGUGCUGAUUCCGAGUCCUGGGGACGGAAAAAGGAAGAGGGAAGUGGGAAUGCUAAUGGCAGUGCGGGAUCGAGGCCAAAGCUUAUUUUGCAGCCUCGGACAGUGCCGGUGAACGAUGGACAACAACCAGGGUCUGGGUCGGUUGCGAAGCCCAAGGGUCCAAAUCCUUUUGGAGAGGCCCGGCCGAGGGAGGAGGUAUUGGCUGAGAAAGGGCAGGAUUGGAAGGAAAUUGAGGAGAAGCUGGAGUCUGUGAAGCUUAAGGACGUGGGUUCGCCAGGCGUGGGGCAAACAGAUGGGCCAUCGUUUGGGAAGAGGAGUUUUGGAAGUGGUAAUGCGAGGGCGAGUUUGCCUGAAAGUAGGAGUGAGAAGAGUUGGAGGAAGCCAGAAUCUGAAGAUGUGAGGUUUGUGAAAUCAGCUGUUUGAUUGAUCUAAUUAUCCGAAUGGCAAACGCUUAGUUGUUUUAUAUUUCAAUUAUUGAACUGCUUAGUUUGAUUAGCAUUGAACUGCUUAGUUUGAUUAGCAUAUCUUUGCUUGUGUAUCUUUAUUGACUAAACACUUCCAAGUUUCUUUGAUUAAACCACAGAAGGAAACUCAUACUUGAUUAGCACUUUUGAAUCUUCUAUUAAAGCAUCAAUCUUUUAAUAAACACCACCUAUGUUAAUGCGGCUGCCUCAUGGGAAUACUCGCUUUGUUUAAAAAAUGUGGUUUUUGAUCAGUGCUUAAUAUUCCAUUCUCUUCCUUGGUGAAGAAAAGGUGGGAUCUUGGCCAAAAAAUUGACAUGCCUGUACCAUAUUUGAAUCUUCAUUAUACUAUUAGUAAAUGGAUAUUAGGUUUAACUGGCCAGUGGAUCUUUGGGUGUUAGAAGGUUGCAUUUAUAUAAGCAUCUUCAUAAGUGGGAAGGGUCAAAAGAAAAAUUUUCUUAUUCCACUACCCCUGGUUGUUAUUUGGGAUAUGAUUGAGAUGGGUUUGGUUGAAGUUUAUGUAAAUUGGAUCCCUCAUAAGCAUUGAACUUAGAAGUAGUGGUUUUAUUUGAUUGCAAGAUUCUUUCACCUAAAAUGUCAUAAGUUUUGUCUGGUGGUGAAUUUUUAUAGGGCAAGGCAUGAUGUAACUAGUGAAUAGAUUUCUGUUCAAUAGGUUCUAUUUAUUUCUGUCUGUGAAUUGUUGUUUCUAUUUGCAUUCCCUCUUGAAAACAAAAUUAUAUGAGCUUAUUUGUUGUAAGCAUGAUAAUUUUCUAUGAAUAAGUUUUAUGUCUUUAUUUGUAAGUUUGUAAAAUGACUAAGCUUUGGAUUGUUCAUUGGUGCAGCUCACUUGUUAAUCGUUGUUAGAUUACAAAUUGUAGCAAAAAAUAUCCUGUUAGCUUUCAGGGGGAAAGUUGUGGCUAUGCUCAAUUGGAUGGCCCUGCUGAUUUCUUUUUGUGAAACUAAUUUGUUUUUCUUCUUUUGGGUGUAGAGCUGCAAAAACUGAGGAUGAACAUGAAGAGAAAACUCAAGAUUGAGAUGCAUGCUGAUGGUUGACAGGAACAUUUCAAAAAAAAAAAAAAGAAAAAAAAGAAAAGAAAGAAAAGUAUCAACCUAUUAAAGACUAAGAUGUUGAAUUGAUGAGAUUAUAUUGGUUUCUCUGUUUUCUUUUCAGUGUUUUGCCCUAACUGUUAUUUCUAUGAUGCAGUAUGGAGACAAUUUUGGUAGGCAUUCUCAGUAGUUGCAGUUUUUAGGCCUAAAUGGCUUUUGUUUGUAAUGGAUAUCGCCACACAGGAUUCUGUGCUAUUUCUAUUAUUAUUUUUGACAUCGAAUUCUUUCUCUUAUGUUGAUCCGAGUGCAGAUUUUGGAAUCUAUAAAUUUGUGACAAAUAAAUAAGAGACUUUACCUUGUGUAUUGUUUUAAUGCUUUUCAUUAUGGGUAGGGCUUGCUACCAUUUCAAUAUUCAUUUGUUUCCAUACAUCGUUGCCUUGUGCUGGUGUUGGUGGUCGGGUUCACGGGAUAGUGGAUGACUAUUUGUUGUAGGAAGACUCAAUUUAAUCCCUUUUUUCUAGUCACCCCUUGAGAUUGUUUUCAUUGAUUUUGUUUUCACUAAGUUUAGAGAAAGGAAAAUCACAGGCAGGCUCCCGAAUGAGCCUAAAAUGAGGGGGCUAGGGUGGAAGCAGAUCUCCAUAUGGGGGCUGUAAACAUUGGUGGCAGGCGAUUGCUGCAUCCCUAAAUUUAUAGAGUUAUGGUCACAGAAAUUGUGUAACCAACCACGUAUUUGAAUUAUAAUGUUGUUGAGGGAGAGUAUGGCUCAUGGUUAUAUAUCCCCUUUUCCAGUAAUUUCUUCUCAUUCACCUCUUUUUACCAGUCAAAAAGAGAGCGGAGAAUUGCACAUGCAGCAUCUUGGUUGAUAGAGGAUCAUCUGUUAGAUGCUAUCAAUCAUUUUUCUACUCUAACCCAAAUUGUUGCUUCUUCACAUGGCUUCAUCAAUGCUUGUGGAGCCAUCUUUCCAGAAGUUCGAAUAUAACGGCCAUAUGGUCUGAAACAUUUGACAAAAAUUGGAUUGCUUCUGCUUCUGCCUUGCUGUAGGUGAGAGAUUGGUACUGAGACUGUCAGAAGCUUCAAAUAUAACGGCUAUGAAGCUGUACGAAAGCCAUGUGGAACAUUUGCUUUAAAGAUGUUAGGUGAGAUACGCUUCACAUCUCUCUCCAAAACGAAGCAUAAAACCAGCUAAAAACUAGUUUAUGUCUCAUUGUCUUGGUGAUGUGAAGUAAUAUCAGUCAAUGGGGAUGGCCCAUGGCUCAGUUAAUAUGAAUGAUGCUUUUUCUGCCGAAGUUGAAUGGGUUCUGAUUUCUGAUAUGGUCCGUGAACAAACAGUAAACAAAAUAUGUAGAUUUUUAGCGGAGAGGAAUAUUUCAAAAAAUAUAUGCUGGUCUCAAAGUUGGAUGGCAUAUCCGCAUAAUCGAAGUUGUAGAUUGUUAAUGUUGUGGAGCUAGUUGCUUCUACCACCAGACUUCCAUUUAUUGACGCUUUCAAAAAAAUUAUUCACUUAUGAAUAAUACAAAAUUUUAAAUUGAAAAUCAAUCUAUUGUCAGAAUGCUUCUUUCAUACCCAUCUCUUAAUUCCAGUGAAAUUCUUGAUCAAAAGCUUAGACGAACUUCCAUUGAAUCAGUGGCAUGAGAGAGUCCUCCGUCAUGCCUGCUGAACUCCAUGGUUUAUUUGCCAGUCAAGGGCAUCCAUGGCACCACCCUCUUGAUCUUUUUUUUUUUUUUUUUAAUCCUAUGUAAUAUCCUAACUCCUUAAAUAUUACCUGUAUAAUAGUUCUGUAACAAAUGCGGAGAAAUGGCAAUGGAGGACAGAGCCUUCUAGACAGCCUUAAAUGAAUGUACCGUACUGGGUCAUGGAGAACAGAGUCUUCAAGCCUUUUCUUUCCACACCUCAUAAAUGGAGGCAGUUGAGAGUUAAAAGACAACACUCCUUAUUUACUUCUUAUGAAUCUUGUUUGUGCUCAUUCACAUUCUGAUCCACACCAGCUUUUCUCUCUUUUAGUGUUCUACUUUCUUGCUUGGUUUUCCCACUGCUCCCAGGCCUCUCAUGGAUUUGCCCCUCAACCUCCUAUUCACAGCUUUUCUCAUUCUUGCUGCAGCCAUUGAUGGGGCUCAUGCAGAUGCCAUGGUCACGGGCACCGUCUUCUGCGACCAAUGCAAGGAUGGACAGAGAUCCCUCUUCGAUUAUCCCCUCUAUGGUAUGAUCCUUGAUCAACUACAUUUUCUUUUUUCAAAGUUUUGUUCCUUGGAUGUUGUCUCUCAUAAUGUAGAUAGUACUUUCACGGUGAUUACCCCAACAUCCUCACUGUAUACAGUUGUUCAUGUUUACCUAUCAUAUGCCAAAAUCCAUUAGAAGAAUUUGUUUCUGUUUCCUUCAAUUUCUUAGCAAUCAAACAGGGAGAUGAAAGAAUGGAUUAGGGUUCAAAAGAAUUUAACAGCUACCUUUUCUGCAGGAAUAAAGGUUACCAUGGCAUGUGCCAACAGUAAUGGACAAAUCACAAUGUGGAGGGAAGAGACUACAAAUUGGUUUGGAACCUAUGCAAUGAGGUUUGAUGGUGCCCCAGAUUUGACUGGUUGUUAUGCACAAAUUUCAGGCAGUGGACAGGGGUCAACAGGUUGUAGAGCAGCUGCUGGUCCUGCCCAGUCUGUUAGACUUAUGUUCAGGAUGUUUGAUAUGGAGAUGUAUGCAGUGGAUUCCUUGCUUUCUCAGCCUGCUCAGCCCAUGUCCUUUUGCUCAAGAUCCUCUACCCCAGUUCCUACUCCAGGAACUCCAUCUAGGCCUCCAUCAUUUCAGCUUCCGCCAGUUCCACGAAUGCCACCAAUGCCUCCAUUGCCUCCAUUGCCUCCAGCACCACCAGUGCCCUUCCUGGAAGCCUCAGCCUGUUCACACGAGUAAGUCAAGGAAAUUACGAAGAACUUCCCAUAGAAGAACACUGAAACUUUCAAAUAUAGUCCAUAUCCUCUGUUUCCUAUUACUAAAUGGUUGUCUUUUUCCAGGAUAUGGACAGCUCCAGAGUACAAAUGCUACUGGAAGGUGGUGAACCCAGAUAUGAAAGUAGCAUCUGUGUUUGGACUGCUAGCAGCACAGAAGUAUGGGACAGACAUGACCCUGCGGGAAGGCCUGCAAGGGAGAGGAGACCCUUACAGGACCCUCCUCAGAGAGGCCAUAACUUCACUGCUCAACUCCUACAAUAGUCUUCUCUUCCCAUACCAUACCCUUGGUGUCAUCCAGCAUAUGAGUUUGGCCUUGAUGGGGUCCCAACAGAAUGUCCUCCUCACAGCUCUACGCUUCAAGAGGGCAAAUUCUGGCUCCGGCAACCUCACCUGCAAGUUCACUGCCUGCAAGUGAUUCAUCCAUUGCUAGACCUAUUUCAAUCCUCUCUCUAUAUUAUAUAUAUAUAUAUAUAUAUAUAUAUGUAUGCUAUUUCCUUAUUUCUACUUCUUGGGUAUACUAGUAUUUGUAUUGAAUUGACUGACGUCUCCAUAUUAUGAUCAAUUAUUAUAGUAUUUGUAGGAUUUUAGCAGUCCAUAUGUAGAACAUUUGAUAUUGUUUUUGGCUUUGGGUGACAGAAAGUAUGCUAAUUUGAUGACUAGUGGUAGGGUUUUCAGUAGUUGGGGCCCCAUCCUUAUUUAAAAUAUAAGCGUUUCGAAUUAAAAAGGAUGGAGGGCCAACUACUAAUGUCUAUACUAUCAAGCCAAUCUUGAAUUUAGCCGCAUCUUUUUUUCUCUAGGCACAAUAAUGAUCCUCUUCGGUUUCUCUUGGAGAAACCGGUACACCACCUUGCUAAGCCUACUUUAAUAGUGAAAAGAAAGAUCAUUCAUUUUUCAACCAAAAAUUUGAAAGUCAAAAUGUGUGGGAAUAUGGACAGAUGUUUUUGUGGAGACUUCAAUGAGUGUUUUUGAUGGAUAAAAAGAUGUGCUUUUAGGGUUGAAAUAAAUGUAGAUAGAUCGAAAGAAGCAUCAAGGGGAAAAAGAAGAUCUAAAUGACCUAAAAGGGCUUUCAAAUGAUUAUUGAUUUAAGUGGGUAGCUGAGAAAAUGAGAAAUUUAGGAUUGGGUUGGUGAAAAAAAUUAAGGUUAGUGGGCAAAUAAAAAAAAAUGAAUUGGUAAAUGAUUUCCUAAAAAUGAAAAAGUUAUGGUGCAGGUGGAGAACUCUCUAAUAUCUGUCCAUACUCUAAAGCCAGUCAUGAACCUAGCUAUGGUUUCUUCUCUAUUUCUCCACCCACAAUAAAUAAUGAACCUUUUCUUCUCUUUUUCCAACUUCCUAAGGCCAAUGGAUGUAAAAACAUUCGAAUGGGCCUAACUCUUACAGUAGGAUGUCUCUUUCAGUACAUCCAUGAUUGGAUUUCAUUUGAGGGAAGUGUUUGACCUUGAGUUCAAAAUUCAAGAUGUAAAUUUUGAACAAUCUCUUUAAUAACUAAACAAAAUUUAUUUGCAGAUCUAUGUUUCAUCACUUACAAUGGCAAUGGCAAUGGCGCUUAGAAUGCAAUCUUUAUUCAUGCUCUGCGGAUUCUUCUUUGCCAACUCCUUUGUCAUCCAAGAAGCCACCAUCAAGGACAUCCAACACGCAUUCUCUCAAAACCAACUGACCUCCAGACAGCUCGUCGACUUCUACCUGCACCAGAUCCAGGCCUUGAAUCCCAAGCUUCAUGGCGUGAUAGAGGUGAACCCAGAUGCAGGAGAUGAAGCUUGAAAAUGUGAAUCUCAAUAAUGAACUACACCUAGAGGGGGGUGAAUAGGUGUUGUAGAACAAUUUAAAAAUUCGAAUGUCCUUCAAAGAAAAAAGGAAAGAAAGCCAUGCAAGUCACUUGGAGUGACUCAGAAUCAUGUCAAUCUAGUGAAAAAAAAUCCAAUGCUGUUGAAUUUGGUUGGUCUCCACCUAAGGUGUUGGAUAGAGAAGGAAGACCAACUAAUGUUAUCAAGCCUAAGUUGGAAUGGGAUAGAGGUGACAAUGAAGCUAGUGAGAACAAUGCUAGAGCCAUGUAUUCUAUCUUUAAUGCCAUUAGCACGGAUGAAUUUCGUAGGAUAGCCACAUGUACUUCGGCUAAGGAGGCUUGGGAUAUUCUCCAAGUGACUCAUGAAGGAACUAAUGCCGUGAAAGUGUCCAAGCUUCAAAUGUUGACAUCUAGGUUUGAGACCAUUAGGAUGGAUGAUCAUGAGAACUUUGGAGAGUUCUAUGCAAAACUGAUGGACAUAGUGAAUUCUAGUUUUAAUCUAGGUGAGCCCAUCCCUAAUUCCAAAGUGGUUAGAAAAAUUCUAAGAUCUCUUCCGGAGAGAUUUAGAGCAAAAGUCACUGCCAUUGAAGAGUCCAAGGAUGUGGAUUCCUUGAAAGUGGAUGAACUUGUGGGUUCACUCCAAACCUUUGAAAUGACUCUUGGAUCACCUAGGAAAUCAAAGGGCAUUGCCUUGAAUGCCAUUAAAGAGGAGUCCUUAGGUUUCAAAGGUGAGGGUAAUGAGAAAAUGUUGGAUGGAGAGGUUGCUAAAUUUCCUAGAAAAUUCAAAAAAUACAUGAAGUUCAGGAAAUAUAAGAAGAAGUCCAAUGAAGAUGCUAGAAAAUGGAAUAAUUCAAUGGGAAAAUCAAAUGUAAAAGACAAAAAGAAAGACAAGAAUAUCAAAAUAUAAAGUGAGAGAAAGAGACAAUGAACACCAGAUUUUUAACGUGGAAAACCUCCGAAGAGAUCAAAAACCACGGGCCUAUCACCGAUUGAAAACUCCACUAUGAAGAAUAAAAACUGAGUACAAGGUUUUACCUAGCUCAAGCCAACCAAUCCUUCCUGGAAUACUUGACUAGUACCUUCAUUUUCAGCUUCUCCUUUUGAAGCACACUUGGAGUCCGCACCAAGCUCAAUCUCGGCCUCUUCUUGAAUCCACACAAGAAGAAAAUGGGUUUUUGCACAAACCCAAAUAGAAUGAGAGAUUGAGAUAUGAAGGAAGAAAGGAAUCAACCCAUUUGUUGCUCAAGAAAAUCCAUUAAAAACCAGUUUGGAAAACAUUAAGAGAAAUGGAUUUUCUUUGCAAUAAAAAACCCCAACUUAGGAAAGCAAAAACGAGAAAUGAAGAACACUUGGAGUGUGGCUGCUCUCCCCCAUUUUCUGCAGUCACUCUACUUAGAAAAUGAGAGAAGAUUGGUUUUUAAAGUGUAAAAAGAAACCCUUAAUCUAAUGGCUGAGAUUUGAUCAAAAAAACAUUAGUUGGAUAGAUCCACCCCUACACUUAGAUCGAUCCAGAAACAGAGGAAUGAAAUCCUUGCACCAAAAACCAUUCUUCCCAACUUUCUAACACAUUUAAAGAUUAAAAACCGGGUUGAUUAACACCCAAACUCGACUACAUACCUCGACCUCUUAGCAAAGUCUUAGUCUUCAAAGUCAAGUAGUCCGAAUAGGAAUAGGAAAGCCGAGUUAGGGGACACUUAGGAAUUUUGUCCGGAAUUGCCAACCUAGCUAAACACUCACAAAGCUGACAAAGCCGAUUCAAGAAUGAAAAGCAAGACGAAGGUGGGAGAGUUGAAUGGGAUACCGGUGUUGCUGAAGGACAGUAUAAAUACCAAAGAUAUGUUGAAUUCAAUUGCUGGGUCAUACGCAUUGUUGGGGGUGGAGGUGAGUGGAGAUGCGACGGUGGUGAAGAAGUUGAGGAACGCCGGAGCAUUGAUACUGGGGAAGGCUAGUAUGAGUGAGUGGUGUUAGUUUCGUUCUUUGAAAAUUCCCCGAGGUUGGUGCACAAGAGGUGGACAAGCUAGGCGUCGUGAGCUUGCAUAUUUCCUUUCUUUCUUUAUUUCUUUCCAUAUCUUGGUUUCACUAUUUUCUCCUUUUAAAUUUGUUUCUACUCUAAAGUAGAUUCUAAAGAAUUUCGACAAAACUAUUAUUGAUCUUGUUCAAAAGAAAGUUUGCUAAAUUUCGAUCAGAAGUUGGAGUUAACGAUCGAUUUGAAAGGAUUAGAGGCGCAAGAACCCUUCUUGAGUGAUUUAGGCCAGAAGUUGAAGUAAUAAUUCAAAAAAAUUUCAAAGAAAAGAAAAAAAAAAGAAUGCCUCAGAUUCUUAGCCAAUAUUUACUCUGUGACUACUGAAUUACGUGCAGAAUCCAUAUGUUGAUUCCGGAGAUCCAUAUGGGUCAAGUAGCGGAUCUGCAAUAUCAGUGGCAUCCAACAUGGUGGCCGUCUCGCUUGGGACUGAGACCAAUGGUUCCAUCAUCUGCCCAGCUGAUCAUAACUCCGUUAUAGGGUUUAAGCCCACCGUUGGACUCACCAGUCGGGCAGGCGUCAUCCCUAUUUCACCCCGGCAAGACAGUGUUGGGUAACUGUAAGCUACCUCAUGUCUGAUAUCAUUAAUUUAUUAAAAUCUCAAAUACAUUCAUUAUGCCAUUUGUAUGGUACAUGUUUAUAAGUUAUAUUCCACGUCAAAUAGUGAAAAAAGUUUGUAUGGGUGUAUGUGUAUGAUGGGUUUUUUUAAUCUCGUAAACAUGUUUUAGAGUUGUAUGAAUUUUUUGGAUAAUAUCUAUAUGAUUGAAAAUGAAUUGUUACAAAUGUUAUUAUAGACGAUCUUACACAUGGGUGUAAGAAUUCAUUCUCUUUUUAAGCUCAUAGAUCUUAUGAAUUAUUUGAAUCCAAAAUAGACGAUAUCUAUACGAUUAAACCAACAAACAAUAUCCAUAUGGGUCUAUGAGUUUAGAGCAAAUAAUAUUUAAAUAGAUAAUAUUUACAUGAUUAGAAGUAGAUUACUACACCUACUAUAACAAUUGCUUCUUUGGCCUAAAUCAGAGGAUAUGUCGGAUAUUAUGUCAAAUGAAUUUUGUUCAAUAGUUAGUAAGACAUUUCUCUACUGUAGGCCCAUAUGCAGUGUUGAUGUCUCGCGUCCCAGGGAUCCACGCUGCUGCCAAGUGGAUGCGCGCUUUCAACCAAAAAUGAGUUUUGACUCAAUCGAUCCUACAAAAGAUGUCCGGUGGUUUUGUUAGUCAUGGCUUCAGAGAUCAAGCUAUUGUCAUUUUUCUGGGAUAUCAUACUUACCUUUUUCUUUGUGUGAAGACCCUUUUAUAUAAUGUUAGAAGCUCUGCUCCCCUCUUUAAUGGUGGGAAGACUUUUUGGCUUGUCAUGAUGUCCUCAAGGUGGUGACACAGUCAUCAUCACCUUGCAGGCGGCUGCCAAAGCUCGUGAGAGGUGACUUGCCAUCACCCCUGUCUUUUCGCUCUGCAGGCGACGGAACGUGGGUUGUGACAGGCUGUCUGGGAUGACUCAACAAGGCUUGCUCCUUGCAGUCAAUGAUUCGGACAAUAUAUCCGGAUAGGAUAGAGCAUCACCCGGGUAUGAUAUUUGAGAGUGCCAUAUGCCCCCCCCCCCCUAGGGGACCCGGAUAGGGGUGCGCGCCACGUAUCCUCUUGGGGGGUACAAAUAGAGUUGAUCUGGACAGCGGUGCGUGCCACGUGUCGUCGGGGGGGUCCCUACAUGCAGGACUGUGUCGGAUGCGGUUUAUGUGCUGGAUGCUAUAGUAGGUUUCGACCCUAGAGAUAGCCAGGCAAUAGAAGAAGCAUCAAAGUUCAUACCGAAUGGUGGCUACAAACAAUUUUUCAACAAAGAUGGGCUUACUGGAAAGAGAUUGGGUGUUGUGAGGAAUCCAUUUUCUUACUUUUACAAUGAAUCCACUGCUAUUCUAGCCUUUGAGGCUCAUCUGAACACAUUAAGGUAGAAGAUACAUAUGCUUUGUUCCAUAUAUAAACAAAGUCUGAUCUCAUGUAAUAAACAUACAUUGAUUUGGCAUCCAGUGAUCACGAGAAUUUUCUCUUGGAAAUUGCAGGCAAAGGGGUGCAAUUUUAGUGGACAAUCUGGAAAAAGAAAAUAUUGAUAUCAUCAUGGACCCGAAUGAAUGUGGUGAAUCAACGGCCUUGUUGGCUGAGUUGAAGCUCAACAUAAAUGGGUAUCUAAGAGAGCUCACCAGCUCUCCAGUGAGGUCCUUAGCAGACAUUAUUGCCUUCAACUUGAACAGCUCUGAUCUAGUAAAGACACCUGAAAAAUGGAUUAUUGUGUUAUUCCAAGUUAUGAAGGUUAUAAAUUAAUGCAUUAUAUAAGCUUUGUGUCAUUGCAAGAGAAGACUGAUGAAUAUGGACAGGAAGUCUUUAUGGCAUCAGAGAUGACAAAUGGGAUUGGGGAGGAAGAGAGGACGACAAUGGAGAUGCUGGCAAUUCUGUCACGUGACGGCUUUGAGAAACUGAUGAAGGAGAAUGAGCUUGAUGCGACUGUGACACUGGGUCCGGGCAUGGCCCCUGUGCUGACCAUUGGAGGUUACCCAGGAAUUACUGUUCGAGCUGGGUAUGAUGAGGAUGGAAUGCCCUUUGGCAUAUGUUUUGGAGGACUAAGGGGGAUGGAGCCGAAGCUUAUCGAAGUUGCUUACGGUUUCGAACAACCUACAAUGAUUCGGAGGCCUCCUGCUUAGCUCCAAAUGAUCAUUUAGCCAUAAAUUAGGUCUUUCUCAAGUAAUGUCUGGUGGCCUAAUGAAGGGUAUUUUGUUUCCGAUGAUAAUAAUAGAGGAAUGGUUCGUAUAUGUUGUUAAUUCUAGUGAUAAUUGAUGUUAACAUGCUCGUGAUUAUAAAAAGUGUUUCUAAUUAUUUUUUGAAAUUCUGAUCAAAUGGGUUUUGAUUGAACUUUUUAAUUAAUUAUGAGUAUUCUUUUUUACAAUUUAUUUCUUGAUUGAUCUCAGAAACACCAGGCCUGUGUGUCCAAAAAUGACGUUUGCAUUAGCACAAGUAGACGUGAGUCUGUGACCAGGCCUCUCUGUACAAAAAUAAGACUGCAAACACUUGAGCUCAGCACAAACAGCUGAUUAAGAAAGCAGACAAAGCAGAGAGAAGCAAUGGUGUCUUCAAAUUUUGCCAUGCUUUCAUUACUUCUCAUCAGCUUCAGAUCCUUUUGUUUUUAAAAACAAUAUAGAGGUUGUUCUCUGAAUCUUGUGUCUUUUUUUUUUUUCAAUCUUGUUUUAAAAAUUUAUAAUUUCAAAACAAUUGCCAAACAUGUAAAAAAAAAUAAAUUAAAAGUUGUUUUUUAUAUUUUUAAAACUGUUUUUAAAAAUUCCAACAAACAUGUUAUUAAUCUUACAUAAUUGUUUCAAUUUAAAAUUGUAUUUAUAUUGUUUAAUCUUUUUAAUUACUAUAUACUGUUUUGAAAAUCAUAUUGGAUUUUCUGGUUUGGUUCUCUCUAUUAAAUCAGAUAUUUGAACCAACCCCAAAGGCAUUGAACCGAUGGUUAGAAUGGUGAACUGUUGGACCGGGUGAUUCCAUAUGAAUUGAACAGUUCAACUCCUCUGCUCUUCCUUUCAUUAAAUGAGCCUAAUUUAAAACCCACCUCCUCUCAGACUUUUAAGAAAAAAACACCUAGCCGUCUUCCAUUUAAUGAUAUUCGAUAAAAACUCAACCCGAUUACCCCUUAAUGUGCCAUACCUUGAUUUAGACAUGACUUAUUGAGUUAGCAAUCCACGUCUCAUGUGGGAUUCAUGACUUGAAGUAUAAGAAAAAUGAAUGAAUUAAAACUCACCUAAAGGAUUUAAUAUUUAGUAAAAUCCCAACCCAAACACCUCUUAACGUGUCAUACCUUAAUUCACGUGUUGUAGACAUGACUUGUUGAGUUAGAAAUCCACAUCCCAUGUGACCUACAACCGAGCAAAACACCCGCUAAGGCUGCAUGCACUUUAUCACUUACAAUGCAAAUAAAAAAAUGUAUAUGUUUAUAAAAUAUUUAUAGUAUUAAAAAAAUAAUAUAAUAUUUUCUAAAAUUAGUUAAAAUUAAAUAAUUAAUUUUUUUUCAUUUUGAAUAUAUUGACAUUUAAAUAUUAUACAUAUUUCAUUUAAUAAAAUUCAAAAUAUUAAUACAUUUAUACUUAUUUUUUAUAAUAUCAAAGAUAAAAAAUUAAUAUAUUGAUUAUAUAUAUAUAUAUAUAUUUUAAUUUUUAAUUUUUUUUAUUUUAAAUAAUAUAAAUUAUAUUUUUAUGACGUCAUUAGUUCGACUACCGAUUCGAUUACUGAACCGUGAACAAUAACUUUUUCGGUUUAAUGACCAUUAUAUUAAAAAACAUUGGAUACACACUAUAUAUGAUAUAUUUUUUUCAUUAAUAUUUGAAUAUUUAAUGAUAACAAUUUGAAGGAUUUUUAUGCUUGAUGAAAAAAAAAAACACAUGUAAUAAUAAGAAUGAUAAUAAGUUGAGUCAAAUAAUAAUAAAUUUUAAAUAGCGGGAAGAUAAAAUAUAUGUGAAAAGAAUUUAUUUUAUAAAGAUAGUUCAAUAAUUUGACUAUAGGAGGAAACAUCGACAAAGAUUUCCCACCCCACUAUAAUGAAAAUAAGAGAAAUAAAAUAUGUGAAUGAUAAAGUCCAAAAAAAAAAAAAUUCAAUUUGAAUGUUAAUGUUACACAAAUAAUAGUAAAGAUUGUAUGGUUUUGUGGUAUUAAAUAAAUGGAUGUUACAUUUGAAUAAUAAAAAUAAUUAGGAAAGUUAUAAAAUCGAGGAAAGAUAAAAAUAAAUGAUAUAGUAGGGGUAUUUUGACAUUUUGUUCUUCAGGAAGCUACUAGAUUAGCUCCAAUGGGUGUGCACAGAGGCUAUGUUAAGCUUCUUCCAUAUGGUUUUGCCGGGAUAAUGGAAAAAUCAGGGGAGAAUAGUUGUGGGGAUUUGAGUUUUAUCAAGAAUAUUGGUGGGUUUGAUUUUGGGGAAGGUAUUAGAUUUGAGCCAUCAAAGCUUAUUCCGAAGUUUCAGAGACAGGCUGAUGAGAUGAAUCUCUUCUGCUUCAAGGCUACAACACCGUUUUGGAUGCAGAAAGCCCCGGCUUGCUUCGGUCAGUAUUUUUACUUUUCUUUUUCUGGGUUUUUUUUUUUUUUUUCUCUUUCCCUAAUUCGCUUAUUGCCUGUUGCAUGCAUCUUACAAUCCUUAAUACUGUGAAUUGAAAAAGUCUUCGCUCUUCUUCGAUCAAUUAAAAUCUCCCAUUUAUUAAACGUGGACUUGAUAAAUCCAAUAUUGUUUCUCCUAUAGGUUGAUACUUUCUAGUCUGAAAAAUUUGCACUUCUCAUGGACACAAUGGCAAUGGCAAUGGCGUUUAAGAUGCUUUCUCUUUUGCUCCUCUGCGGAUGCUUCUUUUCCAACUCCUUUGUCAUCGAAGAAGCCAACAUCAAGGACAUCCAAUGGACAUUCUCUCAAAACAAGCUCGUGUCCAGACAGCUCGUUGACUUCUACUUGCACCAGAUCGAGGCCCUGAAUCCAGAGCUUUGCAACGUCAUAGAGGUGAACCCAGAUGCACGAGAGCAAACGGACAAGGCCAAUGCAGAGAUUAAAAGCAAUAAGGAGUUGGGGGAGCUGCAUGGGGUACUUGUGUGUUGAGAUAUUAGGAAUGCUUUCCUUAUAUCAUUCUUUCCUUAUAUCAUUUAGUGUUGAGAUAUUAGGAAUGUUUAGAUAUUAGGAAAGUUGAGAUAUUAUGAAUAUUGAGAUAUUAGGAAUAUUGAGAUACUAGGAAUAUUGAGAUAUUAGGAAAGUUGAGAUAUUAGGAUAUUAGUUGUUAUUUCCUUAUAUCAUUCUUUCCUUGUAUCAUUCUUUCUCAUUCUUAGAAUGGUGAUUACCCUCUAUAUAUACUCUGUACAUGAACGAAUGAAAGUAUGAAUGAAAAAAACUACCAUUUAUCAAUUUGAAGAUGGUAUCAGAGCCAUGGAAUUGAAAUCCUGGAUAUUUUGUCACUAUGGUAGUCCGACAGCGAUCAACCAUCCUAAGACAAGCCCUAAUAUUGAUAAGUCAACCUUCAAAUGCACUCACUUCAAUAAGACUGGUCCCACCAGUCUGGAUAUCCCACAAUUUUAAAGCAACGACUCUUGGUAUGACCAGGAAAACAAUAAGGAACCGAGGGUUUGAACCAUGGACCUUUAGAUCAUGUUUAGGCUAUCAACACUUUGUUAUUAAUUAUAAUAAUCGUGAUCAACAGAAGAAGGAUCCCAAGAAAACCUUGACUGCAACUAUUGCCGAAAUAAAAACAGAGGCUAAUGUUGCUGAGAAAGCCUCUGCAUUGGUAGCCGCUACUGAUCAUGGUGGUAAGUUUUUAAAUACUUUUACACCUGUUAUUAAUAGUGCAUGGAUAAUUGAUUCUGGUGCUACAGAUCAUAUGACUUUUGAUUCUAGACAGGUUUCACCCCUUAGACCUUCCUCACAAAAAAUUAUUUCCACAGCCAAUGGUAACACAACCCCAGUCAUUGGGGAAGGAUCCUUAACUCUUACUGAUACUUUGAAUUUGGAUUCUGUUUUAGUUGUUCCAUCUUUAGAUUACAAUCUUUUGUCAGUUUCUCAAAUCACUACAACCUUAUCUUGUAUUGUCAUUUUUUGGCCUGAAUUUGUGUGAUUAAGGACAUCCAAACAAGACAGACGAUUGAUUGUGGUAUUAAACGGGGAAAACUCUAUUACUUGGACUUGCAAUCAAAGGAUUCAAAUAAGUUGCAACAAGCCUUGAUGGCAGAUGGAUCUGAGGGGGAGAAGAAAAAGUUUGAAAUUUGGUUGUGGCAUCGACGUCUGGGACAUGCUUCCUUUGGUUAUUUAAAAAAAUUGUUUCCUAGUUUGUUUGCAAAGAGUGAUAUUUCUGGUUUCCGUUAUGAUAUUUGUGAAUUGGCUAAAAGCCAUCGUGCUUCGUUUUCGUUAAUUUUGAAUAAAAGUCCGUUUCCUUUUAUGGUUAUACAUUCUAAUGUUUGGGACCCAUCCAAAGUCCCAACUUUGAGUGGCUCACGUUGGUUUGUUACUUUUAUUGAUGAUUGUACCAGAAUGAGAUGGUUAUGCUUGAUGAAGACCAAAGAUGAAGUGAACUUGUUGUUUAAAAAUUUUCAUAAAAUGAUUGAAACUCAGUACAAUGCAAAGGUUCGGGUUCUGCGUAGUGAUAAUGGUGGAGAAUAUCAAAGUUCUGAUCUUCAAAAGUAUUUGGAAGGACAUGACAUCAUUCAUCAGACUACUUGUUCCAAUACACCCCAGAAAAAUGGAGUCGCUGAACGAAAAAAUCGACACUUGUUAGAGGUUGUUCGUGUUUCCUUGAUAGCAGCAAAAACACCGAUAUCUUAUUGGGAAGAAGCAAUCACAUCUACCGCAUACUUGAUCAAUCGGGUACCUUCUAACUCAAUUAACUUUCAAACACCUCUCCAAGCUCUUACUAAUGUCGUAGUUGCCCCAACCGUCCCAAAUCUACCUCCUCGUGUUUUUGGUUGCGUGGCAUUUGUGCAUCUACACAAGCACCAACGCACCAAGUUAACUUCCCAUGCAUUGCAAUGUGUGUUUGUUGGAUAUGCAUUGCACAAAAAGGGAUAUCGAUGUUACCAUCCUCCAACUCGACAAAUGUAUAUUACAAUGGAUGUGGUGUUUCAUGAAGAUUCAAUGUAUUUUUCAUCUGAGUCUGAACUUCAGGGGGAGUACCAUAAGGAAAUUUAGAUUCUCGAUUAUGAUUAUCAUAUCUCUGAGGAAGAUGAAUCUGGACAACCUGGACAAUCUGAACUAGUGAACCAGGAAGUGGGUGAGUUGGAUAUGGGUGGUCAACAAUUUGGGUCUGAAGAUGUCUUCACUAAAAUACCAAACCAAUCGUCAUCUGUUGAGGGUGUUCUUAAUUUGGAACCUGAUCCUUUCAUGAAACAGUUACCACAUCGUCAUAAUAGAGGUAUUCCUAAACCCACAUAUGAACCUGAAUUGUCUACUAUAGUCGAAUAUCCCAUGAGCAACUAUGUGUCUACCCAUCGUUUGUCUGAAUCAAAUAAGCCAUUUGUAAAUCAAUUAUCUACUGUAUCUAUUCCUAACAGUGUGCAGGAAGCCUUAGCUGAUCCAAGGUGGAAAGCAGCCAUGAAUGAAGAGAUGAAAUCAUUGCAGAAGAAUGAAACAUGGGAACUCGUAGAAUGUCUACCAGGAAAGAAGCCAGUUGGGUGUCGUUGGAUCUAUACUGUGAAGUACAAGGUAGAUGGUAGUAUUGAACGAUUUAAAGCAAGACUGGUAGCAAAAGGGUACAUUUAAACUUAUGGAAUUGACUAUACAGAGACAUUUGCACCUGUAGCUAAGAUCAACACAAUUCGAGUAUUAUUGUCUUUAGCUGCAAACCUAGAUUGGCCAUUACAACAAUUCGAUGUGAAAAAUGCCUUUCUGCAUGGCGAGUUAUCUGAAGAAGUAUAUAUGGAUCUUCCACCAGGAUGCAUGGUGUCAGAAAAGCAAUGUCAGAAGGUGUGCAAAUUGAAGAAGUCAUUAUAUGGGUUGAAGCAAUCCCCGAGAGCAUGGUUUGGAAGGUUCACNNNNNNNNNNNNNNNNNNNNNNNNNNNNNNNNNNNNNNNNNNNNNNNNNNNNNNNNNNNNNNNNNNNNNNNNNNNNNNNNNNNNNNNNNNNNNNNNNNNNGUCAGAGUAUAAAAGUAUAUACUGAUGCUGAUUGGGCUGGUGUAGUGGAUGAUAGGCGAUCUACAUCUGGUUACUUUACCUUUGUAGGUGGUAAUCUUGUGACAUGAAAAAGUAAGAAGCAGAAUGUUGUCGCUCGUUCAAGUGCAGAAGCGGAAUUUAGAGGUAUGACUCUAGGACUUUGUGAGGCAUUAUGGCUAAGACUCCUCUUACAGGAUUUAGGUUACCUAUCUAAGCAACCAAUCCGAUUUUUUUGUGACAAUAAAGCCGCAUGUGACAUUGCUCAUAAUCCAGUACAACAUGAUCGUACAAAGCAUGUCGAGGUGGAUAGAUUCUUCAUUAAGGAAAAAUUGGAUGAUAAGAUUGUGAAAUUGCCUAAGAUUCGAUCAGAAGAUCAAUUGGCCGAUAACCUUACCAAAGUUGUCUCAAGUCAAGUGUUCUCAAAAUUUUUAGACAAGUUGGGUAUGUGUGACAUCUAUGCACCAACUUGAGGGGGAGUGUUGAGAUAUUAGAAAUGUUUAGAUAUUAGGAAAGUUGAGAUAUUAUGAAUAUUGAGAUAUUAGGAAUAUUGAGAUACUAGGAAUAUUGAGAUAUUAGGAAAAUUGAGAUAUUAGGAAAGUUGAGAUAUUAGGAUAUUAGUUGUUAUUUCCUUAUAUCAUUCUUUCCUUGUAUCAUUCUUUCUCAUUCUUAGAAUGGUGAUUACCCUCUAUAUAUACUCUGUACAUGAACGAAUGAAAGUAUGAAUGAAAAAAACUACCAUUUAUCAAUCUGAAGACUGUGUUGUUGAAGGACAGUAUAAAUACUAAAGAUAAGUUGAAUACAACUGUAGGGUCAUAUGCGUUGUUGGGGGCGAAGGUGGGUGGAGACGCGGCGGUGGUGGAGAGAUUGAGGAAGGCAGGGGCGGUGAUACUGGGAAAGGCUAGUAUGAGUGAAUGGUAUCAGUUUCGUUCUUUGAAAACUCGAAACGGCUGGUGUCCAAGGAGUGGACAGGGUGUGGUGAGCUUAAUUGCUUUCCUUCUUCCUAUACUUGGUUUCGUUAUUUUGAAGAUUAGGUCUAAAUUUUGUGACUUGUGAGACAUGCAGAAUCCAUAUGUACCAUCGGGAGAUCCAUGCGAGUCAAACAGCGGAUCUGCAAUAUCUGUAGCGGCCAACAUGGUGGCUGUCUCGCUUGGGACUGAGACUGAUGGUUCCAUCAUCUGCCCAGCCGAUGUGAACUCCGUUGUUGGGUUUAAACCCACUAUUGGACUCACCAGUCGGGUAGGUUGUGGACCCUCACCCGAUCCACCGGACCGACGUGACUCGCUUUUAAAAGAAAAGAAAGAAAUGAAAAAGUUGGUGUUUUCCAGUUUUGAAAAACCCGCCCCCGAUGAGGAACGGUGUUGUUUGGAGUCGCCACUUACUUUUUAUUUUUGUUUUUAAAAUGGGGAAAAUUAAGUAAGAACAAAAACCCCUAAUGACCCCAAUAUGGAAAAAGCGGUCUACGAAACUAGAUUCUGGGUCCGGGGAUCAGGUUACCCGUUGGGAAGGUACCUCAUGCGAGGUAGCACCCCUCUAGGCCCGAAACUCGGUCUCUACUAAUGAAUUGGGUAUGUGGGAGCAUAUGGGUCAAAGGUCAAAUGAAACUCUAGGCUAAAUAGAUGUCAUGAAUCACACAAUCCUAAUUGGUAUUUGGCAUGCAUAUGAAUUCAACCAAACAAAACAAUGGAUGCGUACCUGUGGUCCCUAGCCAAGCGUUGGAUAAAAGGUCAGCCAAACACAGAUAAACACAUAACAAACAUUCAAGAUUAAGCACCAUGCAUGCAUAUGAAUUCAACAACCAAAGCCAACGAUGUGUACCUGUGGUCCCUAGCCAAGCGCUGCAGCAGAGGGUGAGUCAGUCACGUAACAUGUAUUCAAAAUCAAGCAUCAAAACUUGUGCCAAAAAGGAAGAUAGCUGGUUGAAAUGAGGUAAGGGACUCCCCAAAUGUCAUACAAAUCGAACUAGACUCAUCUAGACCACACCACCCAUAACUUCAAAAUUGCCCAUACUAACUGAAAUCAAACACUGACUUAAACCUUCAAGAUGGCUCACAAGUGCCCUAUAGCAAAUGGGUUUGAGCCCCCAUGGAUAAGGGCUCGAAAAAUGCCAAAAUCGAGGGCUACCUAAAGUCCUCCAGCAGAACAGGUUGAACUGGUACAACUAUUGAGAAGAAUUCCCAAAUUUUUCUAGAAAACUCCUAAAUGAGUGAGGAUUCAAACAAAAGAAACAACACUCAAUCCCGAGCCCGGACGAGUGAGAACCAGAUAAAGAAAGACAGGUGUUCCUCAUGGCUGACAGAGGCAGCCAGCUAUGGUGCUGAACCGGUUGAACCGGUUCCCAACUAGUUCAGCCGGUUGAUAAAAAAUCCCAAAUUCGGUCAGAAAGUUCCUAAGUGAUUAAGGAAGCGAACAAAAGAAACGGUUCUCAAUUCCGAGCCCGGAUGAGUGAGAACCAGACAAAGAAAGACAAGUGUUCCUUAUGGCUGAUAGAGGCUGCCAGCUAUGGUGCUGAACCGGUUGAACCGGUUGGUAAAAAAUCCCAAAUUUGGUCAGAAAGUUCCUAAGUGAUUAAGGAAGCAAACAAAAGAAACGGUUCUCAAUUCCGAGCCCGGAUGAGUGAGAACCAGACAAAGAAAGGCAAGUGUUCCUCAUGGCUGAUAGAGGCUGCCAGCUAUGGUGCUGAAUCGGUUGAAUUGGUUCCAAACUGGUUUAGCCUGUUGGUAAAAAAUCCCAAAUUCGGUCAGAAAGUUCCUAAGUGAUUAAGGAGGCAAAAAAGACGGUUCUCAAUUCCGAGCCCGGAUGAGUGAGAACCGGACAAAGAAAGGCAGGUGUUCUUCAUGGCUGACAGAGGCAGCCAGCUAUGGUGCUGAACCGGUUCCCAACCGGUUCAGCCGGUUGGUAAAAAAAAUCCCAAAUUCGGUCAUAAAGUUCCUAAGUGAUUUAGAAAGCAAACAAAAGAAAUGGUUCUCAAUUUCGAGCCCGGAUGAGUGAGAACCAAACAUAGCAAGGUCAGAUGUUCCUCGUGACUGACAGAGUCAACCAACCAUGGUGCGAAAUUGAAAAUGAUGAAUGAAUUAAACUUGAGCCUAAACGUGAUUCUAACACAUCAAGAAAACAAUCAUCCUCAACAGUAAUCCUCAACCAUUCAUAACCAAUCAACAACAAACAUGUGUGACCUUUAUUAUCCACACCCAAGCAAUAUAAUCUUCACAUCAAAGGAAAUAAAAGAGGAUGAGAAAGAAGAAAAAGCAUACGAAGACGAUGAAGAUGACCUGUAGGUAAAAAAAAUUCAGCAUACUUACCUCAGAAUCUCCGCCAAAUAUGAUCCAUGUACGCUGAUGAUGACUUCCAGAAACCGAGACGUUGUAGCUUUCCUCCACGCUCUCAACUCAGAAGAUGCUCCCCACCCUCUGUUCUUCUCACCAACAAAAUAUCCUCUCUCUCAAAAAUGCCAAAAGGUAUUUUGCUCUCCUAUCCUCUCACCUUUUAUACUCAUACCCCUCUCAGCAUUUGAGCCUCCUGGGUUCCUUUCCCUUCAGCACCGAAAUCCCUUUCAUCAGCAUGGGAACCACACCCCUCAUUACUCCUCUUAAACUUACAAGACCAGCUCACUCCUUCAGUUUUCAGCUUACUUCACCACCAAGAAUCCAUAUGGAUUCGUGGUGGGCUGCAAGGAACCCAAACCAAGGCCUAAAAUGGACCCAAAACAUUUCCCAAAACCGAUCUGAAGCUUACGGGCCUGAGCCAUGUAGGAUUUGGGCCUCAAAAUUACUAGAAUUAGUGUUUUACCUCAGUUUACUCAAUGAACCGGCCGAACCGGAUGCCAACUGGUCGAACCGAUGGAAAAAAAUUCUGAAAAUUUGACAGAAUGUUCCUAGUAGAGUAAGGAAUUCAUUAAAAAAAAACGGUGCGUGAUUCCAAGUUCGGAAGAGGGAGAUAUGAUAAAAACAAUUACCAAAAAUCAGUGUUCUACACCGGCUGACUCGAUGAACCGGCUGAACCGGCUGCCAACCAGACGACCGGUUGCAAAAAAUUUUGAAAAUUUUACAGAAUGUUUUUGGAAGAAUAGGGAAUCCAUAAAAAGAAACGGUUCUUGAUUCCGAGUUUGGAUGAGGGAGAUACGAUCAAAACAAGCCCGAGUGCUCCGAACCUCAACAUGCCCCUAUAAACCCCAACUAAGCUAAAACAUCGGGAUGACCCCACUUCCUUCCUAUAGCGUGAUGUGAACGACUAGGAAAAUGGCCAUGGUGACCCUCCAAAAUGAACCACAUAUACACCACAAUGGACCACAAACAAACCCACACGAGGCUCGGACACCGACUAAGCCCAAAAGGGGCCCUAGUGGUGCCAUAUGCGAACGAUGGGUGGAUGUGACACCCGAAGGAUAAAUGCCAGUGUCGAGGGACAAAAUUGAGGGUCUACACAGGUGUCAUCCCAAUUUCACCCCGACAAGACAGUGUCGGGUACUAUAAGUUACAUAGCUUUGAAAUUGAUUAUUGAAUCUCUAACACAAACAUUAUGCUAUUAGGAAACUCUAUGUUUAUACAGGCCUAUAAAUUAUGAAAGUAGAGCUUGUUCUAUAUAUAGCGUUGAUCAGAUGUUUCUCUACCACAGACCUAUAUGCUGGAGUGUGCUGGACGCAGUUUAUGUGCUUGAUGCUAUAGUGGGUUUUGAUCCUAGAGACGGUGAGGCAACAAAAGAAGCAUCCAAGUUCAUACCUGUUGGUGGCUACAAACAAUUUCUCAACAAAGAUGGGAUUGCAGGAAAGAGAUUGGGUGUUGUGAGGAAUCCAUUUUCUGGAUUUUACAACCGAUCCACAGCUAUUUCAGCCUUUGAAGCUCAUCUCACCGUAUUAAGGUAGAAGAUAUAUAUGCUUUGUUAUAUAUAUAAACAUAGUCUAAACUCAUGUAAUAAACAUACCAUUGAUUUAGUGUCCUGUCAUGUGAAUUUCUUUGAGGAAUGCUGCAGGCAAAGAGGUGCAAUUUUAGUGGACAAUUUGGAAAUAGAAAAUGUUGAUAUCAUAUUGAACCCCUAUGAAAGUGGUGAAUCAACGGCCUUGUUGGCUGAGUUCAAGCUCAACAUAAAUGAAUACCUGAAAGAGCUCACCCAUUCUCCAGUGAGGUCCCUAGCAGGCAUAAUUGCCUUCAACUUGAACAACUCCGAUCUGGUAAAUACUCCCCAGAGUGGGGAAUGAGUUAUGAGAACUCAGGCAUUUGCUAAUUGGUUUUGUAGAUAUAUGAAUUAAGCCUUGUGCCAUUGCAGGAAAAGACUGAUGAAUAUGGCCAGGAAGUCUUUAUCGCAGCAGAGAUGACAAAUGGGAUUGGGAAGCAAGAGAGGAUGGCAAUGGAAAUGAUGGCAAAUCUGUCUCAGGAUGGGUUUGAGAAACUGAUGAUGGAGAAUAAGCUUGAUGCAACGGUGGCACUGGGUUCAGGCAUGGCCACUGUACUGGCCAUUGGAGGUUACCCCGGAGUUAGUGUUCCAGCUGGGUAUGAUGGAGAUGGAAUGCCCUUUGGCAUAUGUUUUGGAGGACUGAAGGGGAUGGAGCCAAAGCUUAUUGAAGUUGCUUACGGAUUUGAACAAGCCACAAAGAUUCGGAGACCUCCUACUUCCCCUAAUAACUUAUUGUGUCCUAAUGAGCCAUUGUAAGAGUUGGAUUUUGUUUUCCGCAAUAACAGUGGUUAUAUAUGUAUAAAUAAAUAAUUAAAAUUUUUGAAUAACUAUUUUUUAUCAUAACUAACAAAUAGUUAUGUUUCUAAAUUUGUUUAUUAACUUUUCAAGCAAUUCUCUUAGUUUUUCUAAGUUAUCCAAAGGUCAUCCGAAAAAUUUUAGUGAGGGUCUAUAAGUUCAUCUAUCUUUAAUAAGUCUAUAUCCUUGGACUCUUUAGUGGUAGUCACUUUUGCUCUAGAUCACUCAUGGUAGAGACCUUAAAUUUUUCUCAUCACUUUAGAGUUAGGGAUGAGUUUACCAAGAUUAAAGGUAGGAUUCAUAAAAUCCAUCAAUUUUGUAUGGAACUCUCUAAAACUCUUAUGAUCCUCCAUCCUAAUAGUCUCAAACAUAAAGCUUAACAUUUGAAGUUUGGAUACUUUAACGACAUUGGCUCUUUCAUGAGUCACUUGGAAGAUAUCCCAAACCUCCUUAGCCUACAUGUAACAAUACCAAAAAAUUCAUAUGUGCUAAUAACAUUAAAAAUGGAAUAUAUGGCUCUAACAUUAUUUUCACUAGUUUCAUUUUCACCUAUAUCUCGUUCCAAUUUAGGUUUGACAAUAUUUGUUAGUCUACCUUCUCUAUCAAAUACCUUAGGUGGAGACCAACCAAAUUCAAUAGCAUUCCAAACUUUUUGUUUGCAUUUUGAGAAAAAAUAUUGCAUGUGUACUUUCCAAUGAGAAUAAUUUCACUGGUUAAGAAUUGUGAUCUCCUAAUGAAAGCUCCUUCUUAAUAAGAUUUCAUGAUUAAGAUUCAAGAAUUGAAAAAUGAUUUUUAUAGUAAAAAUCCGUCCAUAUACCAAUUGAGGAUGAAUUGAAUGCAAUUCACAUGCAAAUGAAUUAACAUUCCCCAACCUAAAUUCGUAAGAAUAAUUAGCUCCUCAACACAUUUCUAAUUACUACUUAAUAUCAUAAUCAAAUUAAAUAAAAAAUUAUUUAAUAUUUUCAAAAAUCAAACUCAUUUAAACUCAUUUUUCACCUAUCCAACAUAUGCUCAAGUAUGAAAUUGAGAUCAAUAAACAAGAGAGAAGAAUAAGAGAGUGACGAUAACACCAAAUUUUAAUGUGAAAAAUCUCCUAAGAAAUAAAAAGUUAUGGGUCUACCAAUGAUCAUAAGUUUACACUAUGAAAAAUAACAAACUGAGCACAAUGCUUUACCUAACUCAAGUUUAUAUAUCAUUCUCGAACUACUUGAUCAGUAGCUUCCAACUUCAACUUCACACCUUCUUUUGGAACACAUUUACAAUCUAGACCAAACUUAAUCUACAUAAGAAGAAAAUGAGUUUUCAUUCAAACCUAAAUCAACAAGAACACGAUAGAUACAUGAAAUAAAUGAAUAAGCCCGUUUUUAAGAAAAUCCAAUUGAAAAACAAUAUGAAAAUCAAGAUAAAAGAAAAUUUUCUCAAGAAAACAAACACUUCCAAUUUGGAAUAAGAAAGAGAGCUCAAAUGGAGUGAAAAACGGUUGUUUUUUUUUUUCCUAAACUAGAAACAUUUGAGUUAAAUAUGAAGAGGAAACCUUGAUCGAAUGACUAAAAAAAGAUCCAACAAAAGAUAGACUAAUCUUUCUUAAAUAUUGAUCAAUCCUGGAAUAGGGUACAAAAACACUUAAUAAAAAAAUUGUUGGCUCAACUUCCUUAACCCUUUUAAAAAUCAAUAGUUCAAAAAAAAAAAAAAACAGAAAAGCAAUUGAUUCACAUUCAUCUACACUAUCAGUUAGAUACUUUGGUCUCUAAGUAUUUUUAGCAUCUUGAUCUUUACCAGGUAGACCGAUGAUUUUUCACCGUUUUCACCUAUUUUUCAUUUGAUUAAUAAUUAGUGGCCUAUAUCGUUUCACGAUGAAAUUUCAUCGAAAUUUCGUGAUAUUUUUUGAUAUUUCAAACCAUGCCCUUAUCUAAUACAUUUAUUUAUUUAUUCCAAUUUUAAAUUUUAAAUUUUUAAAAUUGUCGGUUGAUAAAUUUGUUAAAAUUCCAUCCAAAUCGUUGACAAUCUACGAACACAGCAUCCAAGUCACAGCUCCGUGCAUUCACGUGUUCUUCAUUUCUCUCUAGCUGUUCUUUUGCGCUAUUCACAAGCAUCUAGAUUUUUUUUUUUUUUUUUUUUUGCGUUGACUUCUAAUCUGGGUUCCAGUUGUGGUGGAGUGUGGGACUGGAAAAAGGGUAUUUUGAGUUUUGGAGAAGUCUCCUGUUGUUGAUCUUGAUUCGUUUGUUGGUGUUUUUUUUUUUUUUGCCUGAAGCUUUUCUGUGUUUUACUUUAAUGGUCUGUAAAUGGGUUCUCUGGAAAGCGGGGUUCCGGUGAAGAGAGACCCUCUUCUUCGCUCUUGAUCGAACUAAGGCUAGCUUUUUCAGAGACCCAUUUUGAGAUUUUCAAGGUUUCUGUUCUUCAGGAAGCUGCUAGAUUUACUCCAAUGGGUGUGCACAGUGGCGAUGUUCUGCUUCUUUGUGGUUCUAGUCCAUGUGGUUUUGCCGGGUUUGAUAAUGGAAAAAUCAGGGAUUCAUUGAAAAAUAUGGAGAAUAGUUAUGGGGAUUUGAGUAGUAUCAAAAAAUUGGUGGGUUUGAUUUUGGGGAAGGUAUUAGAUUUGAGCCGUCAAAGCUUCUUUAGAAGUUUCAGAAAGAGGCUAAUGAGAUGAAUCUCUCUUCCGCUUCAAGGUUUGCUCUGGUCAGUAUUUUUACAUUUCUUUUGCUGGUUUUUUUUUCUUUCUAAUUCGCUGAUUGCAUGUUGUUUGCAUCUUACAAUCCUUGAAUAAUCUGAAUUGAAAAAGUCUUCACGCUUCUUCAAUCAAUUAAAAUCUCCCAUUUAUUGAACGCGACUUGAUAAAUCAAAUAUUGUUUCUCCUAUAGGUUGAUUCUUUCUAGUCUGAAAAAUUUUCACUUCUCAUGGACACAAUGGUAAUGGCAAUGGCGUUUAAGAUGCUUUCUCUUUUGCUCCUCUGCGGAUUCUUCUUUUCCAACUCCUUUGUCAUCGAAGAAGCCAACAUCCAGGACAUCCAAUGGGCAUUCUCUCAAAACAAGCUCACCUCCAGACAGCUCGUUGACUUCUACCUGCACCAGAUCGAGGCCCUGAAUCCGGAGCUUCGCAGCGUGAUAGAGGUGAACCCAGAUGCACGAGAGCAAGCGGACAAGGCCGAUGCAGAAAUUAAAAGCAAGAAGGAGUUGGGGGAGUUGCAUGGCAUACCAGUGUUGCUGAAGGACAGUAUAAAUACUAAAGAUAAAUUGAAUACAACUGCUGGGUCAUAUGCAUUGUUGGGGGCGGAGGUGAGUGGAGAUGCGGCGGUGGUGGAGAGGCUGAGGAAGGCGGGGGCGGUGAUACUGGGAAAGGCUAGUAUGAGUGAGUGGUAUCAGUUUCGUUCUUUGAAAACUCGAAACGGCUGGUGUCCAAGGAGUGGACAGGGUGUGGUGAGCUUAAUUGCUUUCCUUCUUCCUAUAUUUGGUUUCGUAAUUUUGAAGAUUAAGUCUAAAUUUUGUGACUUGUGAGACAUGCAGAAUCCAUAUGUAGCAUCGGGAGAGCCAUGCGGGUCAAGCAGCGGAUCUGCAGUAUCUGUAGCGGCCAACAUGGUGGCUGUCUCGCUUGGGACGGAGACUGAUGGUUCCAUCAUCUGCCCAGCUGAUGUGAACUCCGUUGUUGGGUUUAAACCCACUGUUGGACUCACCAGUCGGACAGGUGUCAUCCCAAUUUCACCCCGACAAGACAGUGUCGGGUACUAUAAGUUACAUAGCUUUGAAAUUGAUUAUUGAAUCUCUAACAUAAGCAUUAUGCUAUUAGUAAACUCCAUGUUUAUACAGGCGUAUAAAUUAUGAAAGUAGAGCUUGUUCUAUAUAUAUCAUUGAUCAGAGGUUUCUCUACCACAGACCUAUAUGCAGGAGUGUGUUGGACGCAGUUUAUGUGCUUGAUGCUAUAGUGGGUUUUGAUCCUAGAGACGGUGAGGCAACAAAAGAAGCAUCCAAGUUCAUACCUGUUGGUGGCUACAAACAAUUUCUCAACAAAGAUGGGAUUGCAGGAAAGAGAUUGGGUGUUGUGAGGAAUCCAUUUUCUGGAUUUUACAACCGAUCCACAGCUAUUUCAGCCUUUGAGGCUCAUCUCACCGUAUUAAGGUAGAAGAUAUAUAUGCUUUGUUAUAUAUAUAAACAUAGUCUAAACUCAUGUAAUAAACAUACCAUUGAUUUAGUGUCCUGUCAUGUGAAUUUCUUUGAGGAAUGCUGCAGGCAAAGAGGUGCAAUUUUAGUGGACAAUUUGGAAAUAGAAAAUGUUGAUAUCAUAUUGAACCCCUAUGAAAGUGGUGAAUCAACGGCCUUGUUGGCUGAGUUCAAGCUCAACAUAAAUGAAUACCUGAAAGAGCUCACCCAUUCUCCAGUGAGGUCCCUAGCAGGCAUAAUUGCCUUCAACUUGAACAACUCUGAUCUGGUAAAUACAUCCCCAAGUGGGGAAUGAGUUAUGAGAACUUAGGUAUUUGCUAAUUGGUUAUGUAUAUAUAUGAACUACGCCUUGUGCCAUUGCAGGAAAAGACUGAUGAAAAUGGCCAGGAAGUCUUUAUCGCAGCAGAGAUGACAAAUGGGAUUGGGAAGCAAGAGAGGAUGGCAAUGGAGAUGAUGGCAAAUCUGUCUCGUGAUGGGUUUGAGAAGCUGAUGAUGGAGAAUGAGCUCGAUGCAACGGUGACACUGGGUUCAGGCAUGGCCACUGUACUGGCCAUUGGAGGUUACCCCGGAGUUAGUGUUCCAGCUGGGUAUGAUGGAGAUGGAAUGCCCUUUGGCAUAUGUUUUGGAGGACUGAAGGGGAUGGAGCCAAAGCUUAUUGAAGUUGCUUACGGAUUUGAACAAGCCACAAAGAUUCGGAGACCUCCCGCUUCCCCUAAGAACUUAUUGUGUCCUUAUGAGCCAUUGUAAGAGUUGGAAUUUGUUUUCUGCAAUAACAGUGUUUAAAUACGUAUAAAUAAAUAAUUAAAAAUUUUUGAAUAAUUAUUUUAUAUCAUAACUAAGAAAUAGUUACGACUAAAUUUGUUUAAUACCUUUUAAAGUAAUUCCCUUAGUUUUCCUAAGUGAUGCAAAUGUCAUUUCAAAAAUUUGGAGAGGGUUUACAAGUUCAUUUAUCUUCAAUAAAUUCACAUCUUUGGACACUUCAAUGAUGGUUACUUUUGCUCUAUUCGGAGAGACCUUAAAAUUUUUCUUAAUAUUUUAGGAUUAGGGAUGAGUUCAUCAAUAUUAAAGCUAGAAUUCACAAUAUCCAUCAAUUUUGUAUGAAACUCUUCAAAAUUCUCGUUAUCAACUAUCCUAAUAAUCUCAAACCUAAAGACUAUCAUUUGAAAUUUGGACACUUUAAUGACAUUGGUUCCUUCAUGAGUCAAUUGAAAAAUAUUUUAAGUCUCCUUAGCCAAAGUACGAGUAGCAAUCUUACAAAAUUCAUUCGUGCUAAUUGCAUUAAAAAUGGAAUACAUGGUUUUAACAUUAUUCUCAUUAGUUUCAUUUUCACCUCUAUCCUAUUCUAAUUUAGGUUUGAUAACAUUUGUUAGUCUACUUUCUCUAUCCAAUCCCUUAGAUGAAGACCAACCAAAUUCAACAACAUUUCAAACUUUUCAUUUGCAUUUUAAGAAAAAUACUGCAUUCUUACUUUCCAAUGAGAAUAAUUUUCACUAAUUAAGAAUGGUGGUCUCUCAAUAAUCAACACUCCUUAACCUAAAUUCAUAAGAACAAUUAAUUUCUCAACACAUUUCUUCAAUAUUUUCAAAGGAUAAUUAGGCCCAUUUCAACUCAUUUUUCACUCAUCCAAUAUAUAUGCCCAAGUAUGAAAUUAAGAUCAAUAAAUAUAAAUGAACAAAAGAGAAGAAUGAGAGAAAGACAAUAACACAUUUAAUGUGGAAAAUUUUCUAAGAGAUAAAAAAAGUCAAAGGUCCACCAAUGAUCAAAGCUUCCACUACGAAAAAUAACAAACUGAAUACAAACUUUUACCUAACUCAAGUCUAUCUAUUUAUUAGAGUUUGAUGACUCGAAUUCUAUUUGGUCUUAUUUGAAAAGCUCGCAGUGUGAUAUAUGUGGUAAAAAAAAAAAAAGAGAUUUUUUUGGGGAUCUUACUCGAUUUUAGAUUUAUGAGAUUUUACUUAAAUUUGAAUCAAUUCUGGAACAGGGUACAAAAACAAUUAAUAAAAAAAAAUCAUUGUUUUGACUUCCUCAAUUCUUCUUUUUUUUUCUUUUUUUUAAAUAGUUUAAGAAAAAAACACAAUUUGAAAACUCAAUUGAUUUACAUUCACCUACACCAUCAGUUACAUUCCUUGGCCUCUAAGCAUUUUUAACAUCUUAAUCUCCAUUAGGCAAGAAGCACAAGGAAAGAUUUGAUAAACUUGAGUUAGGAGAAACUUAGGAAUUUUUGUAUGGAAUUACCAAUCGAGCUAAACAUUCACACAUCUACAUCUCGAUUAACAAUUAGGUUUACUGUGAAAUAAAACAGCAUGUAGGCAAAGAGGUACAACUUUAAUAGAAAAUAUGGUAAUAGAAAAUGUUGAUGUUAUUCUUCAACUCUUAUCAAAGUGGUGAAAUAACCCUUCCUAGCUACCUCUAGGAGUAUAUGCAGUAGCAUCUUCUUUUGUAUACUAAUAAGAGAGGAAAUGGUUCAUGUUUGUUCUUCUAGCUAGUGACAAAGGCUGAAUACAUGACGCAACAGGGACAUUAUCAAACUGAAUCACACCUACCAAAACAAAGCUAAAAAUUGCUCCCGAUCACUUAAUCUUAACGGCCACUAAAUGAUUUCAAAUGAUCAAUUUUUGGAUGUACUUUUGUGGGGACGAAAAAUUUCAGGCACGACAUGUGGACUCUGCAAUUUCAAGAGGAGCUGUCAUUAAUGUGCUCCAUUAUUGAAGCUGAAUGUCUGGAUAAGAAUUUUCUUGCCACUUUCAACAGUUUUAAGGCCAUAGAUACAAUUUGUUAGUGCCAUAUCAUCCAGAAGCCCCAAGACACCAAUGUACUCAAAUUAGAUAUAUUUAUACACGCUUAUCAAGCCUACUUCCAAGUUGAAUAACUGGUGAAAUCAAGUCAAUACAAUAAUGUCCAUCCAUUCCCAUGUCUCCACACUAUUUCUCCUUCCUCUAGUCUUACUACAGUCUGGAUCCAUUGCCAUCACAGGCCAUGCAUUUUCAAUCGAAGAAGCAACUGUCCAUGACUUCCAUAUGGCUUUCGAACAAAACAAACUCACCUCAAGGCAGCUGGUUGAGUUCUACCUGGGCAAGAUUCACAAACUCAACCCAAUUCUUCGUGGGGUAAUAGAGGUGAACCCAGAUGCACUCCUCCAAGCUGAUAAGGCCGACAGGGAGAGGAAGGCUAAGUUACCUGGGUCGCUGCUGGGGCUGCACGGCAUUCCUAUUCUGCUUAAGGAUAAUAUUGCAACCAAGGACAAGAUGAACACAACAGCAGGAUCAUUUGCAUUGCUUAAAUCAGUGGUGCCAAGGGAUGCAGGCGUGGUGAGGAAGUUGAGGAAGGCUGGAGCUAUCAUACUGGGAAAGGCUAGCCUCAGCGAGUGGGCUUAUUUUCGUGCUACUGUUAUUCCUUCGGGCUGGUGUGCUAGAACUGGCCAAGGUAAGGUAAGUUAUGAUCCAAAACUCAAAUUUUCCGACGGUAGUUAGCUUACAUUUUGGUUCUCAUCCUCCCCGGUAAAGAUAUGAACAGAUAUAGGCAGAUGGAAAUUAUACCCAAUUAUUUUCAUUCAAAUCCUUAGAAGGGGAAAAGCUUUUCUGUAUGAGGAGAACUUGUGGCCUCGUUGGAAAUUUCUAUUGUUUUGCAUUCAUGUAAGAAGUUUGUGUUUGGUUUUCAGGAAAAGCAGAGUUACUCCUUGAUCUCUAUAGCAUAGUAAAAUGUAGAAAAUGGAAUUUAUUAAUUUCCAAUUUCUCAUUCCAGUCAGUGUAAGUCUCCUCGUGAACUUGAACAUACACACCAAAAAAGAUAAUAAAAAAAAAAACAUAGAAUCUGAAUACAUGAAUCUUCACUAUGAUGCUGCACGCCAAAAAAGAUAACAAGCUUAGACAUGUUUGCCAAAGGAGUGAAAAGUGUGUGGAGCAUCUGGCCGGGGUCGCCAUUAAAAGGAAAAAAAGCUUCUUUCCAUUGAGCAUUCACACUAUGGUUGUCAAAUCGGUUUCUGUCUGUCAUUAUGUCCUAUAUCAAUCAUUCACCAUCAGUGGGUGUACCAAAAGAUUCUUCCUAUCAAUCAUAUCUUUUUUUAUCUGGCCACUCAAAUGUGUGGAAAUUUUGUUUUUACCUUUUUUUUUUUUCUCCUUUUUUAUGAAAAAAAAGGACCCUUUUCAUGCCUCUAUUGAUUCUGCCCAACACUCUGUUUCGAGUUGUCAUAUUUCUCUAGCAUUCUUGUGUUUCUAAUCCUAAGUAUAUGGGAUAAGAGAUUGAACAAAAACAAGAAGCCUCAAGCUACCGUUGAUUGCGAAAGGGAAGAAGAUUAAGGAUGAAAAUAGGACUACAAUGUGUUGCAUAAACAGUUUUAUGAAUCUUAAGCCUAUGAUUUCAAUGGUGUGCAGAACCCUUAUGUUCUAUCAGCAACUCCCUGUGGCUCAAGUAGUGGAUCAGCUAUAUCAGUAGCAGCAAAUUUAGCGGCAGUGUCUCUAGGGACGGAGACUGAUGGAUCCAUCUUAUGUCCAUCCCACGUUAAUUCAGUAGUGGGCAUCAAACCAACACUUGGUCUCACCAGCCGAGCUGGCGUGGUUCCAAUCUCUCCUAGGCAGGACACUGUUGGGUAGGUGAUGCUUCAUCUUCCUAAAUCCAAAUAUGAAGCUAUCAUCUGUUGAACAACCAAAGAUAGCAGACUGCUCAAACAUAUUUGAUGCAACAGGCCCAUCUGCAGGACAGUCUCCGAUGCUGUAGAGGUACUGGAUGUCAUUGUUGGUUUUGACUACAGGGAUGAAGCAACCAGGACAUCAUCCAAGUACAUACCACAAGGUGGCUAUAAGCAAUUUCUCAAUGCAAAUGGACUCAAGGGGAAGAGAUUGGGGAUAGUGAGGAAUCCCUUCUAUAUGUUUGAGAAUGGCUCUGUCCUGCCUCAAGUUUUUGAGCAUCAUUUCCACACACUAAGGUAACAAAACCUGCUUUCUAAGUACAGUGCUUAAUGUCCUAAUUACUCUAGCUUAAGGUGCUUGACUAAAUUAACCUAUUCUUAUUACAUCAUGCUUCAAGGCAAGGAGGUGCUAUUUUGGUAGACCACCUGGAAAUAGCCAACAUUGAUGUUAUCUAUGGCUCCUCCGGAGAAGGUGCAGCAUUAGAGGCUGAGUUCAAAAUAUCCUUGAAUGCUUACCUGAAAGAGCUGGUAGCAUCCCCAGUAAGAACUUUGGCUGAUGUGAUAGCCUUCAACAACAAAUUCUCACAUUUGGUGAGUACAUUCAGGAGGGGUUUUAAUUAUUUACUUGCUGUUCUAGAUUCCGCUAGGAUUGUUAAAACCACAUUCUGAAAAGAUGACUAAUUUAAUUACUUGAGUAACUGCAGGAAAAGAUCAAGGAGUAUGGACAAGAUACCUUUCUGCAGGCCGAAGCCACAAAUGGGAUAAACAAGAAAACUUUGUUAAAAUUAGCAAGAUUGUCACGAAAUGGAUUUGAGAAGUUGAUGAAGGAGCAUAAGCUGGAUGCAUUGGUGACUCCUGGUUCAAAUGUGAGUCCUGUUCUUGCUAUUGGAGGAUUCCCUGGAAUUUCUGUUCCAGCUGGAUAUGAUAGCAAAGGAGUACCAUUUGGCAUUUGUUUUGGGGGCCUAAAGGGCUCUGAGCCAAAGCUAAUCGAGAUUGCAUAUAGCUUCGAGCAAGCAACUAAGAUUAGGAAGCCACCUUCAUUUAAACCUUGAAGGUUUAGAACAACUCCUAUCAGAGUUGUACUACAUGUAUCAGUAUCAAGAACUCUUCUCUCUAGUUGGUAAUCCUGCACUAGAAAGGAUAUUAUAAUAAAGUGCUCAAUGUUUUGAAUGAACUAAGAUGGUACAGAGGCUGGUUUUCUCCAAAUCAUCUAAAUUAUGAAGUUUCCCUCUACCAUUUACUGUUGUGAUUGGUGCCAUUACAGUGCACUACCCUCUGAAUAACCACUCAUUUAUUUGCAAUAAAACAUGCAGAAUUCAUACAUAUAUCCUAUGAUAAAUGUAGAGAUACAUGAGCAAAAAGGAUUAGAUAAAAAUGUAAAACGGGUAUCAAUACUAAGAUAAAAGUAGCUGUAAAUUUGAUUAUCCUUAAAUUGGUUUACACAACUUCUAACAGCAGCCAGCCACUGAAAUUAUUUGUAGUUACUAAUUUUAGAUGUCCUUUUAUGGGCCAAAAAGUUUCAUUAGCCUUUUAUGGGGCAAAAAAUUAGAACGUUCGUUAAAUUAACAAUGAACUUCCACUCCUACGUCUUCCAACUUUUUCUCCUUUUUUCUAGCCUUAUGACUAGCAGUAUCCAUCACCAUCACAGGCCAUGCAUUCUCAAUCAAAGAAGCAACUCUCCAUGUUUUCCAUAAGGCUUUCAAGCAAAAUAAACUCAAUUCAAGGCAGCUGGUUGAGUUCUAUAUUAGUGAAAUUCACAAAUUGAACCCAAUCCUUCAUGGGGGUAGUAGAGGUGAACCCGGACCCACUCCUCCAAGCAGAUAAUGCUGACAGAGAGCAAAAGGCUGGGUCACCCGGCUUGUUGCUUGGGAUGCAGGUGUGAUGAGGAGGUUAAGGCUUGGGCUAUAUAGUGAGGAAUCUCUUCUUUACGUUGAGUGGGGAAGUAACCCAGCCUAACCCCAACUGAUUUUGAUUAUAAAUAAAGUCUUAACUUCCUCUAGAAGUGUAUGCAGUAGCAUCUUCUUUUCAUUUAUGUUCUUCUAGUGACAAAGGUUGAAUCCAUGACGAACAAGGACAUGAAAAAACAAAAUUAUACCUAUAGAAGGAAAAGCUAAAAAAUGUUGCAGAUCAAUUAAUCAUGAGGUGGCUAAUCACAACUUCUGAAGGCCACCAAAUGACUUCUAAUGACCAAUUUUCAGGAGCGAUAAAAAGUUCAAUCAUGACAUAGAUACAAUUCGUCUAGAUGAGUAUUUGGUUUACCUCUUUCCAAAGCUUCAAGGUCACAGAUAUAAUAUGUUUAUAUCAUAUCAUCCAAAAGCCCCACGAAACUAAGGUAUGUUUGAUGACUAUUUUUAAGAAUUAAUUUUUAUUAUUUAGAAUAACAAAAAUAAGAAAACAUGUUUGAUAAUCAGAAAACAAAAGAUAUGAUGUUUUUAGAUAAUACUUUUUAAUUAUUUUUUUAGGACGAUAUUAAAAAAAUAGUUAUACAAAUAGAAAGAAUAAUUAAAAAUAAAGCUCUGUAUAUAAAAAUUAUUUUAAAAACAUAUUUACAAGUAUAAGAAACAAGUUAAGCAUAUUUUAGGUUACGUAAUUAACUUUUGUUUUACAAAAUAUCAAAAAAGGGUUUCAAAAUAUUGUUAUCAGAAGCUAUUUUUAAGAAUUAUUUUUGUGGGAUGGUGGUGACUUAGAGAAAAAAAUCUCACUUGAUGAAUUGGAACUUGGUUUGUACCAAUAAGAAAAAGGGGGGCCUUGUAAUUCAUAGAAUUGUGGAUUUAAACAAAGCCUUACUUAGGAAGUGGACCAGAUCAAUUAAUCUUAACGGCCACAAAAUGAUUUCAAAUGACCAAUUUUUGGAUGUACUUGUGUGGGGACGAAAAAUUUGAGUCACGACAUGUGGGACAUGUGGGCUAUGCAAUUUCAAGAGGAGCUAUCAUUAAUGUGCUCCAUUAUUGAAGCUAAAUGUCUGGAUAAGAAUUUUUUUGCCACUUUCAACAGUUUUAAGGCCAUAGAUACAAUUUGUUAGUGCCAUAUCAUCCGGAAGCCCCAAGACACCAAUAUACUCAACCUUAGAUAUAUUUAUACACUCUUAUCAAGCCUACUUCCAAGUUGAAUAACUGGUGAAAUCAAGUCAAUACAAUAAUGUCCAUCCAUUUCCAUGUCUCCACACUAUUUCUCCUUCCUCUAGUCUUACUACCGUCUGGAUCCAUUGCCAUCACAGGCCAUGCAUUUUCAAUCGAAGAAGCAACUGUCCAUGACUUCCAUAUGGCUUUCGAACAAAACAAACUCACCUCAAGGCAGCUGGUUGAGUUCUACCUGGGCAAGAUUCACAAACUCAACCCAAUUCUUCGUGGGGUAAUAGAGGUGAACCCAGAUGCACUCCUCCAAGCUGAUAAGGCCGACAGGGAGAGGAAGGCUAAGUUACCUGGGUCGCUGCUGGGGCUGCACGGCAUUCCUAUAUAUUCUGCUUAAGGAUAAUAUUGCAACCAAGGACAAGAUGAACACAACAGCAGGAUCAUUUGCAUUGCUUAAAUCAGUGGUGCCAAGGGAUGCAGGCGUGGUGAGGAAGUUGAGGAAGGCUGGAGCUAUCAUACUGGGAAAGGCUAGCCUCAGCGAGUGGGCUGCUUUUCGUGCUACUGCUACUCCUUCGGGCUGGUGUGCUAGAACUGGCCAAGGUAAGGUAAGUUGUGAUCCAAAACUCAAAUUUUCCGACGGUAGUUAGCUUACAUUUUGGUUCUCAUCCUCCCCGGUAAAGAUAUGAACAGAUAUAGGCAGAUGGAAAUUAUACCCAAUAAUUUUUUAAUCAAAUUCUUAGAAGGGGAAAAGCUUUUCUGUUUAAGGAGAAUUUGUGUACUCGUUGGAAAUUUCUGCUGUUUUGCAUUUAUCCUGAGAAGUUUGUGUUUGUUUGUCAGGAAAAGCAGAGUUACUCUAUGAUUUCUAUAGCAUAUUAAAUGUAGAAAGUGGAAUUUACUAAUUUCCAAUUUCUCAUUCCAGUCAGUGUAAGUCUCCUCGUGAACUUGAACAUACACGCCAAAAAAGAUCAAAAAAAAAAAAAUUAGAAUCUGAAUACAUGAAUCUGCACUAUGAUGCUGCACGCCAAAAAAGAUAACGAGUUUAGACACGUUUGCCAAAGGAGUGAAAAGUGUGUGGAGCAUCUGGCCGGAGUCGCCAUUAAAAGGAAAAAAGCUUCUUUCCAUUUAGCAUUCACACUAUGGUUGUCAAAUGGGUUUCAGUCUGUCAUUAUGUCCUACAACAAUCAUUCACCAUCAGUGGGUGUACCAAAAGAUUCUUCCUAUCAAUCAUAUCUUUUUUAUCUGCCCACUCAAAUGUGUGGAAAUUUUAUUUUUUUAAGGGUCUAUUGAUUCUGCCCAACAUUCUGUUUCGAGUUGUCAUAUUUCUCUAGCAUUCUUGUGUUUCUAAUACUAAGUAUAUGGGAUAAGAGAUUGAACAAAAACAAGAAGCCUCAAACUACCGUUGAUUGCAAAAGGGAAGAAGAUUAAGGAUGAAAAUAGGACUACAAUGUGUUGCAUAAACAGUUUUAUGAAUCUUAAGCCUACGAUUUCAUUGGUGUGCAGAACCCUUAUGUUCUAUCAGCAACUCCCUGUGGCUCAAGUAGUGGAUCAGCUAUAUCAGUAGCAGCAAAUUUAGCGGCAGUGUCUCUAGGGACGGAGACUGAUGGAUCCAUCUUAUGUCCAUCCCACAUUAAUUCAGUAGUGGGCAUCAAACCAACACUUGGUCUCACCAGCCGAGCUGGCGUGGUUCCAAUCUCUCCUAGGCAGGACACUGUUGGGUAGGUGAUGCUUCAUCUUCCUAAAUCCAAAUAUGAAACUAUCAUCUGUUGAACAACCAAAGAUAGCAGACUGCUCAAACAUAUUUGAUGCAACAGGCCCAUCUGCAGGACAGUCUCCGAUGCUGUCGAGGUACUGGAUGUCAUUGUUGGUUUUGACUACAGGGAUGAAGCAACCAGGACAGCAUCCAAGUACAUACCACAAGGUGGCUAUAAGCAAUUUCUCAAUGCAAAUGGGCUCAAGGGGAAGAGAUUGGGGAUAGUGAGGAAUCCCUUCUAUAUGUUUGGGAAUGGCUCUGUCCUCCCUCAAGUUUUUGAGCAUCAUUUCCACACACUCAGGUAACAAAACCUGCUUUCUAAGUACAGUGCUUAAUACCCUAAUGACUCUAGCUUAAGGUGCUUGACUAAAUUAACAUAUUCUUAUUACAUCAUUCCACAAAGGCAAGGAGGUGCUAUUUUGGUAGAUCACCUGGAAAUAGCCAACAUUGAUGUUAUCUAUGGCUCCUCCGGAGAAUAUGCAGCAUUAGAGGCUGAGUUCAAAACAUCCUUGAAUGCUUACCUGAAAGAGCUGGUAGCAUCCCCAGUAAGAACUUUGGCUGAUGUGAUAGCCUUCAACAACAAAUUCUCACAUUUGGUUAGUACAUUCAGGAGAGGUUUUCAUUAUUUACUUGUUGUUCUAGAUUCCGCUAGGAUUGUUAAAACCACAUUCUGAAAAGAUGACUAAUUUAAUUACUUGGGUAACUGCAGGAAAAGAUAAAGGAGUAUGGACAAGAUAUCUUUCUGCAAGCCGAAGCCACAAAUGGGAUAAACAAGAAAACUUUGUUAAAAUUAGCGAGAUUGUCACGAAAUGGGUUUGAGAAGUUGAUGAAGGAGCAUAAGCUGGAUGCAUUGGUGACACCUGGUUCAGAUGUUAGAACUAUUCUUGCUAUUGGAGGAUUCCCUGGAAUUUCUGUUCCAGCUGGAUAUGACAGCGAAGGAGUACCAUUUGGCAUUUGUUUUGGGGGCCUAAAGGGCUCUGAGCCAAAGCUGAUCGAGAUUGCAUAUAGCUUCGAGCAAGCAACUAAGAUUAGGAAGCCACCUUCAUUUAAACCUUGAAGGUUUAGAACAACUCCUAUCAGAGCUGUACUACAUAUAUCAGUAUCAAGAACUCUUCACUCUAGAUAGUAAUCCUGCACUAGAAAGGAUGUUAUAAUAAACUGCUCAAUGUUUUGAAUAAACUAAGAUGAUAUGGAUGUUGGUUUUCUCCAAAUCAUCUAAAUUAUGAAGUUUCCCUCUACCAUUUACUGUUGUGAUUGGUGUCAUUACAGUGCACUGUCCUCUGAAUAACCACUCAUUUAUCUGUAAUGAAACAUGCAGAAUUCAUACAUAUAUCCUAUGAUCAAUGUAGAGAUACAUGAGCAAAAAGGACUAGAUAAAAAUGUAAAACGGGUAUCAAAACUAAGGUAAAAGUAGAUGCAGAUUUGAUUAUUCUUAAGUUGGUUUACACAACUUUUAACAGCAGCCAGCACUGAAAUUAUUUGUAGUUGCUAAUUUCAGAUGUCCUUUUAUGGGCCAAAAAGUUUCAUUAGCCUUUUAUGGGGCAAAAAAUUAGAAUGUCCAUUAAGUUAACAAUGAACAUCCAUUCGUAAGUCUUCCGACUUUUUAUCCUUUCUUCUAACCUUAUGACUAGCAGUAUCCAUCACCAUCACAGGCCAUACAUUCUCAAUCAAAGAAGCAACUCUCCAUGUUUUCCAUAAGGCUUUCAAACAAAAUAAACUCAAUUCAAGGCAGCUGGUUGAGUUCUACAUUAGUGAAAUUCACAAACUGAACCCAAUCCUUCAUGGGGGUAGUAGAGGUGAACCCGGACGCACUCCUCCAAGCAGAUAAAGCUGACAGGGAGCAAAAGGCUAGGUCACCUGCCUUGUUGCUUGGGAUGCAGGUGUGCUGAGGAGGUUAAGGCUUGGGCUAUAUAGUGAGGAAUCUCUUCUUUACGUCGAGUGGGGAAGUAACCCAGCCUAACCCCAAUUGAUUUUGAUUAUAAAUCAAGUCUUCCUCUAGAAGUGUAUGCAGUAGCAUCUUCUUUUCAUAUAUGUUCUUCUAGUGACAAAUGUUGAAUCCAUGACGAACAAGGACAUGAAAAAACAGAAUCACACCUAUAGAAGGAAAAGCUAAAAAAUGUUGUAGAUCAAUUAAUCAUAAGGUGGCUAAUCACAACUUCUGAAGGCCACCAAAUGACUUCUAAUGACCAAUUUUCAGAUGUGCUUCGGUGGGAGCGAAAAAGUUCAAUCAUGACAUAGGUAUAAUUUGUCUAGAUGAGUAUUUGGCUUACCUCUUUCAAAAGCUUUAAGGCCACUAAUAUAAUUUGUUCAUAUCAUAUCAUCCCAAAGCCCUUAGAAACUAAGGUGUGUUUGAUGACUAUUUUUAAGAAUAAUUUUCUAUUAUUUAAAAUAACAAAAAUAGGAAAACAUGUUUGAGAAUCAGAAAACAAAAAAUAUGGUAUUUUUAGAAAAUACUUUUAAAUUAUUUUCAAUUAUUUUCACUUAUUUUUUUGGACCAUAUUAAAAAAUAAUUUUAUAAAUACGAAGAACAAUUAAAAAUAAAACUCUAUAUAUAGAAUUUAUUUUAAAAAUAUAAAAAACAAGUUAAGCAUAUUUUAUAUUACUUAAUGAACUUUUACUUCACAAAAUAUCAAAAUAUAAACCCUUUUUUAGAAUUAUUUUUCGAAAACACUUCUCACAGAAGAUCAUCGUGUACUCCAUAUAUAUACACGCACUGUCAUCCAGCCUACUUUCAAAUUGAACAACUGGUGAAAUCAAAUCAAUACACAAUGUCCAUCCAUUCCACUAUCUCCACAGUAUUUUUCCUCCUUCCAGCCUUAGUUCUAUCUGGAUCUGCUGCCAUCACAGGCCCUGAAUUCUCAAUCAAAGAAGCGACUGUCCAUGACUUCCGUAUGGCUUUCAAACAAAACAAACUCACCUCAAGGUAGAUGGUUAGGUUCUACCUGGGUGAAAUGCACAAACUCGACCCAAUUCUUCAUGGGGUAAUAGAGGUGAACCCAGAUGCACUCCUCCAAGCCGACAAGGCUGACAGGGACAGGAAGGCUAAGUUACCUGGAUCACUGCUGGGGCUACAUGGCAUUCAUAUUCUGCUUAAGGAUAAUAAUGCAACCAAGGACAAGAUGAACACAACAGCUGGGUCAUUUGCACUGCUUAAAUCAGUCGUUGUCUACGGAUGCAGGCGUGGUGAGGAAGUUGAGGAAGGUUGGGGCUAUCAUACUGGGAAAGGCUAGCCUGAGUGAGUGGGCUGGUUCACGCUUUGCUACUCCUUAUGGCUGGUGUGCCAGAGCUGGCCAAGGUCGGGUAAAUUAGGAUCCAAAACUCGAUUUUUCUGAUGGUUGUUAGCUUACAUUUUGGUUCUCGUCCUGCCCAGAAAAGUCCUGUAAACAUGAACAGAUAUAGGAGGAUGGAAAUUAUACCCAAUUAUUUUCAAUCAAAUUCUGAGAAGGGACAAAGCUUUUCUGUAUGCGUAGAACUUGUGUCCUCCUGGGAAAUUUCUGUUGUCAGGGAAGCACAUUUUCUCUUUGAUAUCUAGCACAUUAAAUUGAAGAAAAUGGAAUGUACUCAUUUCCAGUUUCUCAAUCUAGACAGAGUAAGAGUCCCCGUGAAUUUGAACACUUGAAUCUGUACUUAUGUAGCUACACGCCAAAAAGGAUGUAACAUUUUAGAAUCUGACCACGUGAGUCUGCACUAUGAUGCUGCAUGCCAAAGAAGGAAAAAAACAAAUCUUAGACGUAUUUGCCAAAGGAGAAGGUGAAAAGGAGGUGUGAAUUGAAACCCACUUUUUAGAUUAAGAAUGGACCCAGCAAGAUAGUGGAAAAUGCGUGGAGCAUUUGGUCAGGGUCACCAUUAGAGAAGCAAUAAAGCUUCCUUCCAGUGAUCAUUCACAGUAAGGUUUUCAAAUAGGUUUCAAUCUGCAAUUGAUUUGUCCUGCAUCAAUAACUCACCAUCAGUGGAAGAACCAAGCCACUCGUCAUAUGAAUCGUAUCUCUUCUUGAUCUGCCCCACUCAAAUGUGCUCACUGAUUCUGUCUAACAAUCUGUUUUACGAUAUAUGUUUCUUGCAUAACAACAUAUAACAGUUGUAUCGUGUUGCAUAAACGGUUUUAUAACUCUGAAAUAUAUGAUUUCAAUGGUGUGCAGAACCCUUAUGUUCUGUCAGAAACUCCUUGUGGCUCAAGUAGUGGAUCAGCUAUAUCAGUAGCAGCAAAUUUGGCAGCAGUGUCUCUAGGGACGGAGACUGAUGGAUCCAUCUUAUAUCCAUCCCACAUUAAUUCAGUAGUGGGCAUCAAACCAAUGUUUGUUUUUUGGCUGAAUAAAAAAAGCCAAAAUAUUUAGUUUUUUCUAUUUAACUAAAAGUAACUCAUUGAUAUCAACUAACAUAAUUAAAUUAAAUUUAUUGAUAAUAAGUUCACUUUAAUUGUAUUGAUUAAUAUCAACGAGGUACUUUUAACUUAAUAGGAAAAACCAAAUAUUUUGGUUUUUUCUAUUCAACCAAAAAACAAACACUACCACUACUGUCUCACCAACCGAGCUGGUGUGGUUCCAAUCUCUCCUAGGCAGGACACUGUUGGGUAGGUGAUGCUUCAUCUUCCUAAAUCCAAAUAUGAAACUAUCAUCUGUUGAGCAAUCAAAGAGACCAGACUGCUCCAUCUGAUUGCCAAACAGAAAAGGGAGAAAUGACGAUGAAAAGUUGGGAUCAUACAACUAUUUAAGAUUUCAAAUGAUGAUUUUCAGUAGUAAAUUCUGUAUUUCCUCUCUUCAUCCACGAGCCAAUCAAGCAUCAAUGAAUGUAACUGGAUUCUGUUGCAUACAAUUCAAGAUCUUCACAUGCUUCUGUUAAUUAGUAGGUUUUGGUAUAAAUCUGCUUGCUUUUGAAUCAUCAACAUAUGCUUCACUACUUGGUUUUUGACUGGAGAAACUUUGUAGUUUUGUUAUAUCCACUGGUAUCAGAACACAAUGGUGUUAAUUCUAGUAAGGACUCUUAACAUGUUGGAUGCAACAGGCCCAUCUGUAGGACAGUCUCCGAUGCUGUAGAGGUACUGGAUGUCAUUGUAGGUUUUGAGAAGAGGGAUGAAGCAACCAGGACAGCAUCCAAGUACAUACCACUAUAUGCAAUUUCUCAAUGCCAAUGGGCUAGCUCAAGGGGAAGAGAUUGGGGAUAGUAAGGAAUCCCUUCUAUAUGUUUGAGAAUGGCUGUGUCCUGACUAAAGUUUUUGAGCAUCAUUUCCACACACUAAGGUACUAAAACCUGCUUUCUAAGUACAGUGCUUAAUGGCCUAAUGACUCUAGAUUAAGGAGCUGGCCCUAAUUUAACCUAUUGUUAUUACAUCAUGCUACAGGGCAAGGAGGUGCUAUUUUGGUAGACCACCUGGAAAUAGCCAACAUUGAUGUUAUAUUUGGCUCCUCCAGAGAAGAAGCAACAUUAGAGGCGGAGUUCAAAAUAUCCUUGAAUGCUUACCUGAAAGAGCUGGUAGCAUCCCCAGUAAGAACUUUGGCUGAUGUGAUCGCCUUCAACAACAAAUUCUCACAUUUGGUAAAUACAAUCAGAAGGGGUUUUCAUAAUUUAUUUGAUGUUCUAGAUUCAAAUAAAGAUUGUCAAAAUCACAUUCUGGAAAGAUGACCAAUUUUCUUGGGCAACUUCAGGAGAAAAUCAAAGAAUAUGGACAAGACAGCUUUCUGCGAGCCGAAGCCACAAAAGGAAUAAGCAAGAAAACUUUGUUAAAAUUAGCAAGAUUGUCAAGAAAUGGAUUCAAGAAGUUGAUGAAUGAGCAUAAGCUGGAUGCAUUGGUGACUCCUGGUGCAGAUGUUUUGGAGGAUUCCCCGGAAUUACUGUUCCAGCUGGAUAUGAUAGCGAAGGAGUGCCAUUUGGCAUUUGUUUAAUUUGGGGGCCUAAAGGGCUCUGAGCCAAAGCUGAUCGAGAUUGCAUAUAGCUUCGAGCAAGCAACUAAGAUUAGGAAGCCGCCUUCAUUUAAACCUUGAAGGGCUCCUUGCAGAGUUCUACUCCAUGUAUCAGGAUCAAGAACUCUUCUCUCUAGCUGGCGAUCGUGCACUAGCAAGGAUGUUAGUAUAAACUUUUUAAGGUUUUGAAUAAACUAAGAUGAUAUGGAGGCUGGUUUCCUGGAAAUCAUCUAAAUUAUGAAGUUCCCCUCUACCAUUUACUGGUGUGUUUGGUACCAUUAGAGUGCACUGCCCUCUGGCUAACCACUCAUUUGUCUGCACUGAAUCAUGCAGAGUUCAUACAUGUAUCCUAUGAUCAAUGUAUAGAAACAUGAGCAACAAGGACACGAUCAAAAUGGAAAAACACGUAUAUCACACAAGUUUGUUUUUUCACAUAUCCUAGAUUUCAAUUUCAUCUUUCAAACAAAAUCUUUCCAAUAUUCUACACAAAUAUUUCUCUUUCAUUCAUAUAAAUGAUAUAAUCAACAAAUAACUACUAAAUUUUUUUCUAGCAUUAUUUCCACUAAUAAUCAACAACAAAAUUCACAUAAUCACCCAUAAGUUAAAACAUAAAACAUAAGUAGAUGCAAAAUAUCAUGGAAAUAAGUGGGUAUUGCUUACAAAAGUAAUACUCGCUGAUUUUUGGAACAAACCACCCUCCUAAAAUCCAAAAAUUCACCCAUUAAAUUCAAAAUCCGACUCCAUAGCUAUGUUUACCUCGACAAAGUAAGCACGAAAAUAUGAGAAAUGGCAAAAGGCAUUUAUGUCCAAAAUAGGUGUUUUUCAAGUAAAAAUAUGAGAAAUGUUAAAUUCACAAAUUUAGAUAUUAUUUCAUCCUUUUAACUAAUUAAUUAUUUUUUCAUUUUUCCUCUUCGUUUAUUCUUUUCCUUCUUUCUUUUUUAUAUUUCCAAUCUCUACAAUUAAAUCUCUACAUUACUUAUCCAAUUUAUUUUAAUCUCAAAUCCACAUGUAUAAUUUUCUGAUUUCUCUCAAAUGAAUUUUAUUUUAUUUUAUUUAUAUUUUUAUCUUUCAUUUAUUAUUCACAAAUUAAAUUUAGAUCCUAAAUAAAUAUAUCUUACAAUUUUACUAGAUUAAUUAAAUUUCAUAUUUGCCAAUGUAAUCUUCUAUUUUUCAAAUAUUUCAACCUUACCCAAUUAUCCACCGACCAUUUAUUAUUUAAUCAUUUAAUUUAUAACCAAUAAAUUCUUAACCCUAGUAACUAAUGUACUCAACCUUAUAUAUAUAUACGCACACCCUCUCAUCCAGCCUACAUCCAAAUUGAAUAACUGGUGAAAUCAGGUCAAUACAACAAUGUCCAUCCAUUCCCAUAUCUUCACACUAUUUCUCCUUCUUCUUGCCUUACUACUAUCUGCAUCCAUACCCAUCACAGGCCAUGAAUUCUCAAUCAAAGAAGCAACUGUCCACGACUUUCGCAUGGCUUUCCAACAAAACAAACUCACCUCACGGAAGCUUGUUAGGUUCUACCUGGGUGAAAUUCACAAACUCAACCCAAUUCUUCGUGGGGUGAUAGAGGUGAACCCAGAUGCACUCCUCCAAGCAGAUAAGGCUGACAAAGAGAAGAAGGCUAAGUCACUUCGGUCGCUGGAGGGGCUGCAUGGCAUUCCUAUUCUGCUUAAGGAUAAUAUUGCAACCAAGGACAAGAUGAACACAACAGCUGGGUCAUUUGCACUGCUUAAAUCGGUGGUGCCAAGGGAUGCAGGCGUGGUGAGGAAGUUGAGGAAGGCUGGGGCUAUCAUACUGGGAAAGGCUAGCCUGAGUGAGUGGACUGGUUUGCGCUUUGUUUUUCCUUAUGGCUGGUGUGCCAGAACUGGCCAAGGUCGGGUAAGUUAGGAUCCAAAACUCGAUUUUUCUGAUGGUUUUAAGCUUACAUUUUGGUUCUCAUCCUCCCCAGAAAAGUCCAGCACACAUGAACAGAUAUAGCUGGAUGGAAAUUAUUUUCAAUUAUUUCAAUCAAAUUCUCAGAAGGGGAAAAGAUUUUCUGUCUGAGUAGAACUUGUGUCCUCCUGGGAAAUUUCUAUUGCUUUGCAUUUAUGUUUGUGUUUGGUUGUCAGGGAAAGCAGGCUAACUCUUUGAUCUCUAGCAUAUUAAAAUGUAGAAAAUGGAAUUUGUUAAUUUCCAGUUUCUCAUUCUAGUCAGAGUCAGUCCCCUCUUGAACUUUAACUCUUGAAUCUGUACUUAUUCUGCUACAUGCCAAAAAAUAUGAAAAAUUUUGGAAUCUGAACACGUGAGUCUGCACUAUGAUGCUUUAUGCCAAAAGGGAAAAAAACAAAUCGUAGACAUGUUUGCCAAAGGAGAAGGUGAAAAGGAGGUGUGGAUUGAAACCCACUUUCCAGUGAGCAUUCACACUGGUUUUUAAAUAGGUUUCAAUCGCAUAAACAGUUUUAUAACUCUGAAGUAUAUGGCUUCAAUGAUGUGCAGAACCCUUAUGUUCUGUCAGCAACUCCUUGUGGGUCAAGUAGUGGAUCAGCUAUAUCAGUAGCAGCAAAUUUAGCAGCAGUUUCAUUAGGGACGGAAACUAUGGGAUCCAUCUUAUGUCCAUCCCAUUUUAAUUCAGUAGUGGGCAUCAAACCAACAGUAGGUCUCACCAGCCGAGCUGGGGUGGUUCCAAUCUCUCCCAGGCAGGACACUGUUGGGUAGGUGAUGUUUCAUCUUCCUAAAUACAAAUUUGAAACCCCCAUCUGUUGGGCAGACUGCUCAAACAAUUUGAUGCAACAGGCCCAUCUGCAGGACAGUCUCCGACGCUGUAGAGGUACUGGAUGUCAUUGUAGGUUUUGACAAGAGGGAUAAAGCAACCAGGACAGCAUCCAAGUACAUACCAAGGGGUGGCUACAAGCAAUUUCUCAAUGCAAAUGGGCUCAAGGGGAAGAGAUUAGGAAUAGUGAGGAAUCCUCCCUAUAUGUUUGAGAAUGUCUCUGUCCAGCCUCAAGUUUUUGAGCAUCAUUUCCACACACUAAGGUAACAAACUAUCUAAGUACAGUGCUUAAUGCCCUAAUGAUUCUUACAACCUAAACUAACCUAUUGUCAUUUCAUCAUGCUACAAGGCAAGGAGGUGCGGUUUUGGUAGACCACCUGAAAAUAGCAAACAUCGAUGUUUUCUUUGGCUCCACCGGAGUAGAAGCACUAGAGGCUGAGUUAAAAAUAUCCUUGAAUGCUUACCUGAAAGAGCUGGUAGCAUCCCCAGUAAGAACUUUGGCUGAUGUGAUAGCCUUCAACAACAAAUUCUCACAUUUAGUAAGUAUAAUCGGAAGGGGUUUUUUUGUUUUCAUCAUUUAGGCUCUGUUUAGGAAGCGUUUCCGAAAACAGUUCUAAAUUUAAACAAUUUUUUAAAUCGUUAUUUAAUGUUUUGUAAAGCAAAAAUUUAUUUGGUAACCUAAAAUGGUUUUUAAAUAUGUUUUAGAAAUUACUUUAUAUUUAAUGAUUCUCUGUAUUUGUAUAAUUACAUUUUAAAACAGCUCAUAAAAAUAGGUGAAAAAACUAAAAAUAUUUAAAAGAUACUAUCUGAAAACACUUUGUUUUCUUACUAUUAAAAGUAUUUUUUUUAUUUUUUCAUUGUAAAGAGUAGAAAAUUGUUUUCAAAAAUAGUUAUCAAAUAAAGCCUUAGGGCCUAUUUGGUUUCUGUUUUUUAAAAUUGUUCUGAAAAACAGUUUUUGAGAACAGUUUUUUGUGUUUUCGGAAAAAAAAAAUUGUAUUUGGAAACUGAAUUUUGGAAAAUAGUUUUUGUUCUAAAAAAAAACCAUGUUUCAUUGAGUCAAUAAAAAAAUUUAGAAUAAAUAAAACAAAAAACAUAUUUGAAAAUUAUUUUUUUAAUUAAUAAGGUGUUUUCUUUCAUUAAUUUGAUAUUAUAAAUAUAUCAAUAAAUUUCAUAUGUAUAAUUCAUUUAAAUUUUUAAAAAAAUAUUUAAUUUUGAAAUUUUUACACUAGUUAUAAUUUUAUUAAACAAAUUAUGAAUUUAUAACCAUAUGUAAGUAUAUUAAUUUCAAUAAUUUAAAGAAAAAGAAAGGGUUUGCGGGUGGGGGUAUGGUGGUUGAAUAGAGUUCACCUUUAUAAAAACACAAAAAUCAUCUAAGAAAAUACAAAAAGAAGGAAAACAAAACACGAAAAACAAUCUAUUUUUGAAUAGUGAAAAAUAUCUUUUUAUUAUUCUAAAAAAAAUGGUUUUUAAGAACACGGAAAACACAAAAAAUAAAAACACUCCCCCUUCCCCAAAUAAGUUUUUUGUGUUUUUUAUUUUUAAGAACAUAAAACAAUUUUUGAAAAGAUACCCUUAUUUUCUAUUCUAGAUUCAUUCGAGAUUUUUAAAAUCACAUUCGGAAAAGAUGACCAAGUCAAUUACUUGGGUAACUGCAGGAAAAGGUCAAGGAGUAUGGACAAGAUCUGUUUCUGCAAGCCCAAGCCACAAAAGGAAUAAACAAGAAAACUUUGUUAAAAUUAGCAAGAUUUUCAAGGAAUGGAUUCGAGAAGUUGAUGAAGAAGCAUAAGCUGGACGCAAUGGUAGCUCCUACUGCAGAUAUUAUUCAUGUUCUCGCCAUUGGAGGAUUCCCAGGAAUUGAUGUUCCAGCUGGAUAUGAUGGAAAAGGAGUACCAUUUGGCAUUUGUUUUGGGGGCCUAAAGGGCUCUGAGCCAAAGCUGAUCGAGAUUGCAUAUAGCUUCGAGCAGGCAACUAAGAUUAGGAAGCCACCUUCAUUUAAACCUUGAAGGUUUAGAACAAGUCCUAGCAGAGUUCUACUCCAAGUAUCAGCAUCAAGAACUCUUCUCUCUAGCUGGUAAUCCUGCACUAGCAAGGAUGUUUAUAAUAAAUAAUAAACUGCUUAAGGUUUUGAAUGACAAAUGAUAUGGAGGCUGGUUCCUCUCUUUCACUGUCUGGUGUGCUUUAUGCAAACAUGCAGCAUUCAUACGUACAUCUUAGUGAUCAAUGUAGAGAUAUAUGAGCAACAAAGACCCAAUAAAAAUGGAAAUAUUUAUAUCAAAACAAAUGUAAAAAAUUUUCUGUAGAUUGAUUAUCCUUAAGAUGGUUUACACAACUAAAUGCAGCCGCUGAAAUUAUUUCCAAUUACUAAUUUUAGGUGAGCUUUUAGAGGGGCAAAAAAUUUAAUUACAGUGCUGCAUACCCCAAAUGCAAUUUCAAGUAUAUUCAAUUGUUGAGGCUGAAGGUAAGGAGAAACAUAGUCCUAACUAGUAUGAGCAAGCAGGCUGGUUUUCAGUUUAGUGUUCUUCUGGUUUGUGCCCCACAGCAAGCCAAGGUUUGAGUAUGUAAGAUCCAAAUGAGAAUGAGAAUGAGUAUGAGCAAGGUUUGGGUGUACGUGGAAAGGUGGUACUACUAAAAAUAUACUUCUUGUUCAAAUGAGAAUGAGAAGGAAUUAGAGAAAGAAACUGGAAAUGGACGGCAGAGGAGGUGAAGUACUGAUCAUACACCAUUUCUUUAUGUAUCUCUGCUGGUUAGCUUCAGUUGGAAUAUUCCUAAGGCAGAAGUCCAUCUCGGAACAAGUCAAACAAGAGAUAUAAUACUUGGGCGCUUUUGCUUCUUUCCAUGAAUUAUAUCUUUGUAUUUUGCAAUGAAUCCAGUGUUUAUACUUCUUAUCACUUGCAGCCAACAAUAAUUUUCAUAGCAAGUGGCAAAACCCUUCCCCAACUACUAUUUGUUUAUUUCCAAAUUCAGUACAAUGCCAAAGCUCACAGUACUAUUUAUUAUUAAUCCAUGUCCAAAGUGAAUUACUGGUGAAUCUAACUCAGUUCCCCAGUACUACAGCUAUGUCUACCCAUUCCCAUUUCUUGAUACUUCUGCUAGCUUUGCUGUCUCUUGGAUCGUACACCAUCAGAGGCCAAGGCCAUGGAUUCUAUAUAAAAGAAGCAAGUGUGGAUGAUCUUCACACUGCUUUCCUUCAAAACAAGCUCACCUCAAGACAACUGGUUGAGUUUUACCUUGGCGAGAUCUUUAGACUGAGUCCACUUCUUCAUGGGGUAAUAGAGGUGAACCCGGAUGCUCUCUACCAAGCUGAUAAGGCAGACAGGGAGCGGAAGGCUAAGUCCCCUGUGUCGCGGUCUGUUCUUCAUGGUAUUCCUAUUUUGCUCAAGGAUAACAUUGGAACCAAGGAUAAGCUAAACACGACUGCAGGGUCAUUUGCACUGCUAAAAUCAGUGGUACCUCGAGAUGCAGGUGUGGUGAUGAAGUUGAGGAAGGCUGGGGCUAUCAUACUGGGAAAGGCUAGCCUGAGUGAGUGGGCUAAUUUUCGGUCCCUAAAUGCACCACCUGGUUGGAGUGCCAGAGGUGGCCAAGGCCUGGUGAGUUAGUAUCCUAAUCCAUGUAUAUGGUAAAUAUGUAGGUAAUAUUUAGGUUGGCUCCAAUGAUUUGCAUGAAUAAUUUAUGAAAUUAAAGGUUAGUGCUGCAAUCCUUUCAGAACCCUUAUGUUCUAUCAGCAACGCCUUGUGGCUCUAGCAGUGGUUCAGCUAUAUCAGUAGCAGCAAAUUUGGUAGCAGUGUCACUGGGGACCGAAACCGAUGGUUCCAUCCUAUGUCCAGCCAGUUUUAAUUCAGUAGUGGGCAUCAAACCAACCGUUGGUCUUACUAGCCGAGCUGGGGUUGUUCCCGUCUCUCCUAGACAGGACACCAUUGGGUAAGCGAUACAACUUUCAUUACUAAAUUACUCUAUGGCAUCCAAUUCAAUACUAUCAAAUAAUUGUAUGUUCACUUGCAAGGUUCCUGCUACAAAUUUGCUUGAUGUUGGAUAUGGAACAGGCCUAUCUGUAGGACAGUGUUGGAUGCGGUUCAGGUACUGGAUGCCAUUGUAGGUUUCGACUACAACGAUGCUGAAGCAACCAGAGAAGCAUCAAAGUACAUACCAUAUGGUGGGUAUAAGCAAUUUCUCAAGCCAUAUGGGCUCAAAGGGAAGAGACUGGGAAUAGUGAGGAAUCCUUUCUUCACUACUGGCAGUGGAGCUGCCCUUACUCAAGCUUUUGAGCACCAUUUCUACACAUUAAGGUAACCAAACAAGCUUCAAAAUACCACUCUUAGCAACCUUAAUGCUUCAAACUCAAUGGGCAUAACCUAACAACUGUGAUCAUAUCUGCAAAAUAAGGCAAGAAGGAGCAGUUUUGGUAGAUGAUUUGGAAAUAGCCAAUAUCAAUGUUAUCUUAAAUGCCACUUCAAGUGGAGAAGCAACAGCAUUGCUGGCUGAGUUCAAGCUAUCAUUGAAUUCCUAUCUAAAAGAUCUGGUGGCAUCUCCAGUCCGAUCUCUGGCAGAUGUCAUAGCCUUCAACCAGAAAUUCUCAGAUUUGGUAAGUACAGACAUCCAUUCGUCUUGAUUCAAAUAAGAUUGCUGAAUCAGAGUUUUAAAGAUGACUGAUGACUUACUUUUAUCACAUUACAGGAAAUGAUCAAGGAGUUUGGACAAGACAUCUUUCUGGCAGCCCAGGCCACAAAUGGAAUUGGUGACGUAGAGAAGAAAGCUUUGUCGAAUUUAGCAAGACUGACUAGGGAUGGAUUCGAGAAAUUGAUGAUAGAGAAUAAGCUAGAUGCAUUGGUGACUCCUGGUUCAGAUGUUGCUCCAGUUCUUGCCAUAGGGGGGUUCCCAGGAAUUAGUGUCCCUGCUGGAUAUGAUUACAAAGGGGUGCCCUUUGGCAUUUGUUUUGGGGGCCUAAAGGGCUCAGAGCCAAAGCUGAUCGAGAUCGCAUAUGGCUUUGAGCAAGCUACUAAGAUUAGGAAGCCUCCUUCAUUUAAACCUUGAAGGUUUAACAGAGUUCCCUUUGUAGUUUCACUGCUUGUUCCAACAUCAAGAGAUCAUCAAAUAAGAUCAAAGACUCUUUGAAGAUUGCUGGUAUUUUGGAAUGGAAUACAGAGAAAAUACUGGAGAAGAAACUCAUAGCCAAGGAAGAUCUUCAGCUGUAAGAUUUAAAUCUGCAUUUAGACAGCUCUAUUCCUGCAAAUUAAUAUACAUUAACUCCUGUUUUGGAGCACUAAUGAAACCGGAAAAGAAACCACACUAAUAGUCAGAAAGUGGGCAUAACUUCUGGCCAAACUAAGACUAAUUGCUGCCAUGGAUGCAUAUAAAUUAAGAAACAAACAUGGAACCCUGAAAAAAGAAAAAUCAAGAAAUACAGACUCGGUUUAGUACUUAUAUUUUUGGUUUAGUACUGGUGAGUUUCGUGGCAGCUCCAUAAGCAUUGUUUUGGAGGUUCCCAGUUGUCAUUUACAAGGUUUCUGUUCAUUGAAUUAUACCUCCAUUUCUACACAAUAAGGUAAUAAAACAAGCUCACCCAUUGUGCUCUUAACAACUUAGGUUUCAGACCUCAGAUGGCCAUGUCCUAAUAUAUGAAAAUUUUCUGCAAAAAAGGCAAGUAGGUGAAGUUUUUGGUAGACCAUUUAGAAAUAUCCGACAUCUACGCUUAUCUUAAAUGUUAAUUCAAGUGGAGAAGCAACAGUAUUGCUGGCUGAGCUCAAAUUAUCAAUGAUUCUACAAGUGGAGAAGCAACAUCUACAUUUACCCGAAAAACCACCCACAACAGGGAACAAGGCUUUUGAUUUUACAACCUGAAGUUAUCAGUUAUCACCAAGUGACUAUAAUCCAAAAUGGAGCAAAUUUCCUGGUUUUGUCGUGUUCUAAAAUCAACUCAUGAGGUUCUCCGUCUUGACAUGGAAAUGAAGGUUGGGGUUUGAGUAUUUGUUUCAGUCUCUUGAUUCAACGUCUCACAGAAAAGUAGGCAUUAGAGCCUGAUAAAGGGACUCAUUUUCUCAGAGAGGCAGAGAGAGAAUAGAUGAUAAAUACUGAUAUGCAACAACUCAAAAUAUAAGUAACCAAAGAGAGAAAGGACUAAAUACACUCUUUCAAGUUAUCUGUACAAAUUUUCCUUUCCAUAGAACAUUUUUAGGCAAUAUCAAGAUGAUAUCUCUCCUAAAUGUUCACCCACAUGACAGUUCAUCAGCCUGCCUAAUGUGCUCUAAGAAUAAGGGACAAUCCAUUUGGCACAUGAACCAUUCUGCCUGCUCUGGUGGCUUUCACAGCCAUCUCUGGCUCCCAACCUGUAGUUUUAUAGACUGACAAGAACUCGCCUGAGAUCAUCACUCAUUUACCAAAGGAGCAAAGCAUUACAGGGGCCUGUGGCCUUGAUGCCUACAAAAACCCUCUCAGCCACUUCUCUAUGGAGAUGAAGGCCUAGGAUUCUUCAAGGAAAGGAACAUGAAAAACAUGAAAUCAAUGUUGCUUUGCCUCUGGGCUUUUACUCUGUUUUCAGCCAUAGGUCUGGUGCAUUGCCAAUUCCACAGCACCACAGAAAUCCCUCUACGCCAAACACAGGAAAAGACCAGCCUCCACUUCUUCCUCCACCACUCCUUCAAAAGCAGUAAACCCAGUUCAGUCAUUGUUGCAGGGGCAAACAGCAGCACAGGCAAUAAUGGCCUGCUGUCACCAUUCGGCACAGUGCAUGUGCUUGAUGAGCCCUUGACAGAAGGCCCAGAACCCACAUCAAAAGUAAUUGGAAAUGCCCAUGGUCUUCUAGUAUUGUCAGGUCUAAAGGAAUUGUCCCUUGCUGUGUAAUUGGAUUUUGGGAUUACUACUGGGGAGUUUGAUGGGAGUUCCAUUGUGGUGGCUUCAAUGUUUCCGGUGGCGGCAGACUUUGCUGAGCUUGCAGCGGUUGGUGGAAGAGAAAAGUUUAGGAUGGCCAGUGGGUUUGUAGAGCUUAAAAGGUAUUACUUCAAUGAGACUACAGGUGAGGCCAUUGGAGAGUAGUCCAGUACUCUCUUCUACUGAUCAGCUCAGAUGUUAAUGAAUUGUUUUUUAAAAAUGUUUCCUAAAAUCACCGUCAUAAAACUAUUAUUAAGCCUUGCUUUCUUGUUAACAAACUCAGCUCCAAGGAAUGAAAAUAAAAAGCUUAUUUUUAUUUAUUUAUAGUUAUAACUAGAUCCAAUUUUUACAAAUAUUGUUGAAAUUUAUUAUAUAAAUUUACAUUAAUUCUUGAGUAAUUACCUAAUGUUGUAAUAAAAAUAAAAUUUGAUAAAAGUUUCAAUUUUUUAUAAAUUUAUUUUGAAAAAUAUAAUUUUUAUUCCUACACCAACCAAACAAGACAACUAAAUAUUGUUAAACUAUCAAAUUUCUUAAAAAUUUAAACUUAUAAGAUUUAGUUUUAUAUAUAUCAUUUUUUUUAACACCCUCCCUCACACAUAGUCUCAUGCCCGUACAUAGAGAAAUACACAAGAGGAACACAUGAAGUCCUGCCAAAAAGAAUUUGGAUUCAUAAUAUAUAUAUAUAUAUAUAUCCAAUACUUUGUUUGGUUGGAGUUCAUUUAUUCGAUUACCUUUUCAAAAAUUGCAUGUUUGUAAGUCCAAAAAUGGCUAUUUGCAAUUAUUUACCUUCGGGCUUGCGCAUCUUUCCACAUGAGUAUGGGUCCAUGCUAUUAAAAGAAUGUCAACCAAAAUCUUGCAAAUUUAAGUUUUUAGGGAAUCAAUAAUUUAGUAAAUAUAAAUCAUUGAAAAGGAGUAAAGAAGAAAUAAGAAUUAAAAAAAAAAAAAAAAUCAAACAUGAGAACAUCGUGAAAGUCAAUUUUAUAAAAAAAUUAGAUUUCAAAAUAAUUAAUAUAUAUAUUAAUGAAUUGCAUAGUACCUUUGAUUCUUAAAAAGAAUGAGGGAAAAUAUGAAAUUUUAUACUUAAUAUUAAUCAUAUAAAGAUUAAACAAUUUAAGAAUAUAUAAAUUUUAAAUAAUUUUAGUUAUAUUUAGGUUAUGUUUGUGUUUUGGAUUUAAUUUUAAAUAGAAUUUAAAACUAAAUAACGUUUAAUAAUAUUAAGCAUUAUUUUAUUUUUUUAAUAUUUUAUUUCUAAGUAAAAAAAAUUAGUAUGUAUGUUUUAGCAUUAUAAAAAGUCAAUAUUUUUAUUUUUUAUAUAUAUUCGUUUAAAAAUUUUAAAAAAUAAAUAAUAAGUUAAAAAAAAAAAAAAAAAACUCUAAACCCUAAAAGUAAAUUACUUUUUUGCUUGUAACGGAAUGGGAUGUUUUCUCCCUUUAAACACUUCCUUGUUUGCAUUUUAACCAAAUCCAUUAAAAAGACAACUCCAACUAUUCCAAUUCGUCUCCUGGUUUGCAUCAUUGCAUGUUACCAAAGCCAUUGAAAAGGCAACUCCAACCAUUCCUCCCCUGCAAAAAAGGAGCCACUUUCCCUAUUCAAAAAAUGGACCAAAGGUUGUUCACCAACAGGGUUGGUACAGCUCUUGAAUGCAUGAUGAUCUUUCCGAUUAGGUAACCACCCUUGAAAAUCUAGGACAUGUGCUACAGACAAAACCCCUAUAAAACCCUCCCUCCACAGCCCUCCUUUCUGCUCUGAACUUCACAAAGAAAUGGCAAAGCUAGCUCUGGCUCUGCUGCUCAUCUCCAUGGCCAUGGCCAUGCCAUGGGCUCAACCCCAAGACCUCAAGUGGGCCAAGAGGCUCGACUCCGGCGGCCAACCCACCACCAAUCUCCAGUUCUACUUCCACGACACACUCAGCGGCAAAACCCCAACUGCAGUUCGCGUGGCUCAGGCCUCACAAACUGACAAGUCUCCAACUCUCUUUGGAGCCUUGUUAAUGGCGGACGACCCCCUCACAGAAGGACCCGACCUGAGUUCCAAACUCGUGGGUCGCGCCCAGGGGCUGUACGGGUCGGCGAGUCAGGAGGGGUUUGGUCUGAUAAUGGCUCUGAGUUAUGGGUUCUGCGAUGGAAUCUACAAUGGCAGCUCCAUUAGCGUUCUUGGGUUGAACCAGGCUCUGAACCCGGUCCGGGAGCUGCCGGUGGUGGGCGGAACCGGGGUCUUCCGGAUGGCUCGUGGAUUUGCGGAGGCGAGGACUCACUGGUUUGAUCCUGCCACGGGUGACGCUAUCGUUGCCUACAAUGUGACCGUAUUUCAUUAUUGAUGAUUAAUUAUUAAAUUUGUAUUUGUAUUAAUUUCCAUUUUUAUGAUUUUCUAUCGUGUCGGUGUGUCAACGUUAUAUUAAUUAUUACACUAAGUUGAAUUAAAGGUUGUAAGCUUUAUGAUUUUUAUUUUCUUUCCUUUUCUCACACUUUCUUGGGAUUCUUGUACACCUUUUCUAGGUCCAGGAAAAGGGUCCAAGAAUAGUUGGCAUGUCAAAAAGUGAACAACUUUUUGUGGGCUUUUGGUGAUUGAUUGGGACAUAUUUGUUUUUCGUGGGCUUGUGGGGUUUAUGUAUACCUGAUUAUAAUUCUAGGGUUUGAGAUAACUUCUAGCUUAUGUGGAGAAUCACAAGUUCAAUACUUAGUCAUUAACCAAUAAUUCUUUGGAAUUGAUUUUAUUGUGUUUGGAUUCCACUUAAAAUCUUUCAUUUGUAUUUCCAACUCUUUUUCAAAUCUAUUUUUUUUUAUUAGGUGAUUUAGUAAAAUGAAAGUAAAUAUUUUCUUUUCAUAUAUUUUUUAACUUUAAUUUUUUUAAUUUUAAUUUUUAGGAUUUCUUAUUUUAUUGCUCUUUCAACUUGAUUCUCACAAUAAAAAAAAUUAUCAAUUAAUUUUAUUAAUCUAAUAAAUAAAAAAUUAUUUUUCAAUUUGUGAAAAAGUAUAUAUAUUUUAAAAUAUUUUAAAUGGAUAAUUAAAUUAGCAAUUCAAAACUCACCUUUUUUUUAUUAUUUUAUUUUAUUUUUCGAUUCACAACUUUUUUUUUUUUUUUUACCACUGCACCCCCACCCCGGCAAGACCCCGCGACCCCACUGGAACCCCCACCCCACGCAGGAAAACACAAACCCCCCUCCUUGCCCCCACCCCGUGCUGGAAACCCUCCUCCCUCGGCAAGACCCCCGCGACCCCGCUGGAACCCCCCACCUCGCGCCAGAAAACACAAACCAUCUCCCCCCUGUCCCCACCCCAUGCUGGAAAACUCCCCCCUCUCCCAGCGACCCCGCUAGAACCUCCCAUGCUGAAAAAGCUAUUCCCUUUUGCCCGUCCUUCUCCAUUCUUCCAGAUUUUUUUUUUAAAAUUAUUUUUACCUCAUAUCACUAUUAUUUAUUUUAUUUUAUAUUCAUUAUUUUUUACUUCAUAAUGUUUAAAACUUAUAAUUUUAAUUUUAAUUUUAAAUUUGAAACUAAUUUUUUAAUUUUUAAAUAAUAUAUAAAUUAUUAUUUUUAUUUUUAUAAGUAUUUUAAAUUUAAAUAAUUUAUAUAUUUAUGACGAUUAUCCAACCAAAUUUCGGUUCAAUAAUUGGCCUGAGUCUGAAAAAUAUUACAUUUUUCUUAAAUUUGUCAAAAAUAGAAAGAUGAUAAGAAUUAAUUUAUAUGUACGAGCUCAUAAAAGCAGCGUCUCGAAACCGGCCCAACCCAUGAGUAAAUUAUUGGAGGACUUUUGCUACGAAUUUUUAUUUCUCACCGGUUCCCAGCCCACAAGUCUCAUUAUUGAUUCAUUAUUGGAGUUGAUUCAGUACGUACUUGGAUGAAAAUUUCUCAAAUUUCGGUGUGAAUAAGGUUGAAUUUUAAUUGGAUGCUCAUGGUGGGAUGCUAUUGGUUGAAAAUUUUCCAUCCAUGACAUUUAUGAAAAUCUUCUUUUUUUUAAAAAAAAAAACGAUGUUUUGUUAAUAGAAAUUAUUCUUCUUUUCCAUUCUUAACAUUUUUUAUCUUAAAUAAAAUUAUCAUUUUAAAAUGAAAUUAUAGUAUUCGUGCGAGUUUUUCGUGGGAUUGAGAUGAAUAUAAUCGAAUUUAGAUCAAAUUCACAUCAACUUACAUAAUCUAUUUAAUAAAUAGAUAGUUUUUUUGUUAACUUACGUGACUUAUUUAAUAAUUUAACUCAUUUUAAAUUUAUUUUUAAAUAACAAUAUCAACUAAACUAUAAACAGAUUUGAUUGAGAUAUCAAUGAUAUUGGUUUAUACAAUAUCUAACUUAAUUUACUAUUUAUUUAAUAAUUAGAUAGUAUUUGAAUUUAUAUUUUUAAUAUGAUUAUUAUUUAUGUCGAACUUGAAUUAAUCUAUUUAGUAGAAUAUUGAGAUUUUAACCAAACGUGCAAAUAACUUACCCACGGAAAUUGUCACUCCUAUUUUAGACUACUCUUGAAGGGAUCAAAUAAGAUUAGUCUUAAACUUUAAUGUGAAUGCCCUUUUUCAUUGGUUUAAUUUAAAUGUUCAAUUGAUUGUUACACUCUCUUCAAAUACACCAAUAAAACCAUUCAUCCAUUCAAGUCUAAUAUCUUUUCAUCUAAAAUCAUUUUUAAAAACUAUUUUUUAGAAACAAUUUUAAAAAAUGUUCUCAGUGAUCUCCAACUUCAUCAAAGUGUCUUCAAAUUGUGAAAAUCUUUAAAACCUAAGAUGAAAAAACUACUCAGGCCCUCAAUCAAUGUUAUUGGAGUCAAGCCAAAACAUAAAUCACAAGGAGACCGGGAUCAUAACAAGACUUCAGCCAUCUCAUGAUCCAACUCACACCAAGACCCACAUGCCACAAGGUUCAAAUUAAAUCAAGGUCCAAAUUGCAGUAGAGCCCAAAUCAAAAUUAAAAUAAUUCAAAGUCAUCAAGCUUUUUAACCUCUUGAUUAUCAAGAGGUUAUAUAAAAUAAAUAAAAAAAUUAUGACCACAUUAUUUUUUUUUUUUCAAAUUGAUAAAAAUCUCUAUUUCUCUUCAAGAUGGGUUUGAGCAAAAAUUUGUGUCUACAAUCAUUUCUCCCAAUCUUAUUUUGGUAUGGAUAUUUCAGAAGAUUCUCCAUUUUGUAAGAGAGAAUCACAUGCCAUUCUAAUUCCGGGAACUCAUUAUUUUCCCGACUUCACUUUCGAAUCAUGAUCACGUAUGCAUUACUGUGUAUUGGGAAAAUGGAAAAGCUGCACGCAAGUGGGUAAUUGAUUACCCACCUGCAGCUCAAAACUUACUCACCUGCAACGCAAAAGUAAUCGACCAUUUUUCUCAAAAGAGAUGGGCCAAUGCCACUAUUUUCAACCCUCCUUUUCUCCUUUCCUCCCCUAUAAAACCCACCAUCAACUCCCCCAUUUUCCUCACAGACAACCAGAAUAUCAAUCAGAUGGAGAAGCUACCUCUUUUCCUAAUCCUUUUCUCACUAGCCAUAUCCAUGGCCAUGGCCGACAGCAAUGAAGUUGAUGAAUGGUUUGGUAACCUCCAGCAUGCAAAGGAGAGGACCACCCGUCUCCACUUCUACUUCCACGACACAACCUCAGGCAAGAACCCGAGCGCAAGGCGCGUAGCUCAAGCCCCUUCAACUAACAAAUCCCCCACCUUCUUCGGCCUCAUAAACAUGAUGGACGACCCACUCACGGAAGGGCCCGAGGCGACUUCCAAGCUAGUGGGUCGUGGGCAGGGGCUGUAUGCCUCAUCUGGGUUGGAUGAGUUGAGCCUCCUUAUGGCCUGGAACGUAAUCUUCAAGAGUGGGGACUACAAUGGCAGCUCUCUAACCAUUCUCGGUCGAAACCCCACUACCCAUCCCCUCCGUGAGAUGUCCAUUGUGGGUGGCACUGGUGUUUUCCGAAUGGCCCGUGGAGUAGUGACUCUCAAGACAUAUUUCUUUAAUUCUAGUGCCGGUGUAGCUGUCGUUCAAGUUGAUGUUGUGGCUAUUCACUACUGAGUACCGAGUGAAGUGCAUGGAUGGUUGUUAGUUGAUUGUUUCAAGAGUAGUCUAAAAUAGGAGAGUCUCAUGUUAUUUUGGAUGAAUCUCAUGUCUUAUUUGAAAAAAGUUCCAAAUACAAUUUAUCGUGGUUUUGAAAUUUUAAGAGUCUAAUCAGAUCAAUAACAUCUACAUAAUUAAGAAUGAAUCAUUACAAUUUUAACAUCUACAUAAUUAAGAAUGAAUCAUUACAAUUUUAACAUCGAAUCAUGCCACAAGGAACACGAAAUGACUCAAAUUCACAAAUUUGCAGUACUUGAUAAACUGAGUCUCAUUUAUUUAUGGUGGAUGAAUUGUCUUUUAUAUGUCAAAAAUCAUUUUCUUAGUCAAUAGUAACAUUAUUUUUAUCAUCUUAAUAGUCUAUUAGAACAUUCAGUUAGCACUUAUUUUAUUAUAUACUUCAAAACUUUAACAUAAUUUUUAUUAAAAACAUUACCCUAUAAUAGUUUGUGUUAUAUAUAUGAAAUUCGUGUCCUCAAGACUCCAACAUCACCAAGAAAGAAUGAGGGUAUAAACAUUAAUAAUGAGCCUAAAGUGCAAAAUAAUAAAGACAAGAUACAAGACAAUGAAAUUAGAUGUGUUAUAAAGCAAUAAAAUUUGAUUACAAAUGCAACAUCACAUUAUUAAUGAUACUUUUUGUGUAAAAAUUACACAAUAAACUAAUUAAUAUUUGUUGGAGAAUCAUACGAAUUAUUUUCCCCACAGUACGUCCUACGUGCACGCCCAUCCACAUAUGGAUCUGCCAAGCUACAUUGGAACUAUUGCUUCAAAGCUGCCACAAACUGAGGCAACUCUGGGCCACAAAUUUUUUCCUAUUCAUAAUUGUCAUUUAGUGGUUAAUAAUUGUUUGUAUGGUUUAUGAAAUCAUGUGGGUCUUUUAUUUAUUUAUUUUUUUUUUUACUCAAAUUAUGACUAAUGCCUUGAAAUUCAUAAUAAUGUUCUCAAGAGCAUAGGAGGGAUUAUUAGGGUUAUAAUAAUUCUAUUCUAAUUGAAUGAUAGCUUGUAAGCCAUCUUUGCUAGUAUUAUCUUUUGUUAUUUUUUAUAAUUAGUAUUAUUAUUAUUAUUUUUUAUUAAAAAGUAUGUCAAAUUUCUAAUAUUGUAUAAGAUAUUUUGUAUAUUAGUAUUUAUUUGUCAAAAUAAAUAUUAUUAGAAAUAUUUAUUUUAUUUUUAAACACGUCCCGUUAAGGAUAGGGUGGGAUAGGGCAGCACAUACGGACACCCAAUAACAUGGAAAAUAGGAUAUUUUAGAAUGAGCUUUAAUUAGUAUAUAGCAAAUGAUAUGAUGAAUCCUUCUAAUUGAAUUGGAUUAAGGAACUGGAUUGGUUCCCAAUUCACAUUAUUACAGCAAUUAGCAUAGAAUAGCAAAGACAAGCAGAAAAAUAUUUGGUAGGUAAAAUAGAUUACCAAUAUCAAUGGCAGCCACAGUACCCAAAAAUUGUGGACAAUAGAACAACACAUACCUACUUUUUUCCUUGGUUUUCUUCCAGCUUGAUGCUGUUGAUCAUGUGCUGCCUGCCUCCUCUGGAGAGCAUCUAAGGACUCUUCUUUUCAAGUUUCUGCACUUAUAAAAGCCCCUAUAUAGUCUCUUCAACUUCCAUAAGAAGGAGCUAGCUAGGCAUGGAGAAGAUGUAGGAAGAGUGUAAAUAAUUUUUAUUUUUAUUUCAUUUUUGGAAAGAAUCCUAUUGGGAAUUAUUUUUAUUUUAUUUUAUUAUAUUAAUCUUAUAUUUUUUGGAAGAAUCCUAUUGAGAUUGUGAUAGUGAAGUCUCAUUCUUUUUAUAAGUAAAAUCUCCUUCCACUUUGAGUCAUAUUCUGAUUACAAAUAGAGUCCCAUUGGAACUGUUUUAAUGGCCUAUAAAAGCAGGUCACCCUUCACUCUUUAUAUACGAAUAUCAAUUUUUUAGAGAGUUUUUCAAAGUCUUUUCAUACAUCUAUCUAGAGGAUUUUUUUCAAAACCCGAGUUGUACACGUCUCGCUUACAAAGUGCACCCAAGGUGAGAUCUGCCUAUUAAAUCCUAGAAGUAAACCACUGGUACCCUAGUGAACCGAAUUCGUCUUCGAGGAGGAUGGAUCUAUUUCAAGGAUAGCGUUUGUCACACCUCAGCCGAUAAGUUUUUCUUCUUAUUAAUUCUAUUCUUUGUUUGUGUCUUUUGGGUUAGUCAUUUGUUUCCAUAUCCUUAAAACCAGCAAUCUUGAAUUAGAUCCAAAUGGAAGCUUUUCUAGUUCACACCCAUCCUGACACCUCUAAAAUUGAUCCCUUCAAUGGGACAUUCUUUAAAAGAUAGCAUGAAAGGGUUUUCUCUGCAAUUGAUGUAGUGAACUUGAGACACAUUUUGACUGACCCAAAACCAGAAGAUGGUUCUCAUAUAUUACCAACCUAGGAAACUGGAAAUAAACAAGUUAGACAUGUUAUUCUGAGUGCCAUUUCUAAUGAACUUUUUGAUAUUUAUUGUCAAUUUAAAGUUGCAAACGAAAUUUGGGAUGCAAUGAAUAAAAAAUAUAUUUUGAAAUAUGCAAAAACUCAUAAAUAUGUCAUAGGGAAUUUUAGAAAUUUCCAAAUGACCGAGAAUAAAGAUGUAUCAUCUCAAAUUCAUGACUAUCACUUAUUGAUUAAUGAUUUAACUAUUGAAGACAUUAAAUUACCCAAACCUUUUGUGGUUGGUUAUUUAGUAGAGACUCUUCCAGAGUCUUGGAAAGACUACAAAAAUAACAUGAAACAUAAAAGGAAACAAAUGUCCCUAGAGGAUGUCAUAAUCCAUAUUAGGAUUGAGGAACAAAAUCGAAAUAGGGACAAUGUUGAGAAAGCUAAGAAAUUGUCUUCUAAGGCUAAUGUAGUAGAAGAAAAACCUAAACCCAAAAACAAUAGGUCCAUGAAACAAAACUUUAGGACCAAGCCCAAUGCAUCAAACAAGGUCCAGAACUCAACUAUUAAAAAACAGGGUAAUUGCUUUGUUUGUGGCAAGUCUGGACACCAUGCAGCUCAAUGUCGCCACAGGAAGAGAACUGAGAAGUCCAAUUCAAAGGAAAAUAUGGCAGAGGCAGAGGUGAUUAAUGUAGUAAUCUCUUCUGAGGUGAGCAUGGUCACCAAUAUGAAGGACUAGGUGGUAGACUCUAGAGCUACUAGGCACAUCUGUGGGAAUAGAAGUGCAUUUACUUCCUAUACCACUGUAAAGGAAGGAGAUGAACAAGUGUUCAUGGGUGAUUCUAGAUCUAUUCCAGUGAUUGGCAAAGGGAAAGUUCUCCUCAAGCUAACCUCUGGAAAAAUACUUGCCUUCAGUGAUGUUCUUCAUAUGCCAAAUAUCUGCUAGAACCUAGUUUCAGUAUCUUUGCUUAGGAAAGUAGGAAUGAGGAUUUUGUUUGAAUCUGAUAAAAUAGUUUUAACCAAGAAUGAUGCAUUUGUGAGGAAGGGCUAUUGUAAUCAAGGUUUAUUUAUGUUGAAUGUUUUUAAUAUUAUCAAUAAUAAUGCAUCUUCUUCUUCUCCUUACAUAGUUGAUUCUUGUGAUAUUUAUCAUAGUAGACUAGGACAUGUGAACUUUUCAUAUAUGAAAAAAAAAAUGGUUGAAUUGAGUUUAAUCCCUAAACUGUCCUUAGAAAACCAUGGAAAAUGUGAAUCUUGUGUAGAAUCUAAAACCACAAAGAAAUUUUGCAAAUCAGUUGAAAGAGAAUCAGGUCUACUAAGUUUAAUAUAUAGUGACUUAGGAGACAAAAAAAUACAAUGACUAGAGGUGAUAAACGAUUCUACAUAACUUUCAUAUAUGACUACUCAAUGUAUACAAGGGUAUAUCUUUUGAGAAACAAAGAUGAAACAAGAGAUACUUUCAUCAAGUACAAAAAUGAAGUAGAAAAUCAACUAAGUAAGAAAAUUAAAAGAUUUAGAACUGAUAUGGGAGGAGAGUAUGAAUCCAACCCUUUUAAUUCUUUUUGUGAAGAUCAUGGGAUCAUUCACGAAACCACUCCUCCUUAUUCCCCUGAGUGUGUUGGAGUAGCAGAAAUGACAAAUAGGACCUUAAAAGAAAUGAUGAAUGUAAUGUUGGUAAGUUCACGAGUACCCUUGAACUUGUGGGGGAAGCUAUCUUAUUCGCAAGUCAUAUUCAAAAUAGAAUACCUUACAAGAAAACUGGUAAAACUCCUUAUGAGUUAUGGAAGGGUUAUGCACCUAAUAUAGCAUACUUGAAAGUUUGGGGGUGUUUAGCUAAAGUUCUUCUCCCUGAACCUAAAAAACGAAAACUAGGUCCUAAAACCUUUGAUGUAAUGUUCAUUGGCUAUGUUGAGAAUAGUGCGACAUAUAGGUUUCUUGUUACUAAGUCAAAAAACAAUCUUGUAGAUGUCAAUACUAUAAUAGAAACAAAGAAUGCAAAUUUCUUUGAAAACAUCUUUCUUAUGAAACUAAAUGGUGAACAACAGGUUCAGAAAACAAGUAGAGACAAGUCUAUUGAACCUUCUAAAUUUGAACCUAGAAUAAGUAAAAUAAAUAGGAAAGAAACAAACCUUGGAGAUGGUUUCUACACCUUCCUAAUAUAUGAGGACCCUAGAUCCUACAAAGAAACUAUAACUUCUCCUAAUGCACCAAUCUGGAAGGAGGCCAUUAACAGUGAAAUCGAAUCAAUCAUGCAUAACCAUACAUGGAAGUUAAUAGAUUUACCUCCUAGUGCAAAUACUAUUGGUUGUAAAUGGAUCUUUAAAAGAAAGUUAAAACAAGAUGGGUUCAUAGAGAAGUAUAAAGCUCGUUUAGUUGUCAAAGACUUUAAACAAAGAAAGGAUGUAGAUUACUUUGACACCUUUGCCCUUGUGACUAGAAUUGCAUCAAUUAGAGUAUUGAUCGUUCUAGUUUUCAUUCAUAAUUUGGUGAUACACCAAAUGGAUGUCAAAACUGCAUUCUUGAAUGGGGAUUUGGAAAAGGAAAUUUAUAUGGAACAACCUAAGGGUUGUGUAGUUCUAGGGAAGGAGUAAAAGGUGUGUAAGUUGGUUAAAUCACUAUAUGGGUUAAAACAAGCUCCCAAACAGUGGCACAACAAGUUUGAUAAUGUGUUAGUAACUAAUGGAUAUUCCAUUAAUGAUGCUGAUAAGUGUAUCUAUAGCAAGUAUAAGGAUAACACAUGUAUAGUCAUUUGCCUUUAUGUUGAUGACAUGUUGAUAUUUGGAACUAAUGUUUUUAAUAAUUUUAGGAUAAAAGUGUUAUUAAGUCAUUAAGACCUCGUUUGGUAGUAAUCUUAGGAAGCGUUUUUAAUAUUUAUUAUACUUGAAAAUUUUUAUCAUUCAAGUGUUAAAAAUGAUAUAAACACUUUCUAGAAUCGCACUCUAAGUCAUUAAAUCACUUUAAGUCAUUAAAUUGAUUUACUAAACAACAUAUUAGAUUUCAUUUUCAACUCAAUAAAUACCAAAACAGUAAGUCUAUAUUUCGUUUUUGAAAUAUUUGAAGGAAAAUGUAAAGGAAAAAAAUAGAGAAAAAAAUAAAAUAAAAUGAAAUAUAUUUAAAAUCAAUAAAUAAUUUUUAUUUUUUAUUUCAUUUAUUUUAAUUCAUCCAUAUAAAUAUUAAAUAAUUUAAAUAUAUCUAAGUUUUUAACUAGUUUUAAUUACAUUUGAAUUCUUAUUUUAUUUUUUUGUAUUUUCACAUAACAAUCAAACAUAAGAAAAUAAUUUUUUUUUAGUAUUUUUUUUCUUUCGUAUUUUCAUAACCAAACAUAACCUAUUGAAAGCCAUUUUCAACUAAAAUCCCUAAUUCUAAUCAAUGUUGGAUUUGCACACUACAGCCAAGUCCCACUUGGGGUCUACUCCAUGAUGGCUCUCAAAAAUCAGCCCUACAACCUUAUUAAUGCUUUGUGAAACAAUGAUACCAACUUUUUAUUUUUAUGCAUGGGUAAGGUUCUGUGCUUGUCAUAAUCAUAGGAGAGUAUUGUACUCAGAUUUAAUGUCUAUUGUAUUGCAUUAAUUAAAUGUUUUGAUAGACUUUGCAUUGAAGGCUACUAUAGUAGAGGAUCAUCCUUUCUAUCCCCUUAUAAUUAGUAGAUGUUUCUAACUAAUUGACUAGAGAUUAGACACAUGCCCUCCUUUUCCACAUGUUUUCGUUGGUACAAGUCCAUAGAAUGCCCCGAGAUCUCAAACCAAAACAAAAUAACAACUAACCUAGCUAUGAGUCACAAGAUAAUUCAUUAUAAUAAGAUUCAAUAUUAAGAGAUUAGCAAUAUUAUGUUGUAUAUAUUCAAUUAAUUAAAGGGACAAUUAUGUUUGAAGUUAUUCAUACUUUGAAAAUUGGGUCUGCAUCCAUAAAAGAUGCAUAAUUAACAUUAAGUUUGUUGUGUCGGCAAAAACAAAAAUAAAACAAUUCACACAAAAGCAUAUGGAGUUUUAACGAGAUUCGGCCAAAGUAUGCAUUUAUGGAUAAGAGAAAAUUAUUAUAAAGAAUAUUAAAGAAGACAAACAUGUUUACAUUCAUGGAUAAGAGAAAAUUAGUUCACAUUAUAAAGAAUAUUAAAAAAGACAAAAACAAAUACAACUAUUAGGUUCCUAAAACAAGAGCCCGUUGAUUUAUUGAGUGUCUCUCAUUCUUUCUAUGGCUCAGCUGGGUUGGUUUGGCCUCCAACAUUAAUGGUAGCACUCUAGAUCUGAGCAUUAUGGCUAGGAACUCUAGCAGCUAGCAGUUAAUUAACUACUUGAUUUCAUUUUCAACUCAACAAAUACCAAAACGGUAAGAAAGCCAUUUUCAUUUUCAUCUAAACUCACCAAUUCUGAUCAAUGUAGGAAAGUUGCACACUACAACCAAGUUCCACUUGGGGUCCAGCCCAUGACGGCUCUCUUAAAUCAGCCCUAGGACCCUUGUUAUGAGCUUCUCCAAACAGCAAGAUAUUAUGUAAGAACAUACUAAAUAAUCUUAACCUUAUUAUUUAAGAUAAUCCCCUUUUGGUGAUAAAGCAGCUAUGGCAGAGAAUCAACUCAUCAAUUCCGUAGACAUCAAUCUCCAUGGGACCACCAAGAAUCAUCCCAUAAUAGUCUUGCAAGGGUGUUCGUAGAUCCACGAAAUGGGGUUCUAGGAUUUGGUUCCCGAACAUGGAAGGAGAAGGAAAGAAGAAGGCUCCAUUUCUAUAACAUCAGUCAUUGAAAUGAAGACUCUUUCAUGAAUAAAUAAACAUACAAAGAGAAUCAAAUUCAAGAAUCUUUGGUAAUAUUUGGUAGGUAAAAUAAGCUACCCGUUAUCAUUGCCAUGUGAUGCACAAUAGAACAACAAUUGCUGUUUCCCCUGUGUUUUUUCCUUGUAUUUGAAUUUGCCAUAUAAAUGUGAUGCUGUUGAUCAUGAGAGACCUGGUUAACCCAAAGACCCGAACUCAUUUCUGAGCAAGUGGACCGGGCCCAGGGGCUCUAUGCCUUGGCCGGGCUGGACCAAAUCGAAAUUCUGCUCCACUAGUGGAGACUGGAGAGUUACAAUGGCGCAAUGGACAUGCCCCGAGAGCUGCCCAUGGGCUGAUGGGCCUCGCGGGCUCAUGGGGAUUGCAACCGGAAGGCCGUAUGCGUUCAAGGGUUGAGUGCAAUGUUAUAUCCAUUCAUUAUUGAGUAGUAAUAGUGAUGGAGUCAUCUUUAUCUGGUUUUGUCCGGGUUCCUUUGGUUUAGUUGUUGUUGACUUCAUCAGAGAGAUUUGUUCGUUGUCCUUGGACCCUUCUGUUCUACUUUUGUGGACACGGAUUUUGGGGAUGUGAUUUAGAAAAAAUAUCAUUCAUUGACAACACGCCAAGCCGGAGGUCUUGUCACACAUGUGGAUAUGCUUUCCAUGACCCAACAUCACUACUUCAGAAUUUUUAAGAAAAUUAGACAUGGUCUUGAUCCAUACUUUUUCCAUAUCUAAUGAAAAGGCAUCAACUAAGUGAUGUCGAGAAUACAUCUUAAAUAAUGAAGUCCAUUUGCUUCUACCUAUAUAAUCUUAGCCCCAUUCAUUUCUACCAUCUUAUUUAUUUGUACCCUCCUUCAAUUACCUAAAUCUCGUUAAACAUAUUCAAUGACCUUUUUGCUUGAUAAGUAGCACCAUGGUAACCUUAGCAUUUUCCCACCUCUAAAAAAUGAGAGCUAAAGAAGGAGAGCGGUUUGUGAGUUGAUCUCAGAUUGAAUUGGACUAAUGGUGACCCAGUUGACUACAGGCACUCCAGGGAGCAAACCCAGAAAACAUAAAGAUCGAUGGACCAUGAAAAUCAAGAGAAACUUUCGUAAGUAUUGCAGAUAUUUACAUAGCCCAAGAGCAUCGAGCCCAAAGUUUCAUUAGCCCCUGCAGAAGUAAUCCAUGAGUACAAAUAUAGGAAAAAGGACAACCCCUUUUGAUACAUACCAGGAAUUUUGCAGUUCAUCCCAAAAGCAUAGACAAUAAGGAAACAGGAUGAUCUAAUUGAAAGUAGAAUUCAUCAUAUUCCAUCCCCUAUCAUCUCAACUGGAAACUCAUUUUUAAUGGAGCAAAAAGUUGAAUGCCAAGGCUAUCAUCAGAACCUGAAAAUAUAUUUUGAGGGGAAGAGAGCAAAGCAGUUGACAAUUUCUGCAAUGUAAAUCAAUUCCUCACCCAUAGGAGUUGAAUGAUUUAGAAGAAGACACAAUUGAACAACUAGAAAUAGAUGGUUCAGCAUUAAGCAUUAAACAUUACGCUUUUCAGAGAACAAAAAUCACAAAUUGCAGAUAUCUAACAAGGAAACUCUAAUCACUGUAAACUAAGACAUUGUGGGGAUGUGAGAAGGGGAAAACUGCAGAGCUUCAUUUCACUCACAUCUGUUGCAGACCAUAAGGAGAUAACCUUUGUAGACACUUUUUCCUAUUACCGCAAAGCUGUUGCAGCACCAUAUAUAACCUAUUUUUCAUCAUUGUCCAAACUGUCCUUGUUGAGAAUAACCAAGUAGCUUCCGGAGUAGAGGAACCAGACCAAUUAAAGCUAUUUGAAGCUGUUCUGAGCUAUUCAAGCGUAUGCUGACCUGCCCCGCUCCCCUAUUAUUCAAAUUGACACGACCAAUCAUGUUUGUAAACCUGCCAAUAGGGAUCUGGGACUGUAUGUUGCAUCCAAUAGCAAGAUCUCCAUGCCAAUCCAUGAUGGAGAGCCCAAGAGUUGAUAGCGAACGACCCAGAGGAUGAUCUUUAUCUCUUAGGGUGGCCUCCAAGCUACCACCAUAAGCAACAUCACCACGGCCAGUCAUGGCACCACCAGUCAUAACCAGCCGGAUCCGUUUGUUAACAAUCAAUUUGUCUUCAAGUUUUAAUCCAGCUGUUAUGGCAUCACCCAGGGCAGUAAUAGAAAGACCAGCUGUUGCCUUAUUUUUCCUAAAGUUACAAAAUCUUGUCUCACUGCGCAGAGUAUAUGCCAUGUCCUUUCCAACCGUCUGCAUAUCAAAACCUACAGAAGUUGCUUUUCCUUCCCCAUGCUUAACUGAACUGGCUAUUUCCAUUUGGAGAUUGGCAUCCUUUUUAUCCUUUGUAACCUGGCCUGAAAAAGAAACAGGUAUCUUGUCCUUAAUAGCAAACACUCUUUCCACAUUUAUGCCUUCAUAACCAACGUCGUGAUCCCAACCAUGAGUUUCCAGAACAGGCCUCACAAGCCACUGGUUGGAUGAAUCAAGAUAUCGAUAACGGUGAGUUGGAUUAUCAGAAUCAAAAGAAGCAGGCAAGGCCCAAUCUGGCAUGGGAACUGGCACAGAUGCAGCACCACCACUUUCUUCUUCUGCGUUCUCGCUGUAGUCACUUGGUAAAUCCUUAGAAGAAGCUGCCAUUUUCUUCAUCAUCUUCCGUCGCUCUUUCUCUUCUUUCAACUGUUUCUUCAUAAAAAGUUUUUCCCUAUAUUCCAGCUCAUCAUAAUAAGCCUUCUUCUGAGCUCUAGUAAGCUUUGACAGCUGGGCUUUUGUCAAUCGUCUAAAUGGUGGCAAUUCGUCAUAUUCUGAUUCAUCAUCUGAAUCAGACGAGUCAUCCAAAUCCUCAUCUAAAGUGUCCUCAUCACCAACCUGCUCCUCUGGCAGUCUUACCUGUGGUCUUGAUUGGAGAAGAGAUGAGAGAAGGAAGGGUAAAGGAGGUGAUCUUGAUCGUGUUGUAAAAGGCUUUCCAGGUGGACUAUCUUGCAACUUUAGAAGCGUGUUUGCUUCAGCCAAAAUCUUUGACGCAAAGGAGAGCAAUAACAAAUGAGGCUUCCAAAUCUGACCAUUUGGUAAAACUCUCUGCCCGGCCCUAUUUGUUCUGCAUGCAGAGUGGUUCUCUACCAAGGACACAGGGUUCAUGAGCCGCAUAUCCCCAGCUGCCUGACGAAUUGCUUGCUGGACAACAUGAGACCUCUGAGUGACAAACAUAUCAUAACUUGAAGCAGUACCGUUUGGGCCAUCAGGUGGAGCAGAUGCUGCAUGAGUAAGAACCACAAUUGCAUUGAACCAUAUUGAUGGUCCAAAUAUUUCAGUUAUUGUGCGCAACAGCGGCAUGUCACCAAAAUCCCUGCUCUGCAUGUCCAACCUAUCAAGAUACAGAACAAUAUCUGGAGGGGUUUUCUUGAUAAACCUUUUAACAGAGUGGAGGAUCUUCUCAUUCUGGCGUUGGUCUGACCAGGAUGGUAGAAGGCCCGGAGUGUCAAUGACCCUUACCUUAAUUCCCUGAACUGUUCCCACAACAUCCUGAACCUUCUUUGUACCCACCUGAAAAGCAUCAGUACUAAACUUCACUUCAUCAAAUAUUGAGUUGAUAGUUGCACUUUUACCCACUCCUGUCUUUCCAAGAACCAUGAUUGUGCAAGAGAAAUCGAGGGGCUCUUGCCCUGCUGCCUCAAGCUGCUCAGCCAUGGCACUAGCACGGUCAAAGCUGAAGGCACCAACACGGCCCCCAUUCCUCCCUCGUAGCUGUUCAGCCAAUCCAAGUCUGUACAAGACUUGAGCCACGACAACGUUAUGGGGAGUCUGCCCAAGCCUAUGAGCAAGCCGCAAAAACUUCACCCGUAUCAUCUGGAGUUUUUCACGGGUCUCAUCAUUUUCCUCAGCCUCCCCAUUUCCAGCAUCUUCAAUGAGUUGAGCUUGUACCUGGGAUGUGGUUCCAUUCACUCGAGGCUGCUGCACCACACGCGAAGCAGGUUCCAACAGCGGGGCAGCACGCCCAAGGCCAGCAGGAUGAGCAGGAGGAGGACCAGGAUUUGAAGAUCUUCCAGAUGAUGAAGCAACCUGUUCUGCGGGACGAAUUUCUCGUUCCCUAUUCCCUUGAAUUUUUUGAUCCUCCUUCUCCAUGUUUGGUUCUUUUGUCUCCUGCUCCUCAAACACAACAUAUUUGUUUUUAACUUCAGCUACAUUUUCCACAGCACGCUCCGGCUGAGGACUUAUAUUAUCGGCUGCUGCCAAUUCAGAUGUGACACCUUGCUUUGUCUCACUCUUCUCAAUAGUAGAAUCUUCUAUGGCACAUUGCUCCAUCUCACUCUUUUCAAUAGCAGAAUCUUCUACAGAAGGUGACCUUCCUGUCCCUGAAGCGGAAACCCCUUCAUCCACAGGAGUGUACAUAUUAGCUGAAAUGACUUUUGGUUCAGCACUUUCACCGUGAUGCUCUGAUUCCCACCUCACAGGACUCUCUUCCGGCUCCCUACUCUGGCUAUCUUGAUGUUCUGUAACUAAGUUAGCCAAAGUUUCCCCCUGUUCCUCACCCUUAUCCUCUCCAUGCCUUGAACCAAGGCUAACCCUCAAUUCCACAUUGUUAUCAUCUUGAUGAUCCGCAUCCAAGCUAGUCAAACUAUCAUUUGCUUCUUGAUACUUACCAUCCACAUAUUCAGCAUUAGAUGAAGCACCUUUUAGCUCUCCACUCUCCUCAUUUUUACAUUCCAUGUCUAAGACAGGUUGAUCUUCCUUCUGGUUUUCCCCCUUAGAGACGCCAGAUGAAGUGUUUUUUGGCUCCCCGCUCUCACCAUCUUGAUGUUCAGUAUUCAAGGUGCUCGUCUUCAAGUCCUCACUUUUAUUAUCUUCAUGCAGAAACCCUCCAUUGGCUUCAUGCUCAUGAUCAGAAUCAAUGCCAUUUUUACCCACCUUAUUGGAUUCUCCAUUUUCAGAGUUUUCAUAAGCCGGCCUUGCCUCCAAAUUCAAAUCAUCUGAAUCCUUGUUUUCAGACUUCUCAAGUACCACACUAAACACCUCAUCCACCUUAUUCCCAUCCUUCAAAAGGUCCAUCCCUCCAUCCAUACCUGCAUCAGACACCUCCUUCCCCUUAUCUUCUUCACUAUCCACCAACCCAGUCAAAUCAUCUGUCACCACUUCCUUGGAAAUACUUUCCUGAUCAAUGUUGUUUACCUUCCCAACCCCAUCAACACCCUCCCUAUCCACUAAACCUUCCACUUCCGCUUCAACACCUCCCGCCACAGCCUGCUCACUAUUCCUAACUUCACCAGAAACCCCAAUUGCCUCUUCAAACGUCUCCCCCUCAUGCCCUACAUUCAAAUUCCCGUCAAUCCCCACUGACUCUGAAUCAUCAAUUACUUUACCAUCCCCAUCUUCAUCUACAACAACAUUUCCCGAUUCCAAUUUCAUUGGAUGAUCCACCGCCUCCUCAAAAAUCUCAUCCCCUUCCGAAUCCUUCGACUCAUCCGACCCAGACACUACACCCUCUCCGACUCUCUCCUCAAAAACCCUAUCAUCCACGCCCUUCAUCUCCCCCAAAUGGCUUAUAUCAAUAGCUUCCACCCCAUUUUCCAUCACAAAAUCCUCGAAUACCGCUUCAAAACCCUAGAACCAAUCACACCCAACAAAAACCCUAGUCAAGAAAAACCACUAAUAACCAUCAAAAUCAAAAUCAAAGUAAAACCCACCUUCUAAAAUCACAAAACAAGUGAACCCAGAAAUGGAUCCUUAUACUACAUACAAACAUGCACAAAAAAUUCAGAUCUUCACUAUGUUCUCUAUACUUCGUCUUAGGGUUUUACAGAAAGUGAAAAAGAAAAACCAAAGCAAUAACUAAUAAUUAAGUAAACAAACAACAAGCAGAAAAAGCGUACCUGGUUUUGUGGACGCUAGAGAGAGAAAGAGAGGAGGAGAGAGAGAGUUGUCAAGCAGUAGAAUGAGGAUCUUCUUCGCUUACCAGGAGAUGAAAUGCAGAUAAGGGAGAAUGGGCGGCUGAGAGUCGUAGGGGGUUCUGAUCGGACGGCGUAGAAGGAUGUAAUGGUUUCAUCAUGGAAAACGCCAAUCAUGGUGACGUCGAAUGAAGGGAAAAAAGGUCACCUGUUUUAACAAGGUGUCACGUGCAGAGAUUAAGGAGGGUGAAUAGACCGUUGAUGUGAUUUGGUGGGUUUUCAGCAACGGUGAAGAUCCGUGCUGUCACGUGACAGAAGAUCACGGGACAAAUCUAGAGCGUUGGUUUUAAUAAUUUUAAAUUUAUAAUUAUGAUAAUAUUGAAAAUAAAUAAGAAAAAUUAUAUUAUUUUAUGAAAUUAAUAGAUUUUCGAUGUUUAAAAUUACCAUUUAAACCUCAACUAAUUUUUAAGCUGUAUUUAAUUCCUAAAAAGGAAAACUAAAGAAAAAUAAAAAAAUAAAAAUAUAGAUUUAAAAUUAAUAAAUUAUAUUUUAUAAUAUUUUAAACACAUUACAUUUAUUUUAAUCAUCUUAUAUUAAAAUUAAAUAAUUUAAAGUUUUUUUAUUUUUUUUAAAAACAAAUCACAUUUAUUUCCUAAUUUAUUAUAUUUUAUAAAUAAAUAAAAAUUCAUAUCGAAAAUGAUAUCAUCCAAAAAUAAUUUCCCAUUCUUUUUAUUACUUAAAAGCUAUAUUAUGAACACACUUAAGCAAUGUUUGCUUUUUUAAUCACAAUAUUAAAAUAAUUCUUAAUUUUGUUAAUAUUUGAAUAGAAAAUCACUUUAAAAUAUCAUUUAAACAUAAAUUUGCGACAAACUAUCUAAAAUUAAGACUUAAUUUAGAAAAUAAAUUGUGGAAAAACAUUUGACCCACACCAAUACAUACAAAGUGUUAUCCAAAAUCAACAUGAAUAAGAAAUUAGAGUAAAAAAAAAAAUUAAAAAUACUUUCACAAAAUCAUAAAUUAUUUUCAUUCAACCCCAUAGAGCAAGAGGAAUAUUCUUGAAUGGCAAAGAAAACAAACAUAUAUAGCAAGCAAAGGAGAAGUUUGAGUAAACAUUACUAAAUGGGAUGGAUGGGCCACUUCUUUGGACUUUCAUGGGUGUGAUAGAUCUACUUUCUUUUUCUUUUUCUUUUUCUUUUUUCUUUUUUCUUUUUUCUUUUUCAUUUUAUUUAUUUAUUUAUUUAUUUAUUUAUUUAUUUUCCUCUUCCUUUUAAGGUAUAACCUACUCCUAUAGGAGACACUUCCCCUUCAAUAUUAGGUAGAUCUCCACACUUUCAAUGUGCAUGAAAGUUAGCUAGGGUAUGAGAAGUAGAGCUUCCCCAUGGGGCUUCACUUCCCUCCAUUUAUAUGUAAUGUCACUUAUUUGUGGUCCUCUCUUGUCACCACAUAUAAGGUUGAGUUGGGUAGGACUUAUUAAUAUCAUAUAGUAUCUUAAUGUAUUGGUUUUUUUUUUUUUUUUACAUAGUUAUGAAUUUAUUUUAAAAAAUACGAUACUUCACAUUCAUGUUAAAAAUGUCUUUAAAAAAAAUCGUCUCAAUACAAAUUCAUAAAUCCACACUCAUACUAAAAUCUCACUUUGAAAAGACAACUAUCUUAAUUAAGGUGGCGUUUAUUUUUUUUUAUUUAAUUCUAAAUAUAACUUAAAAUUGGUGGUGUUUAUUUUUUCUACUUAAUUUUAAAUUAAAUUUAAAACUAAAUAGUGUUACAUAUUAGAUUGCAUAUUUUUAUAAUAUUUUAUUUUUAUUAAGGAUUGAAAAAUAAAGAAAAAUCAAUAUAUUACUUUUUCUAUUUAAAGAAAACUAAAUAUUUUAACUUUUUCUAUUCGGUCAACAAUUUAUAAUAAAUCAUAAAAAAAAAAUUAGAAAAACAAACAACCUAAAAUCUAAAAAUAAAUUACUUUCAGCAAAAAACUAAAAAUAAAUAAGUAUCUACUUAAUAAUGUUAAUUCUAAAUAGAAUUUAAUACUUAACAUUCAUAUUAAGUAUUAAGUAUUAGGUUAUUUGUUUUUAUAAUAUUUUAUUUUUAUUAAAUAUUAAAUAAAUAAAUAAAGUCAACAUGUUUCUUUUUCUAUUUAAAAAAAGUAAAAUAUUUUAACUUUUUCUAUUCAGUCAAAACUUUAGAAUUAGUCAUAAAAAAACAGAAAAAUAAACAACCUACAAUUUAAAAGUAAAUUGUUUUUAAUAAAAAAAGACUAAAAAAAUAAAUACCCUCUAAGAAAAGAAUAAAAAAUGAAAGACAAGAUAUCUAUUAAUAAAAAAAAUGUAAGAUUAUAUUUUUGAAAAAUGAGAUUUCUGCAAGUAAAAUUAUAAUUUUUUUUAAUGAUUUUAAAAAGGAUCAUAUUUUUAAAAAUAAUAUUAUUUAAAUCAAAGUCCCUUAAUUUAUUUAUUGGUAUGCUCAUCCCAUCAAGAUGGUAGUACCCUUUUUGGUAUUAUAAAUUGGGCAUAGAAGUGGGAGGAUGAGAGCUAGAUUCAAUGAAUGAGGUUUUGAGUGAUUAAUUCUAUGUUCUCAUAGUUUUUAAUUUGAAUGAAUUUAAAAAGUUGUGGGAACAUGGAAAGAAGUUGAAGGGUGUGGAAUUUGAGAAGAUUGUGUGUUGGAAAAGUUGGAAGAUAUGAAAAUUUUCAAAAGUUUGCUUAUUGAAGAAAUUGAAAUUUUUUUGGAGUAAUUCCAUGUAGAAAAGUCCAAAGAAAAGGACUUUGAUGAUUUCUAGACUUUAAUUUUUUUUAAUUUUGAUCUAAUAAUUGGCACUUAAAUUUCAUAUAACACUUAUAAUUUAUUAUUAAAACAUUUAAUUUUCAAUUUUAUCAAGCAGUGUCUUAUUAAAUACAAUAAAAGGUAUUUUGUACUUUUUGAUUUUUUUUAUCAACCUUUGCAAGUGUAGUCAACAAUAAGAUGAAUAAAGAAGACAAGAUUAGUGUCAAUGCGAAUAAAUAGUCCCUUUAAUUUCACAACAAUAAAUGUCUAAAUUAAUAUUAUUAAAAAUUAAAAAAUAAAGCAUUAAUUUCAAAUUAAAAGUUUAAUUGAUUUCAUUCUAAAAAAAUAAAAUUUAUUGAAAAAUGGAUUUUUUUUUCCUUAAAAGAUAAGGACAUAAAAAAUAGAAAAAAUAAAAAAACCAACAACAACAGCAACAUUUCUAGAGUAGCUUUCCAUGUAAUAAAAUAAGGUCGAGAGCAUUCCAAUAUAUAAAAGAUAGAUUUGGGAUGAAGAUAAACAAAUUAAGGACGAAUUUAAGGUUUUUUUUUUUAAACUUGAGUUAGGGUAAGUGGGUUUGAGUAUUGGUUUAUACGGCUCCACCUUGUGCUAAUUAUGUAUAUUACUUAAAUUAUUUUUUUCAUUUUUUCCUUCGUGACACAUAAAAAAAAAAAAUCUAUUUUUUAAAAAAAUAAAUUAUAAAAAUUUUAAUAUUUAUGCAUUUAUUAUAUAUACAUAUAUAGCUAUAAAUUAUUUGCCCUAUCCCAUUCUCACUCAAUUUAAAUUUUUAAUUGGGAUGAGAAUGAAAAUAGACUUUCAUAAAAGGAACAAAGUUGGGAUGAGUGUGAUUAGUCUUAAACCAACCUUUUUGUCAUCCAUAAACAAAUUAAAACAAAAUAUCAAGAAUAUUAACGAUUUUAUUACUAAGUGUAUAGACUCAAAAAGAUUAUAUCAUUCCAUAUGUCAAAAUCCAAGUAAUUUUCACAUCUCUACCCAUCAAAUAAAGUGUAAUUUAAGAAGAUGGUGAAUUUUUUAACAAGACUUAAAAUAUCAAAGUGAAAACUUUAGAAAGAGUAUUUAUUAAUCAUUGUUCUUGUAAGCUAAAUGAUAGCAUAUUCUAUGAGGAUGACCAACACCUAACCUAAGUAAUAGAAGACUACCUUGAACCUAAUUUUUAUGAAUAAUCAAUUGUAUGGUUGUUGAGAAUAUAAAAGAUUAAAUUGAGACUUUGCAACUUAAAAACCGUAUUAGAAAGUUGAUUUAAGCCCUUAAAAGAUGACUUCAAAAUUUAGGAGGUUUUAAGGUAUCAAAAGUUCUCAAAUGAAGUUUGGAUAGUAGCAAAAGCAUUGUCAUAAUACAUGUGACCAACCUAUAGGUCAAAUCUCUUUGUAUCAUACUAAAUAUGGAAAAAAUUGUCCCAUUUCGUCAUGUGUUUGACUUUUUGUGCAUGUGAUUGAUCAUGUGGUUGAUGUCUUACAAAGAAUUGGUGUCUAGCGAUUAGUUUGACUUCAAAAAUUAUAAAUGUAACGUCUUAGACACAUUUAAUAUACAUCUAACACACAUAAAUAUUUGGUAAGUCAUUGCAAGUCUUCUUUAAGAUAUGUAGAGUGCUUUGAACCUAUAUUUUUAAAGCACCUAUACUUGAGCCUUAACUUGCCCACCUAUUCUUUGAGAGAAUUUUCUUGUAUUGUUCAUUUAUUGUAAUUGUUAUAAAGUUGUGAGAAAGGUAUGUGGGUAAUGUGGGUGACAAUCGAAGUUGUAAAAUUGAAAGUUAAGUAAUUCAAGUGUAAGAAAUAAUAAUGAGACAAUGAAAGUCCUGAUUGAGAAAACUUUUGAAAUAGUGAAAUACUUUAAGACUUCUGGAGCAACUAGAAUACAUAGACGUAUGCAAGUUAUUGAAUCAUGAUAAAAUCAUUUUUUUUACAACCAUAUAUUGAUUAUGUUAAAAUUUGCUAAAUUUUAAGAUAUUUGACUAACAAACCUAAGAUAAUCACCUAAAAGAAAUAAUGAAUUAGAUGAUGGUUUUUUUUAAAAAAAAAUUUGUCAAAAUGUAAUAUAUUUUAACAAGAAUUACAGCAUAAUGCAACGAUGAAUAAUAAAAGUAAGCAAGCAGUAAAAAGUGAAGAUUAGAGAAUGCAAAUAACGAUUCCAACAUGGUUCGACGUAAUCUCACCUACAUCCAUAACCUCAAACUUCAAUCCAAGCUUAGAAGUGCUUCACUAUGUAAAGGAUCCUCCAAACCAAAGAAUCAUUCAAUUUUUACACUUUGUUUCUAGGUAUUAAUGAACAUUUACAAUUGUGAAACCAAGAUUUGGUUAAUCUUGAUUUUGAUGAUAACAAAACAAGGUUUAGAACUAAUGAUUAUAUUUCAAGUGUAAUUAGGCAAGAUGAUUUCCAAAGUGGCAAUCACAAAGACAAAUUAUGUCAUCGAGAAAUCAUGAAGAAGAAGACCACCUAAAAAAGAAGUGUUUUUCAAGACCCAAACUUUAUAAGAUCUCUUUGUAAAGUUGUUGAUGCACUAGGAUUUUCAUGCAUUACAUUCUUUACUUAUGCACCAAAAUCAUCCAAGAGUUAUUUUGUUUUAAAUAUUUUAAAAAUUGGAUGAUUUCAUAUUUUUCAACUAAAACCUUGUGUUAAAUGUUUAUCAAACUUGUUUUAAAAGGUUUUAAGUUGAAAAAGUUGGUUGUUGAGCCAAAAAACGACUCAGCCGGUUGAACCGGAUAAGGAACUGGUCGACCGCAAGCUCAAUCGAUCGAGGUCCGAGUCAACCCCCAACUCAAUUGGUCGAGGUCCGAGUCGACCCACAACUCAACUGGUCAAGGCCCGGGUAGACCCCCAGCUCAACCGGUCGAUGGUGCAAAAAACUUUCUCUUUCUUCCAAAACGGUUGUUCAAUCAGUCAAGGUUGAACCUCAACCGGUUGAGGUCCGGUUGAGGUUCAAUGGUCACCUAUCAAGCAUUAAAUGCUGACGGCUAGUCAACCGGUUGACCCUUAGCUAUACUGGUCGAACCCCCAAACGGCUAGUUUGACUUUUAUUUUCUAUAAAAAGGCUUCAAUCUUCAUUAUUUUAUGAACUUAACCUUCCCAAACUUUUCUUGAUAUUAUUUGAGCGUUGAAAGAGUGUUUUUGAGUGCACCAUUGUUCUAAAACUUGCAUAUCCUUAGUGCACCUUUUAAUCCUAGUUUUCUUGUAUCAUUUGAGAUUAAAAUUCUUGUGUUAGGAUUUUUGUGAAAUCAUUGAUUUGUAAACCUUUGAGAGGAAGUUUCUCAAGAAUGUGGUAUCUCUUAAGAAGUGUAAAGGGUGCUUGGAGCCAAAAUUCUAAGAGGGUGAAUCAGAACCAUAAUCCAAUUGUAUUGCUUAAAAGCUUGGUUUGGAAGCCUUAAAUUAGUGGAACCUCAAGCUUGGAAUUGAAGCUAGAGGAGAGUGGACAUAGGCCGGGUUGCGCCGAACCAUUAUAAACUCUUGUGUUUGCAUUAUCUCUUCCCUACUAUUUAAUUUAUAUGCAAUUGUCGUUAUAUUAGUUAUUAUAUACUUGCAUAUAAAUUGUCUCUUACUUUCGCAUAGUUUAAAUUUGCAAAAAGAGACCAUCACCCUAUUCACCCCCCCCCCCCCCCCUCUAGGGUGAUUACUAUAGAUUGGAUUAGCCUAAAUUUUCUAACAACAACCAUACAAUUAUUCUUUUAACACUUAAAAGUUAAAAUCACUUUCUCACAUAUAUAUUAUAAUGAAUUUGGAAUCAAAAGAACAUAAGAACUAGCUUGACACUAAUAAGUAAAAUAGUAACGAUAGUUGAUCUCAAAAAGAAAUAAAUGAGAUUUACAAGUUAAAGAGUAAUUGCAUUCAAAGUUUAUUAAAGACUCAAGGUUUGAUCAAUGUAAUGAUAUGCUAGAGGUAAUCUAUUUAUAAAUGAGGUUCAAGGGUAUUUUAUAUGAGAUUUUUAUACAAUAUAGCUAUUAGGAACAUAUUGUCUAUGAACCAAUCAACAAAUCGAUCAACGACCUAACUAGUUGUUGAAUAUUAAUUACAUUAUAUGUGGCUAUUGAGACUCAACUUGCUCAACCUCUUAAUUCAUAUAUCAGCCACUUGCUUAGUUAAUAGGUCAUUCGCUAGAGACCGCCAAAAUUAAAUUAUUUUAAUAAUCAAUCAAGGUGAACCAAUUAAUCAGUCAAUCUCCCAAUGACCAAUCGAUUGCUUAAUCAUUGAUUUCAGCUUUUUCUUGAUUAAUUCAAACUGAUUUUCUUCUCAUGUUAAAUCCGAAUUUAUUUUGUUAUCAACAAAUUUUAGAUUUAACCAAACUGACACUAAUAUAUUUAACAAAAUUUAUUAAUAUCAUUUAUUAACUUUUAAUUAAAAAGUUUUCUGGAUUUUGAGACGAUGUCUUAUUAAUUGUUUUUUUAGAACCCAUUAAAAUGAUUUUUCUAUUUUUUAAAAGUGAUUUGCAAAUUUUUUCAAACACAUUUUAUUUUUUUCUCCUUUCUUAAGCUCCUUCUAUGCUGUAAAUUUUUCCUAAAUAUUGUUAUUGUACAGCGGUUAAGAUUUAAAAUCGCCUAUAUGCUGUCGUGGCACAAUGUAAUUGGCUAUCAAGUUAGGCUUUACAAGGGAGUACGGUGCACCCAAAUUCGGUCACAGCCAUUAAACCAUAGGCAGGCCCGCGCCGCCAUUCAUCACCGCCGGCGAUGACUGCCGCUGCUGACUCCACCGCCAUUGUUCACGGUGCCGACGAACCAUCAUAGAUGAAGACACAAAACCCCAUGGUUCGCUUCUGCAAUGCCCUCUCUCUCCUCUCCAAAUCUCAAUUUCUCACCGUUCCGUACAAAUCCCAGGAAGCCCAGACGCCGUCCCUGUCUCGUAGAAGCCAUCGUCAAGCUCUGCAAGAAAAACAAGCUAAACGAAGCCGUUUCGUCUCUGGAAAACCUCGCACGGCGAGGCCUGCGCCUCGAUUCUCGAACACUUGCGUCCCUCUUGCAACACUGCGCGGAUUCCAGGGCUCUCAGAGAAGGCAAAAGGGUCCACCUCCAUUUGAAGCUUACGGGUCUGAAGAGGCCCGGUACAUUUUUAUCUAAUCAUUUAAUUAAUAUGUAUGCGAAAUGUGGCAAAGAGGUUGAAGCUCGUAAAGUGUUUGAUAAAAUGUCUGCUAGAAAUCUGUAUUCUUGGAACAAUAUGCUUUCUGGGUAUGCUAAAUUGGGAAUGAUAAAGCCAGCUAGGAAGUUGUUUGACAAAAUGCCUGAGAAGGAUGUUGUGUCAUGGAAUACUAUGGUAAUCGCCCAUGCUCAGUGUGGUUAUUGGGAUGAAGCAUUGAGGUUUUACAGUGAGUUUCGGCAGUUGGGUAUUCAGUGUAACGGGUUUAGUUUCGCUGGCGUCUUGACUGUUUGUGUAAAGUUGAAGGAAGUAGGGCUUACUAGGCAGGUUCAUGGGCAGAUUCUGGUAGCUGGGUUUUUGUCUAAUGUUGUGCUUUCAAGCUCAGUUCUCGAUGCUUAUGUGAAAUGCGGGUUGAUGGGUGAUGCGAGGAAGUUGUUUGAUGAGAUGUCUGCUAGAGACGUUCUUGCAUGGACUACCAUGGUUUCAGGAUAUGCCAAAUGGGGUGAUAUGAAAUCAGCUAAUGAAUUAUUUGUUGAGAUGCCUGAGAAGAAUCCAGUCUCAUGGACUGCUUUGAUUUCUGGGUAUGCCAGAAAUGGUAUGGGGCACAAGGCCCUUGAAUUGUUCACAAAGAUGAUGCUGUUUCAUGUUAGACCUGAUCAAUUCACGUUCAGUAGUUGCCUUUGUGCUUGUGCUAGUAUAGCUUCACUUAAGCAUGGUAAACAAAUUCAUGCCUAUUUGUUACGAAUUAAUUUCCAACCUAAUACCAUAGUUGUUAGCGCACUCAUCGACAUGUACUCAAAAUGUGGAAGCUUGGGAAUUGGAAGGAAGGUUUUUGAUCUUAUGGGUAAUAAGCUAGAUGUUGUAUUGUGGAACACGAUUAUAUCUGCUUUGGCACAGCAUGGUUGUGGAGAAGAGGCAAUACAGAUGCUUGAUGACAUGGUAAGAUCAGGAGCAAAGCCAGAUAAAAUUACCUUUGUCGUCAUUCUUAAUGCAUGUAGUCAUUCAGGCCUUGUGCAGCAAGGGCUUAAUUUCUUUGAGUCCAUGUCUUGUGAUUAUGGCAUUGUUCCCAGUCAGGAACAUUAUGCAUGCUUAAUUGAUCUGUUGGGUCGAGCUGGAUGUUUUGAGGAGGUAAUGGACCAGCUUGAGAAGAUGCCUUAUAAGCCUGAUGAUCGUGUUUGGAAUGCCUUACUAGGUGUUUGUAGGAUUCAUGGACAUAUAGAGUUGGGAAGAAAAGCAGCUGAACGCCUUAUUGAGUUGGAACCUCAAUCCUCCACAGCCUAUGUAUUACUUUCAAGUAUAUAUGCUGUACUUGGGAGGUGGGAGUCAGUACAGAAGGUUAGACAGCUUAUGAAUGAGAGACAGGUCAAGAAAGAGCGAGCCAUUAGUUGGCUUGAAAUUGAAAAUAAGGUGCAUAGUUUUAGUGUAUCAGAUAGUUCACACCCUCUGAAAGAACAAAUAUACUCGGUUUUGGAACAGUUAGCUGGCCAGAUGGAAGAAGAUGCUUCAUUAUUUAUCGCUCAAAGGUAAAGAUUUGUCAUUUUUUCUCCUUGCCAGGUUAUAUCAAGGGAAGCCUGAAAGAAUAAUGUCUCUAUUCAAUUUCAGCAGCUUGUAACAUUUUUCUUUCCCUUUUUUAUCAUCGUGUAUAUUCUGUAGAACCAGAUCUUCACGAUGAACAUGGAGGAUGUUUUUAAGCCACAUAUUUGAUAGAUGACUAUGGAGGAUAUUUUUCUUCCUUGAGUCAUUGUUGUUCCGCUCUGUUUCUCCAAUAAAACUGUUAAAUUGGUUCAUCAUUUUUCCAAAUUAUGGGGCAUUUAUUUGUAGUACAAGAAUUUACAGCGUCUUCUAACAGGGUGAUGCAUAUAACAUGUAAAGCUACAACUUUGGCAGGCUCAACACAAUCUAACCCAAGCCUAACUUAACCAAUGACCAAGAUGGAGCUGAAGUUUCUAGACAGAGUUGGGCUCGGAUUGAAAAAUUCUAACAGAACUUGAGUCAGGCUGGCCUUGUAUUGAGGCCUCGAACAACCUAACACAAACCAUUCUCAUGCACAGUUAAUAGUAUUAUUUGUAUGUAUAAUUUGUCGAUAUGAGGUUAUGAACAACUCCAACCAGGAUUGAGGUUGGGUUUGGCUAUGAUAAACUUGUCCAUAGCCAUUACUUUGAUAUGUUAUUGAUAAUAUGAAUGAGAAGCAUGAUUAUUUGUCUCUAUUUUCCCUAUGUGGGGCAGCUGCCUGUCUGAACUUCUCAUGAUUUUUAUCAUUCUUUUUCUUUGUAUAAUGAUUUCUACUCGUAUGACUUCACAAUUCUCUGAGCUGUCAUGCCUUGAUCUUUCCCUUGUUGCUGCAAAUUACAGUUUCAACAAAACGGUGGAAUGUCAUUACUCAAUCUCUGUCAUGAUUUUUAUAGGGUGCAAAUUCCUACAUGUAAUACACUCUAGUGUAUGCUUAGGCUUUUAUCUAUUCUUAAUGUGAAUUGCCAAGAAAAAAAGGGGAAAAAAAUUGCUUUAAGGUGGACCAGGAAAAAUUGGGAUUCAAGCUCUUUGUUCGGUUUCACACUUGUCAUGUUUUCUGAUCGGGAAUGUGACCUAAAUACAGCAGCCUGUACUGUUCAUGUGGCUUCCAGCUCAUUUACUCAUAUUAUAUCAUGGGUUCUUAUCUUCUUUAGGUUGGUUCCUCUUUUCAACCACAGAGCAGGACAUUGUUAUUAUCCAUAAUGCAUGCUGUAGAAUUGGAGUUUGUAAUCAUUUGAAGGUUUGAUCCAUAAUAUUAUAUUCAUCUUUCUUUUCUCAUGUCUUCAUUUUUUCUUUUUUAAAAUUUUCAUGAAAUGUUUAUCUUAAUUUCACUCCAUUUUUUAAUAUUUACAAAUAAUUUUAGCACUUAAUUUUAAUUUUUUUAUACAAAUUUUGACUUUCACAAUUUCUAAAUGAAUACAUUUUUUUGGUUAAUUUUCUUAUUGGUUCAUCUUAAAUUUAAUAAUUUUUGAAUAUUUUAUUUUACAAGCAAUUAUGAGCUCCAUCGGAAUAUCUUACUUGUUAGUUUAAUCAAAUACUUCGAUGGUAUUUUUUUUUUGGCUGAGUAAAUUUUUUCUAUUCAGUUAAAAGUAACUUAUUAACGUCGUCCAAUACAGCUAAAAUGAACUUGUUAUUAAUAGAGUAAUAUAUUUUUACCAAAGUAGGAUAACGAUCAUUCAUCCAUGCACAAAGAUCCCCACCUCAUGUAUAUUUUUGUUCAAAAAAAUUUAGAUUCAACUGUAUUCUUCCAAACACACUCACUAUUAAAAGAAAUAUUGUUAUUUGGGGAUGGUGUUUGAUUUUUCAAACGUGAUCAAAUCGAGAAUUUUGAGAACAAAGGCUCUCUAGCACCCCGGCACAUGUGUUAUCAAAGUCACCAAAUUCUAUGUGCCCUACCAACUAAAAGUUAAGAGGCUUUUGCCGAAUAACAAACAAAAAAAAUUCACACAAGGUUAAAUUUUACCCAUCCACGGCAAAGGAAAAUCUUCCCAAGACUUUGGUUAGCCUCACCCACAUUUUAUCAAGUAUGGCCUGAAGGCCAAUAAUAAUGGAAAUUUCCUUAAAUUAUGGGCAUGAUUAGGAGAUUGGACCCACCUUGGUGGUUGAGCCACCAUUAAAAGGUCAUAAUGCUGCAUAGGCCACAUCCAGAGGGUGACACCAGGUAAUAGCAGGUGGCAGCUUCUUCUUGGGUCCUUGGAGGUUUGAAAAGCCUCUUUUAAGCCUGGUGGCCUUGGCAUACCUCUCUGUACAAAUAUCUGGGAAGGAAAAGAAAAAAAAAACAGAGAAACCAAAAAAACAAAAACCCAACUACCCAGACAGCUUUGGACAGCCACACAAGUGGACCUGCCAAAGAGAACAAUCGAUUAUAACUCUCCACCAAUAAUUCUACCCAGGCGGCCCACCAGAUAGAAGACAAACAAGGAAAUCCAAUCUAAAAACUAAUUAAUUGAAGAUAAUUGAGAAGAAAAUGAAGAGAAGGGGUAACAAUUUUUCAACAGUUUUCCAACAAUCCAAAAAAGUCUAACCUCCAUUACAAUGCCAUAUAUUAAAAGCAAUAUAUGUUCUCUGCAAAGCCCACUCCAGAAACAAGAACAAGAAGAAGAAAAAAGAGGAAGAAUUGAGAAUACUUCUCCUUCUCAAUUCUUCUUCCCCUUCUUCUCAAUUCUUCCUCUUCUUCUCUGAUUCCAACAAUGGGUUCUCAGGCUUCUAAGCAGUUGGCACGACGGAAGGCACUCUCCACUCAGAAGAAAACUCUCUGUGAGCUCAAUCAAACCUGUGGUGAUGUGUUCCCAGGUUCAGACUACCAUCCUCCUGAUCGGAAGAAUUGGAUGUCUGGCCUUGGCCCUGAGAAAGUUCACAUAAACAAGAUUGUAUGGCCAGGGACCCAUGAUUCUGCAACCAACAAGAUUGGAAUCCCACUCGUCAGCCGGCCCUUUGCUCAAUGCCAAUCCUUGUCCAUCUAUCACCAGCUUGUAAGAGGCACCAGAGUUCUUGACAUCCGGGUCCAGGAGGAUCGCCGGGUCUGCCAUGGAAUCCUUGUGACAUAUAGUAUUGAUAGUGUCAUCAAAGACAUCAAGAAGUUCUUGGCUGAGACCCAGUCAGAGAUUAUUAUCCUGGAGAUCCGCACUGAGUUUGGACACCAAGACCCACCUGAAUUCGAGAAGUACUUGGAGGAUCAGCUUGGCGAGUUUCUAAUCCACCAGGAUGAUCGUGUGUUCGGAAAGACAAUUGCAGAACUGUUGCCAAAGAGAAUUAUCUGUGUAUGGAAGCCAAGGAAGUCACCUCAACCGAAGGCAGGAGGGCCAUUAUGGAAUGCAGGGCACCUGAAAGAUAACUGGAUCGACACAGAUUUACCGUCCACAAAAUUUGAUAGCAACAUAAAGCAUUUGAGCGAGCAAGCACCUGUUACAUCCAGGAAAUUCUUUUACAGGGUCGAGAAUACAGUUACUCCACAGGCAGAUAACCCAGUCUUGUGUGUCAAACCUGUGACAAGGCGGAUCCAUGGAUAUGCUAGGCUUUUCAUAGCUAAAUGUGUCUCUCAAGGUUGUGCUGAUCGGCUGCAGAUCUUCUCAACAGAUUUUAUUGAUGAGGAUUUCGUUGAUGCAUGUGUUGGGUUGACAUAUGCAAGAAUAGAAGGGAAGGCCUGAAGAUAUUGCAGUGCUGUGUUUUUCUUCGCCUUGUUCAUUUUCUAGAAUCUCCCCUGUAGAAAGCAGUUUCCUUCCUUUCUGUUUUCAGCAGUUGUUCUGUGAAUUUGUUUGCUGUUGCACAAAUUUGUUCGCUUGCAAGAUAGGAUGUGUAGAGAUUCAUCAUAUGUAUUAAAGGGUGAGAGCACGUUUGUUUUGAAUAAAUCUUGUGUUAAUCUCUGCGUUCUUUUCUCAAUUUCAACGCUUUUCACAGGUUCCAUUACUGUUACAAAUUUCACUGCUCAGUGGAGAUUGGAAGAGCAGUAAACAAUAUCAAUUGUCUGCAUGUUACAAAUUAAAAAAAAAAAAUAGAAGAGAUCAGUACAUGAGAGAAGCAGCAGAUGAUAUAUUUUGGGAAUAAAUGUAUACAGUACCGGAUGGAAGAGCAAGAGAAGGCUCCUAUUCUCCAAACUUCAAGGGCAAUGCCCAACAGCAGGCAUGAAAUCUGAGGCAAUCAAAAUACCUGUGAAUUCAGGAAAGAUUCAAAACUUAUUGAUAUAAAUGAGAUUAGUUCUGCUAAAUGAUCCAUAAAAUUUUGUUAGUCCACAGGGCUAUGAAUCAAGUAUGCUGCCAGCUAGGAGAAGGCACCAUGCUUUCUAUCUAUAUUAUCAUAUAAACUUAGGCAUAUGUUCUUUGAGGCCUAAGUUUCAGAGUUCAUUCCAAAAUCAAGCUGAAAAGAGGAGCAAAAAGGAAGGGAAAGAGAAUACUUUUUUGUCCAAAAAUUUUUAAAAAAAAAAUCAGUAAGAUAUCGCCGAUAGAGUUUUCACAUUCCAACUUAUUAAAACUGAAUUCAAUCAAGUCCAUUUCAUGAUAGCCACAUGUUAUUAAUGGACCACAACACCUGUGAAUACAUGAAACACAGAUAAUAUGCAACCCCACCAUGUGAUUGCAAAGUUUCGAGAAAACACAGUUCCUGUAUCCUCAGGCACGUAUAGGACUCAAAAUUGGACACACUAUAUAAUAAGCUUGUAUUGGCAACCCUCCAAGCCUUGUUGGGACCAUGAUGCAUCACAUUUUCAUUGGCUGGUACAUUUCAUCCCUAUCUUAAAGCUUGUACUGCCCCAAAUCGACAAUCUAAAUUGACUAAGGCCCUAUCGGAGACCAUGAUAGAGCAAGCCACAAUUCCAAAAUAGGAAACUGAAAUGAGGUCUGAGAAAAUCUGAUUUUAGAAUCCACCCAAUGAGCUGGAACAUCUGCUGAUCUUUUGUAGAGGCGAGCUUGGAAUGGCAUAACAAAGCUAGGCUGGCAAUAAUAUCCCAUAUUGAUGGUGCAAUCUUCCUUAGAAGCUGUUGCUCUUGACUGAUGAAAUGUGGAUAGAAGAGUCACCCUCCUAGCAUAAUCUAUCAAGGGAAAGAGAAAUUGAGCAAGCUCGCAAGCUUCAGACUUGUGUUCCCAGAUAAGAGUACGACAAAUCUAAGAAGCCUUUUCUCUACAAAACUUAUUUUUUAGUACUUCCUCUAGUUGUUGGAAUAUUGACCAAAAAACUCCUGCAUCAAAAAUAGUCCACAACUUAAUAAAAUUGCUCUGAGGAAUAGUACGAAUAGAUGCAAAUACAAGAUUUUAAUAAUGUUGGCUCUGGCAGUAAAUACAGGAUCUUUGCCAUAUUUACGAAUAUAGCAUUUUAAAUAGGUAUUAUGACAUAACAAAUUUCUCAAUGUUCUAGGGAUUCCUGUUGAUAAUGAUUUUCAUUAAACCCCAACCAGACAAGAUAUAGUCAUUGAGAAUCUAGAAUUAGGUUUAAAGGCAUAUUUCUAGAGUUAACAUUCGGAGUUGAAAACUAAGAAGAAAACACACACACACACUAUAGAGCUGUCUGUUACAAUAGCUUUUUAUCGAACCAGUUAUCAAAAAUUCUUUAUUUGUCUAGAAUGGUAAAGAAUAUACAGUUUAAGUAGGAAAUGGUAAAUAGGCAGAUCAGAACCUGAGCCUGGGCUUUCUCUAUCUUUUAAUGAUCCUCUCACCAAAAGCGUCCCAGGAAUUUGCUGAAAAACCUAAAGAACAAAAAGGGGAACAGAUGAUACAAUCAAUGUAAGUUUUAGGUUUCUAACAAUAGAAGGCAUUGUAUUCAAGCCAACAAGGAGGUAUACCAAAAUGCGGAAGCAUAGUUCUUCAAACGAAGGGGGGAAACUUGAACCAUCGCAAAUCUCUUGCAUAUACUGGUAAUUGUUGAGUUCAUUGUAACCUUGCACUUCAGUCUUCAGGAUUGCAUUACAGUGAUCAUUUGAUAUAGCAACCUGUUAAAAUGAGAUUGUACUCCAUUAAGCACACAACAAUAUGACAAAACUGUAAUCUAUUGACAGUGAAAAUAUCUUACAUCAACUGUAAACGAGGAAGCAUUGGAUUUACAGGAUGCACCGAUAGUGCAGAAAAAGGACUCAACUGAUUGUAGCACAUUUAUGGCACUAAAUUGGCGUUGAAGACCCUUCAGAAGCAGAGGUUAGAGUGAGAAAUUGCAUAUUGGCAGGACCAAGCAUAGCAAAUGAAGGGUGUGAAGAUAUAAAAUGAUGCAAUAGAAGCCUGUGAUGGACUGGUGAUUUAUCUUACCAAUAGUCCCAACAUAAAACAUCCACCUAGAUGCAGAUCUUGAAAUCGUAAAAAAUGAGAUGUUAAAAAAAUGUGACCUGAUUGGUGAAUCUAAGAGAAGAUGAUAUUCAAACCUCAAGCAUGAAAGACUGAUUGUUCUUCUUGGCUACAUGAGGCAAUAUCAACUUCCUGGCAGAAGGCACAAAAGACCAAGCAAUCCCCCAACGACAUGUUUGGCCUUGGACAAAUUCAGUUGUCUUAACUAUGGUCACUCCAACAUUCCGAAGCUUUGAUACAAGGAUCUUCAGGUUUGUUUUCUUCCCAACCAUCGAAGUGUACCACCUACAACCAAUUUGUAAUACAUAAGGGCUAAUUUCAUGGAAUCGAACAUUGAAAUGUGAGAUAUAGUGAAAACAUGGUGUAGAAAGGAUAGGAAAGAUUGUGUCAACAUUACACUAAAACAUGUGCAGGAAGGAUAAGAUAGAAAAGAUUACUUCAACAUUACACAAAAACAUGUGUAGAAAAGGAUCAUACCGAAAAGAUUGCUUCAAAAUCACACUAUCGUCAAUGAUACGUGUUAUAAAAGCCUUCUCUCCUCCAGGGCAAACCAUCUCCUCUGGGGUCCCCCCACAUGAAGUUUUUGGGUUAAGUCCUGCUUCCUCCAUGGUCUCAAAAAAUGGAGGAUUACACAUACAGAAGUCAAGAUUCUCACCAUCCUUCAGGAUGCCAAGGAGCACAGGAGGCCCAUGAUAACUUUUAUUUGAACCCAAAUCUGCAUCAAGUGAACAUGAGGGCAAAGGCUCUGUGUCCCCCGCAUUAAUUCCACUUAAAUCUUUUUCACCUUCAACAAUGAAUGACUCACCAAUAUGCAACCCCUCCCCAGAAGGGGUGCUGCCAUCACUUUCAACCUUUCUAAUUUCAAUUAAUUCUGAAAUAUGCGGAUUACUUUUAACAUUCUUCUCUGCCCACUCCAGCGCUACAUCUGUCACAUCUGCAACCAAGAUUGCAACAUUGAAUACCUAAUUUUUAUGCAAGAAAUGAACAAAUUGGUAAGACCUGUGUAUAUGAGAACUAAGACUGAAACUAAAAGUGCUACCUGUCCCAACAAAGCUCCAUCCCAAAAGAGAUGCACCAAGAAGUGGGUAAAUGCAAUUGGCUCCAGUUCCAAUGUCAAAACCCCUCACAUUAUUUCCAUCAGUGCUUGUCUUAGGAAUAAUGUCAGAAGACAGAAGAUCUUCAAUCCAAUGGAUAUAGUUUGAUCUGUUUGGAACUGUAGGGCAAAGCUGCCCAUCAGGAAUCCACCUGCACAACUCAUAUUUUCACUAAAUCAACCACAAACACAUAUCCCAUUAACACAUAAGCCUGAACUUUGGAAAUUUCUAUGACAAAAAGCUUGGCGAAUAAUAAAGACCUAAUCUUCAUAUCACAAAACUGAAAAAUCAUGCCCUCCUCUUAAUGAGAUUACACAUCUCUUCAAAGCCAAAUAUUCUAAAUUUCAAACUGAAAUUGUCAACCCUAUGAUAUUUUCAAUAUAAACGUUUAAAAAAAUUAAAUAAAAUGAAAGAACAUUUAAUGUAAGGGAAGCCCAUCAGAAGACAAGACACACUAAAUAAGGCAUGCCCUCUCAAGAAUUUUAGAUACUUUACCUUAUCAAGUAAACACUAGUGGUAAUGCGUUCUUCACUCUGUUUGUUUCAUUGGACAAGACUUUCAGGGAAUAUUUCACCCAUCAAAAAGACUAAUACCAAGUGCGUAUAAAUGCCUUACUUCAGUAUUGAACUGAGGAGACAUUAAAUUUCCCAUUAUCAUUAAAUUGGAAAAACCAUCAAGAUAACCGAAACCUCAAAAAAGUCCUUGUUUUUUUUUUUCAGGAAACCACCAUUAUCGAUUGAAACAAACAACUAAGAGAUCGAUUUGAAAGUUUCCUGCAAAAGUUUUCUAAUGAUGGAACACACACUCCAAACAAUUAGCCAUUUGAUAAUUUAUGGUACUAUAUGUGAAAAUUAGGAAAAACAAAUUAUAACCCUAAAAUCAGAUCUUUCGGCAUUGAGUAAGUGAACCUAGUACUAACAUGAAACCCCAACAUCGAAAACUUUUCAUUUCCCUUCCUCAGUUUUCUCAGAAACCAAACAGGUUAAGAAUUACAACUUUACGAAAAUUUAUGAUUGAAAAACAAGAUUUAAAAAACCCUAGAAAUGAGGAAAACAAAUCAAAACCCUACUACCCUAAAACCUUAACAAGCUGAGGGAAAUUACCAAUUUAGGCCAUGGUCGUGGAGGAGAAGCACUCGGGUCAGCUCUCGGGUGGCGUUGAAAUCGGUCCAAUCGAUUGUGGGUCGACCAGCGCGGUUCAAGAAAACGAAGGGCUUGAAGGAUGGGUAGAGGGAAGCCAAGAGGGCGAAAUCGGGCGGGUUUUCGGAGUACUUGUUUCUGGGAUGUAUCGACGGCCGCUCCACUCUCCUCCUCUUCUUGCCACCCAUCUCUGAUUCGAACCGUAACAAACCGAAAAUCGGAAAUUCCGGACGAUACUCAGCGGGAAAUUUUCAAAUUUUUCGGCCGGUUCGCACCCAAUAUUUGAAAUUUUCAGGUUGUUCUGGAGAAGUAACGUAAGAAAAACCAGAGGUUAUUGAAAAUUAUCGCAUAGAAAUUAUAUUCAAGCCCAAGCCCAAGAAUAGCCCUGGGCCCAAAAAAUUCUUCGAGCUUGGUUCUACUUCUGCCUUUGGGGUUGAAUUGGGCCGAGUUUUUCGGCUUUUGGGCUCAAAAUAGCUUCCCAAAUUAAGUUGGAUUUUUCCACUUGUUCUAUUUGAAAAGUACUCUGGUCUAAUUAUCUAUGUGUUUGGCAAUGUUUAUCAUUCUUUAAAAAUGAUUUUUAAAAACAGUUUUUAAUUAUUUUCAAAAACAAAAUUAUAUUUCAAAACUCAAAAUAUGGAAAACAAUUUUCUUCAAACUACUCUCCAUCUUUUCAAUUAUUUGUCAGGACGUUGUACAAAAUUUGAAAACAUCUCAAUUUUAUUCAUAAAAGUAAUUCAUUAGAAGAAAACUAUUUUCUAUUAAAAAAAAAAAGUCAAACAUGCUCUCUAAUUUGAAAAACAUUAUUUUUCAAGAAUUUGUUAUAUUGAGAAUUAUAGGAUUGGACUUUUACCAUCUCAUUUGAAAUGUCAAUUAUGAUAGACCAAACUUUUUAUGGCAUAAAACAUUACACUUGGCAGCCCUGUUCUAAAAUGUUAUGUUUUUAGUUUGAAUUCCUUGUCAAAAAAACAAGAAAUUCUUGUAAAAAAAAAAAAAAAAGGUAUUAUUUCAAUGUUUUAUCCAUAUAAGAAAUCAAGAAAAAAGUGACCCCAUAUUUGAAAUAAAAUCUGCUUUUGUAUCCCUCCAUUUGCAGAUAAGACUGACAGGUUUUUACAAUAGUUGAUGUGGAUCCUAGUCAUAUCAGAUAAAUAUUCUAUAAAAGAAAAAAAAAUUCCCAUUUACACAAUGGGAUCUCCAUUGAUUUGGUAUGUCCCACCAUGGUCUUAACUUCCAUAACUAAAAGUCCCAAAAGUUAAAAAUAAAAAUAAAAAUAAAUAAUUAAUUAAAACAGGCAUUAAAAAAAAUUUAUGCAGGUGUCACCACUAAAGGAUCAUGUUUUUAACUCCAAUUUGUUUUUCCUACAUUAAAUUGGUUUCCUUUUCUCUUUCUCAAUCAUACCAUGUUGUUCUAUUUAUCCUAUAUAUUUAUUUUUUUUGAGUAUUUUUGCUAUUAAAAUUAAAUCAAUUUUAUUACACUGUCAUACGGAAGAGAUGACGUAAGAAAAUAUCAAAGACUUGUCAACCUUAUCCCAAUCCCACCAAAAAGAUAAAAAUUAAAUGGAUAUCGAAAAUCUUUCCUACUUAUUUUAACCCGUUGAAAUAAAUAUGAUUUAUAAAUAAAUAAAUAUUAUAUAUUUUAUAAUUCUUUUUUAAAAUGUGUUUUUUUAUUUAUAUAGAUUAAUAAAAUAAAAUAAAUUUUUUAUUUAGAGGAAAUUUGUAUAUUACAUUGGGUUAAUUACAAAAUUCAAAAUAUUGAAUGAAUCUAAUUUUGAAUGUUUUCUUGAGGAGAAUCAUUGGUAUUGUCACCACCAUCAAUGUCAUUUUCUGCUUUACACAUAGCUGCUUUCUUUUGUCUUCUUAUCCAACCUUUUCGAAUGACACAGCUGCAGUAGAUAUGUCAAUGGUGACCAGUGAAUUAACUUCAUAGAAAUCCAUGGAACCAUGGAUGAUCAUUCAGAGAGAUUCGUAAAGUUGGGGAGGUGGGUCCAUGGCCAGAAGUGUAAGAGCCUAUCCACAUGAAGUCAUGAGUUGUGUGGUGACUCAGCAGAGUACAGCAUCCAAUGGAUAAGCAUUUGGAAUCCCUUGCUAGUUUCAUUAUCCCCUGGUUUUUUCUCUCUCCCUAUAUAUAGGCAUGGCCUCAAGCACCCACCGUCACUUCCCCAUUCUCUGUGAUUUCAUCCACCCAUUGCCCAUUUCUUGGUUCUUCAUAAGAUUUUGUCCACCUCUACAUUCAGCUCCGGUAACUGAACUGAUCAUACUACUGAUAAUUUUUGUGGGGCUAUUCAUGGCUUCGUCUUCAUCGCUUUAUGAGGUUCUUGGGAUUCCGGUGAGCGCCUCCGGGAACGAGAUAAAGGCGGCGUACCGGAGGCUGGCGAGAGUGUGCCAUCCGGAUGUUGUAGCGAUGAACCAGAAGGAGACUUCAGCUAACGAGUUUAUGAAGAUACAUGCAGCCUACUCCACCUUGUCGGACCCUGAUAAGCGAGCAAAUUAUGACCAGGAUCUUUUCAGGCGGCGCCGGCCGGUGAUGGCCACCGCCAUGAGAACCGGCGGUUCCUCUUUUUCGGGCUUUUCUCGCCGGACUUGGGAGACUGACCAGUGCUGGUAGCAGCACACGGCUAUUUUUUGUCUUAAUCAUUUGUUUGUUUUAUCACCAUGUUCAUAGUAGAAGUGAUGGAGCAGAUAAAAGAAGGAAAUUCAAAAAUUUGAAAACCUUUUUGUCAUAAGGUUGAAUUUUCUUGGUUCAGGGUAAAAUUUUAUUAUUACCCUUUCUAAAAAUGUUAUUUUUCAUGUUCACGUGUGUGUAUGCAUGCAUGUCUAAUUGUUUCUUUUUCUUUGUCUUGUCGCUUUUAUAAUAUGCUUUGUAAAUUAAUUAUAUGUCCGAAAUUUAAGUAGCACUUGAUUAAUCAGAGUGGUUACAAUACUCGAUAAAUUUUAUAAAAAUUUUGAGUGCGUUUGACAGUAAUUUUUAUAGGUGUUUGUAGUCUUUUUUAUAUUUAAAAAAUAAAAAUUUUUAAAUAUUAAAAAAAUUAAAAACAUUUUUCAAAAUCACUACCAAACGCUCCUGGUACUAUCUCAUUCUAUGAUUUCCAUUUCCUUUGUUCUUUAAUCUAUUGUCCAUAAAAAAUAAAGAGUGGUUACAAUGACUAGCAAUCACACUAUCACAGCUUGUGGAUAAGGCUGGUCACAUGGCAAUGUUUGAAAACCUUAAAGAGGGUGUUACUUUAAUGGGAUGAACUGGCUUUUUAUAAAUCAAACAAAACAACUAACGGUCUCACUCUCGGGCUAGAGUAACCACCAAUAACUAAUAGUCUCCCUACUUUGUGUGAACCUCAAAGAUAACAAAGAACCAAAAAAAUCUUCUCAAAAUUUUGUCCUUUAGCCACCAACUACUAGUCUCCCUCAUAUUAUAUGACAAGUGUUGUAAUAUGUGACUCUUAUUGAGUGAAAGAUAUAUGAAGAUAAAAUGGGCAAAUACUUGUGCGGAGCGGAGCGAAUGAUUAAUAUAAAUACCCUUUUAUGUAACCCUAAUUUGAGUAUCAUGAAAGUCUUCUUCCUUAUUCCCGUAUAUAUAGACAAUCUAUCAAACCAAGUUAAAUCUGUAUGUUUCUGUUUUUGUUUUUCUUUAAUUUUUUGUCAGGAAUCGUUGCAUGAAAAUCAACAAAAAGGAAUACACCGAUCCUUUUAAACUAUUGCUCAAUGGUAAAGUAACAAUUUUAUUGGCAUACAUCUAACCAUCUUUGAACUUUAUGGUGGUGAUUAAUUAAAGGCGUCAAGUUCAAGUUUUUAGUAAUAAUUUUAUUGAUAUAAAUAUGGUGAUCUUUAUAUGAUUUUAGGUCGUGACAGAGAUUCGUGUUUCAAUCAUGUUCAUGGUCAUAUGGAUUGUUUCGUCUUUGUUAGUUAAAAACUCACAACACAUCAAUCCAUCAACCUAAAACCUUGCUUUUAAGUAAAUUCAAAAAGACGGUAUAAAGAUAAAGGGUCCAAAUUCAGUGGUUUGGAGUUUUAGGUGGAGGUUAGCAUAUGGGUUUGUCUUCACCAAAAGUGAACCCAAUACUCAAAAUUUUCAAAUUAAGAUGAUUACCCAAAGGGAAAGCACUUGGUUUUAACAAAAUUAAGCACUUUUGGAUGCUUGUUAUCCAAUUUUCAUUGAUUUAUUGCAACAAAACAUGUGGGAGACUCAUGAUUUGGGUCAUUUCAAUGGUCCUUAGGUAUGUGAUUUGUACGCCAAUUGAGCUUCACUCCACCUAGAGGUGGUUGUAUGCCUUUUUUUUUUAUCAUCACACAGAAUGAUUGGUUUCUGUUUGUCAAAAUCAAGCCCAUUGUUCAGAUGCCAAAACCCGACCCAAGCCCGACAUGAAAAUUUGGGUUUUGGCCCAUCUUAAUGAAAGCUUCAACCCAAGUUCAAAACAAGCCCAGCCCACUUUCCAUAUCAUAAACAUUACAAUCUAGAAGUAUGGGCUAAUUGGAGGAUCCUCAUCCAACUAAGGCCUUCUGUGUCUCUGUGUGCCUAUCAAAGACUUUCUCUUGGCUUUUUCACUUUGUCAUCUUUAAGAGCAAACCAAACUAGAAAAAUGAGUACUCCCUUUCUAGUGAACCAAACAAAAAAUAAGGUUCCACCAUUGAAAGUCUAUUAAAAGAACAGUGUGGCUUCUUAUGAAAAAGUUUGUGUUAUGUUUGGUUUGUUAGAAAAGUUUAUACUAUGUUUGGUUGUUAGGAAGUAUUAAAAAAAGAAAAAAAAUGUUAAAAAGGAAUUAUUUUCUUAUAUUUAGAUACCAUUAAAAAAAAUACUAAAAAAUGAAGAGUGAAAUCAUAAAAGAUUUUCCUCCCUAUUUUUCUUGGGAAAAUUUUGAGAAAAAAAUCAUUCUUCAAUAAUCCAAAUAAAAAAAUUAUAAUUUUUUCUUUUACUUUUUUUUUUCUUUCUAUUUUCUUUUACUAAAUUUUUUUGAGCCUAAAUGAUAACAGGGAAUAUUUUAAUUGGGUUUUCACAUUAGCUUAUGGAGUUGAUAAAUAAUAAUGAUGAUACAAAAAGGUGAUACAAGUAACAAUUUUCUUGAUUUAGUGAUACGUGAGGGAAAUUUGACUUAGAUAUGUUGCAUUGGAUUCUAAUAUUGUUCUUUGGAAAAAAGACUAUUGGUAAAAAAAAAAAAAAAAAAAAAAAACAUAUAUAUAUAAAAUUUCUACAUGUAUGGAUGCCAUAUUUUUUUUUUUUUAAUAAAAAAACUUGUAAAUAAAUAAUUGAAUAAUUUUAUAUUUUGUAAACUUAUGAACUAUAAAAUUUCAUAUAAAAUAUAUUUUUUUAAAUGAUAUCAUAUUUUUAUAGAAACUUUUAAAUAAUAAAUGAAUGGUUUUUUAUUUUAUAAAUUUAUAAAAUUAUACAUUUUCACAUAAAAGAAUUUUAAAUUUUUUAUGCAUUUUAAAAAUAAAAAAAAAUAUGAAUAAUUUUAUUAUUUUUUAUAUAUUUUUAAAAUUACAAAUUUUUACAUAAAAGAAUUUUUAACAUAAAUUCUAAAUUUUUAUCAAGAAAAGUUGCUUUAAAUCACAUUAAAAGAGUUUUUUUUCUUUUUCUUUUUUUAGGCUAUAUUAUAAGAUAUAUGUAUCAUAAAAUAUCAUCUCCUAUAUAGUAUAAUAUCUUUGUAUAUUACAUUUUAUGAAAAUGAUAUCUUAAGGCAUUAUAUUCAAUGGAUUAUGUUAUACCAUGCUAAUAUUUAAUUUAUAGAAGGAACAAAAAAUGAAAUAGAAAAUAUAUUACAUUUCAAUAUUUCAUAUUUUUAAAAUAAAAUAAUAUUGUAUUCUAAUGUUUAUUAUUAAAAAUAUAAAAUCUAUCUAAUAUUUAUUAUUAUUUAGAAGUUAGUCUAUUUUUAUUUUUUAUUUUUAAAUAAUAUUCAUGAUUAAAAGAUUUAAAAUUUGCAAAUAAAAAAAAAUCCCCUUAUGUUGUUAAAUAUAUAAAAUUAUUUUCUAUAUGUUAAAUGUUCAAUUUGAUAAUUAUUUUGGAUUGCUUAAUAUACAUACUUUUAAAUUUUUUAUUCCUUUUUAAAUUAAAAAUUAUUUUUUAAUCAAAAUUUGUUUUGCAAAUGGAGUAAUAUAAAUAAUUUGAAAAAUUGAUGGAAAUAAAUUUACGACGGAUAUGAUAUGUAUACACUAGAUCUCUUAAGAUUAUUAUACUCCCCAAAUAUGAAAAAAGAGGUUAGAUAAAUUAUUUCAUUAUUUAUUAUAUUAUAUAUUUAGUUGAAUAUGAAAUAUAAUAACUGAUGAGAUAACUUAUCAUCUCCUGUUAUAUAUAAAAUCAAGCAAUUCAUCCUCCAACCAGCAUGUGGUGACCCACUCUUGUUGUGACCCAUGAGCAUGUUUUAUCCAAGGCGAUAAGUUUACUUGAGAACUCUGCCACGAGUCGUCCUCCACCCAUGCACGAGGCACGAUGGCGGGUGGGGUCCUCAGGGCCUCCCAAAUUGGGGGUGGAGUGGCGGUAGAUUGUCCACGUCAUUGCAAUCCGAACACUUCAAUGGAUCAUUCAAUUGGUAGGAGCGACAUACAGUGUGUACAAAGGGCAUACCUUCAAUGUUAAUAUGGCAUUCAUGGCCCAAUCUACAAGAAGUUUGAAGGUCAUAACUCACAAGGCUUUUUGUAAUCCAAUACAAGCAGGGCUGCAAUUUGGGCCUGAACUGGAGACUUGAAGUCCAGAUCAACAGACCCAGUAAGGUUUGCCCAAGUGGGCUCACUCUUAGCCCACUGAAUUGUGCUAUUGGACGUAAUGCUCUUUAUGCUGUUUUGGUUUCUCAAGAAUAAAAAUAGAAAUUAAUAUGAAUUUAAUAAUGAGAUCCAAGUUUUGAUUUUCAAGAAAAUAAUUUUUUUAUUCCUAAUUAUCUCAACCUUCAACGAUAUAUUUGAUACGUGGAAAUAAGAAUGAAAAUAGGUCAGGAAUUAAGGUGAAUUACUAUACCAUGUAAAAGAGAGGAGUAAAAGUGUCUAUGACAACGAGAUUUGGUUUCUAUACUGAUAAACUUCUUUUCGUAUUUUCAUUCUAAAACAAUAAUCUAAAUACAUUAAUGAAUGAGAACGCAAUUGGUUUCCAUUUUCAUACUAAGUUGAAAAGAAAUAAAAUCUUCAAGAAACAAUUGGUUUUUUUUUCCCUAAAGAACAAAGGCAAAAGAAACAAAAAUUUUAGAAGAUUGCUUUUACCAUGUUUGGAGGCUUUUCGGCAAAAGUUUGGAGCAUUUCAAGCAUUUUCUUCUGGUAAGUCCUAGCCACACAAAUUCUCCCCCUUUCCAAACAAGCCAAACUAUAGUAAAGGGAGUAAAAGCAUUGGAGCUUUCUCUUUGCUUUCUAGUGAACCAAACAAAACUCUGAUCAAAACCCUAAGAACAAGAUGGAGAGAGAAAAAAACCUCGAAACUAUAGACAGUGAAAACUCAAAAAUGUUCUUGGGGACCACGAUGGUACACCCACUGACUCAUGUCUGCUCUUUCCUUUCCCUCUGAAAGUCAGAUAUUUUUGAAAAUAAAGCAAGAGAAAUAAUUAAUAUUAAUACUUAUUACAGCCUUGAAAUGGAAGGGAAAAGUAUCAUAAAGUGACGUGGUGAUGAGGAUAUUAAGACAAGGGUGUUACAAGGAAUAAUUGAAAAAAGUUGUAAACCCGGAGCUGGUCCAUACGCAUGAUGACAGGAAAAGGAGGGGUUAAGAGGUGUGUAAUCAUGGAGUCAGGUUAGAGAUAAGGCAGGAGAAAGGUGGUGAAAUGGAUCGCUUGUACCCCAUGGCAUUGAAUUCUUGUUGGAUUAUCCUAGUUUUGUCCUAUCUUCGAAUCUUCACUGCACUUUCCAUGGAUUCCUGUUGAGAAUAAAAAAAAACAAAUGAACCAAAUCCGGGAAACAGGAAAAGUUCCAUCUCCAUUUUCAAAGUUGAAUCAUUCAUCACCAUCCUCAUUUCAUCAUCCUCUUUUCUUUUACCUUCACCUAAACACACCCGUGACAAUCCCUCAGGAAAAUUCUGGUUUUCACAGUGGAUGGUCCACUUAUGCAUGAUUCAUAAUUUUUUUCCAUUUAUAAUCUAAAAUAUUUAUAAAAAUAUACCAUCUUAAUCAAUAUUCUUUACAAAAACGAAUCUUUAACGUAUAUUUUAUGUGGAUUUGAACGUGUUCAUGGUCUUCAUUUCAUGUCUUCUUUAGCCGAAUUUGACCACACUUAGUUGGAAAAAUGCUGCUAUACUCAACUCCUUGGUUUUACCUUUUUCUUUUUCGUGGGACACAUGGUGGAUGGAUUAGUUUAGAUUCCCAUCCCAAACCCCAAAACUUCAGCGUAAAAGAGGCUUAAAAUGCCAGUGGGACUAAAAACUAUGUUGGCUUGUUGUUUCCUGGCACUAGACUUUUUCAGACAAGAUGGAGGGCCAGUGUAUUUCACUCAACUAGCAUCCAAGUCUUGACCUGUCCUUUUCUUUUCUUAGGACAAUUUUUGUGGUGGUGGAGAGGUGGGGAGAUUGGGGGACCAAGGUCCUCGCAAAGCUGAAAUUACCACAUGAACUGAGGCUGACUUGUUGGUUAAUUAAAAUCUGGACCCCCCAUGUGAUAUGCAGCAUUUGAUAUGUACCUGCAGGGGCA
rnacentral:lncRNA from 1 species